CACCGCCGUCGCCGUACAACUUACAAACACGGAUCACGAUCGCCGUCGCCCCUUGUGUAUAAAAGGUGCGGGAGCGCAGCGGACACACCACACAGCGAGCGCAGCAACAGGGCCACAACAUGGACGCGCUCUUCGAGCAGCUCUCCGUUCUCGCCGACAUGGCCCUGGACGACGGGGGCUUCGACCCGGCGCGGCUCGACGGCGUCCUGGCGCUCUUCGAGAGCGAGGCGCGCGCGUCGUGGGGCGAGGCGGAGGCGGAGCACGAGGCCGUGGCGCGCGCCACCGAGGCGGCCGCGGAGGACGCCGGGGGACACCUCGACGCCGUGAUGGGCGCGGCCGUGGGCACGUACCGCGGCUCGUCGGGCGAGGCCGACGCGCUCGCCGCGGCCGCCGCCGCUAUGGAGAUGGCCUUCAGUGCGACGUCGAGAUCGCCGUAGGCGGUGCACGAGAAGCAGAUCGAUCGCGCGGCGAUCCGACAAGAUUUAUCAGAUGCAGCGCGUGUGCUUGGGGUGGGCGUGUUUAGGAUCCCGUAUCAAGAAAUGGUGGAUGGGCUCGGUCCGACUCGUGCGGUCAUUUGCCAACGGGCAUCGGCACUGAGGCACAGGAACAUGUUUGGAAUAACAACAGCAAUCAGAGUAUGCUUAGCGAAUGUAUGUCCAUGAUUUCACCAUCUAAUCCGUUGUUUAAAUUUCUGAUCCAACGACGAACCUACGAUAGCCCACUUGAUGACAACAAGCCUAGGACAGCAGCUAGGAUAAACUUUCUUCUAGAUCUUGGCUCAAUUGGACAGCAAGCAAGUGGAUUAUCUAGCUAUGAAUUUCAGCCCCAACCUGACAGCUAACUAAACAAUCAAAGCCAGGGUUCAAAAUUUAAUAAUUAAGCGAAACAAUUUUGCAAUGAAAAAUACGUGGAUAACAUCCGCAUAAUAUUCAUCAAUCAGGCCAAAUAAUAUCCAUUCACGAUGUGAGAAACCCGCUGCAAAAGUAGGAGAUAGUAGCAAACAAGGAAAUGAUUAGUCUCCAACUUUCAGGGUCCAGACCUGACCACCUAGUCAGAGACAGUUGGCGACGGUAAGUCCAGUCCAGACCCUCGCAACGCGUCGUCCACAAUCUUGCCUAGCUUCCUCGCCACCUCUGGUGUCAGGUGAUUGCUCCAAUCGCCAAUCACUCCCUCUCGGAAGUAAGCUUCAUUCUUCAUGGCCAAAUAAUUAUUCCCGCUCUUAUUCACCUCCAUGCUCUUCAAUUUCGGCAAGCAGCACAGCUCCACGAUUGUUGCCACAAGCUCAGGCAUUCACUGCUUCAUCAACAACCUCGGUGGAUUUGUUGCACCAGCUGUUUGGGCACCCGAGCUCAAUUCCCUUUCUCAGGUCCUUCAGUGUAAGAAGUCAAUCCCACAUUCAUGCCAUUCUUGCAAGAUUGGCAAGCAUGUUCGAUUGCUGUUUCAAUCGUCUAGUAGCAAAACUUAUUUCCCUUUCUAGCUAGUUCAAACAGAUGUUUGGACCUCACCAAUUUACAGCAAUUUUGGUUACAGAUACUAUGUCCUUUUUCUUGAUGAUUACACACAUUAUAUUUGGACCUUCCCUAUUCGCUAAAAAUCUAAGGUUUUUCAGUUUGGUCAGUCUGUUCUUGCACUUUAGAUGGACAAUGGCAAAGAAUAUGAUUCAUAUGCGCUGUGUCAUCUCCUCGCGCGCCACUGGCACUGUACUCCACCUCUCCAGUCCGUAUAUCUCCAAGCAAAACGGCAAAGCUGAGCGCGUUCUAAGUACAAUUAACGAUUGUGCGCGAACCCUGCUUCUCCACAGCGUAGCACCUCUUUCCUUCUGGGCUGAGGCAUUGCAAACUGUGAUUUUUCUACUGAAUCGCCGCCCCUACCGCACCAUGGGUACGACGAUGCCUCACCACCUCCUCCUCGGCGCACCUCCAGACUACAGCAAGCUUAGAGUGUUUGGAUGCCUCUGUUACCCCAACACCAUGGCCACAUCCGACCACAAGCUCAGUCCGCGGUCCCUGACGUGCAUCUUCAUUGGUUACCCAAGCAACCAUGAUAGCUACAUGUGCUAUGACAUCGAGUCCCGGCAAGUGUUCAUUUCGCGCCACGUUGUCUUCAUUGAGCACAUGUUCCCAUUCCGCGAUGCCAACAAGACCCGUACUCGCUCGUCACCUCAAGCACCCCUUGUUGAUCACGUCAAUGACAUGCCGAUCGUGCAAGCGCUGCCAGGACCAUGACUUCGCCAGAACGUCGUGUCGUUAGCACCUCCGUGACACUCCCCAUCGCUGCUCGAUGUUCAAGAUCCUGCGCCCUCGACUCGAUCAGCUCCUGCGACAGCCACUACGACGUCACGCACAGCUCCAUCUAAAUAGGCUGCCACGACAUCGCCCUCGCUUACAGCUGCUCCAGCUGCAACGACAUUGCCCUUGAUCACGCUGUCGCCUGCACCAACUGUUGUAACCUCAUCCGCCCUGCUGCAACGACGUCUCCCUCGGCUAUGACAUCGCCCUCGACCAUGCUGUCGCCUGCUGCGGACUCGCUUGCGCUGCUCGCCACGGCGUCAACUACUUCAUUUUCCACAGAGUUGCUGCGACAUCCGAUGAUGAUCCGAAGCCGCGACGGCAUCCGCAAGCCCAACCCAAAGGACGCCCUCGCCAGCAACGGCGGCCGCUGUCACCUCCACCUAUGUCCGUUCGGGCAGCCCUCAAGGGCCCACGUUGGCUUGAUGCUAUGCAGCAAGAGUUUUCAGCUCUCCAGGCAAAUCGGACCUAGACCCUUGUGCCAUGCCCACCAGGUGCCUGGAUCAUCUCCGGCAAAUGGGUUUUCAAGACAAAAGCUCAAUUCUGAUGGCUCCCUUGACCGCUACAAGGCCAGAUGGGUUGUCUCGGGCUUCAAUCAGCAACCAGGGAUUGAUUUUGGUGAAACCUUCUCGCCCGUUGUGAAGCCAGCUACCAUCCGGAUGGUGUUGAUGGUCAUCGCCUCCAAGCAGUGGCCACCACACCAACUUGAUGUCUCCAACGCAUUCCUACACGGCAACAUUCAAGAAUGUGUGCUCUGCUAGCAGCCCACUGGAUUUGAGGAUUCGAACCAGCCCGACGACGUUUGUCUCCUGUCCAAAUCAUUGUACGGUCUUCGUCAAGCACCGCGAGCUUGGUUCACGUGAUUCGUCGAGCAUGUCACCUCCAUCGACUUCGUCCAAUCUCGCGCCAAUUCAUCGAUGUUCGUUCUAUGGCAGGGCUCGGGCAUGGCAUAUCUACUCCUCUAUGUCGAUGACAUGAUCUUCUCGGCAUAGACACCGGCUCUCUUGCAGUACAUCGUCGCCUCCUUGGCGAGCGCGGACCAAAGAGGAGAAGCGGCGCUGGCGAGGAAGAGCGCCGCUUCUGUGUUUUUUUGCGCGCAAGGGUAGCAGGGUAAGGGGAAGAAGGGCAAAAGUGUCUUUGUUCAAUAGCAUUUAGUCCAUGGACUAAAGUGGGACUAAAACUUUUUAGUCACUAAAAUUUUAGGAGGUGGGAACCAAACAAAAUCGUAGUAUACGUGCCAACAUGCAUCAGUACGUGCUGGAUUGUCCACGAAAUUAAGCUCCAAUCAUCCUGAUAGGGAAAUUAAUUAAUUUCUAUUUCCAGUAAAGUAUCGUCCCAUAAGAGCAAGUUUAGUAACCUUGUCUAAUAGACAAGCCAAAUUAUAUGUAGAACAAUCUUAUAGACCAACGAUUUAUCCCUUCACGUCUUCCUAUAUGCAAUCUUUAAUUGUACCGGAGCCCUUGUCAGAUUUCCAUCCUCAGGCUGACCGCACCGCACCGCGUCUACGCCAAGCCAACCGGCAAAGUAGGAUGGCCCACCGUCAGCACUCCUUUUAUAGGUCAGGAACGGGCAGCCCGCUCCUGUAUACGGCCCCCCAAAAUCAUGCCGCAGCCCGUUGCCGAGAGGCGUGGGGCCCACCCCGAGAGCAGAUACAGGCGCAGGGCGGAACAUCUGCCUGUCCUGGUCUCCGAACGGAGAUUUGGUGUACCCCAUAGCGGCGGCGCGGUUUAGCUCCUCCACCGCCAUAUUUAUAGGCGAGGUCCAUUCCCAGGUCCCGGGUGCGGAUAGCCUCACAUACGAGCUACUGCAUGCGGGUGGGACCCAACAUUUGUUUUGAAAAGCGUGAUCAGCUGGUCGCUGGAUGUGUCGACAAGUUCUCUCUUUUCUCCGGUUCCUCUCUCUGCCACGUCUGAUUUCGCUGAUGUAAUCGGUCGAUACGACCGCUGAGCUGUCCUUAUUGGACGUGCUCUAAUGGCCUCCAUGGUAUCUUGCUGGUGUAGAGGACAUGAAAUGUAUUGAUAUUGUGUGCCAUGGAAGUUCGGAUGAAUGCGUGGAUUGGCAAUCCAGAAUCCACGUUCUGAUUAUCCGCCAUUAUACUACUAUCAUCCAAAAUAUUGUUGCUUGACUCUUAACAUUUCGCUUCGGUUUUUGGACAUGGGUAACUUGAAGGUUCCUAUAUUCACGGCUCGUCCUGAUCAAGUUGAAGCUGAUCAGAAUGCAUGGAAAAAGCUAGGAGGGCAAAAGAUUGAAUUUCUGCUCGCUAUAUUGCCAGAGAAAUUAGGGACAUUACCGAUAAUUUUUAACCUUUUUUAUUAUUUUGCUAUUUCAUCCUCUUUUUACUCCAGAUGUUGCCACUCAGAUAUGUUGAUCAUUUAGUUCAUCCACAAUUUAAAGUUAGGACCAAUUUUAUGAAUCUGCAAUGUUGCUACUCAAUUAUGUGUUAUGAAUCGAUAACUUAGCUUGUUAAAAAAAUUACCCUUCAAAUUUUUUGAAUACCCAUGCUUGAAAUCUUAGGACCACCCCCUAUCUAGCUCUGUUAUCAUGUACCCAAUGUGUGUGCCCCAGUUCUCCACGCGAACAUUGACGUUUUAAGCACCAAAGGUGGACUUGCCUGAAGCGCUGCUAGCUGAGCACGGAUAUACGAUAGAUUUGUUCUUUUAUAUACUUUUAUCCUCCUUUUCUUUUUAUCUUUUUGAAAAUAGCACUAGCUAGGGCAUUUGUAGAUUUGACUGAUAUUAAGAAAACAAUGCAGUAAUAAUUUGAAUUCUCCUAACGUUGCAGUGUGGCGGUGAGCCAAUGAAGACAUUGUUAAUCCUUGUUCAUUUUCAGCAAAUAUUGUUAUUAUUUGUUUCAGAGAGAGAUCCUUUCUCGUUUUUGAAAACUGACCACGUAAAUUUUCUUCUUUGUGGUGUAACCUACACACUCGAGUUUGAGUCAAUAAUUGUUUGUAUUUUUUAUAUUUAUUCUAGAAAUUAACAACAUCAUUAUUUUAGUGGUUGGUGCCUACGAUGAUUUGGUCAAUCUUAAUAUAUUCCAGCCAUGUCUUUAAAAGAUACUCAUAGGUUGGUGUCAUCGGUAUGGGCUUAAAAGAAUGUUCCUUAAGCUAGCUUGGCAACUCGUUUAAAAUUGCUCUGAUUUCACUUUUUUUUUGAAAUCGAAGUUAGCCGAUUCUAUUGAAAGUCAGCUUUGGAUAUCAAAAGAGACUACAACAAACACGGAUAGAUCAAUUUUGGAAAAAAGCUUAGUUACAUAGGUUUUGAAAAAAAAAAUCCUCAUUUCCAUUUUCAUGGUAGAUCUGUCUCAAAACAUUGUACAAGUAUCAUAAAACGGGCCAAGAGCCCACUUCUAUUUUCUAGAAGCCCCCUGUACCUUGGCUCUAAGCGGCCUUGUUAACAAAUCAUCUCCCGCCCGCCGCAUCGGUCUGAUAAGCCCAUCAGCCCAACUAACCGGUCAGCUGGCGCGCUGGCAGCGGCGCCCAGCCGCCUACCGGCUCCCAUGAAGACGGAGAUCCGGGCCCACACGCCACCCACCCUCAUCAGACGUCACGUGAAAGCGCGGUGGCAACCGUCUCCCACCCAGUCGGUGUACGUGUUCGCCGCGCGCGGCCGCGCCUGCUACCCCCGCCAUGUGGGCCGCACGUAAGACCCUCCCCAGCACACAAACGCGUCGCGGUCGCUUCCCCGCCAAUUCGGCCCUCUGACCGGCGGACCCGUCGUCCGUCGGGACGUGCGGGCACCACCUGUCAUGCAUGCGUCGCGGCGCGGUGCCCGUGACCCGACGCGAGGGAAAACAGCAGCGGACCAGGUAUAUAUCCCCCCUCGCGAGGAACUGCUACGGCCACGCGCGUCGUCUCACGGCCAAGUGGGUCCAACGAGGCAGCGCCUCCGUUCGCCGGCCUCGGGUGCGCGUAGCGGCUCGGGGGGGUGGGAGGCGCCUUUCUCGAGGUGCGAGCACGACUCCCAGGCCCAGCCCACUACGGGGAAGCGACAAGUGAACGGGCGCUUCGAUUUUUACAGAAGCAUCUCUCUCUCUCAUCACAGUCCCCCUCAUUCCCUCUCGCAGCCCCGGAUCUGAAACAACUCCGAAAAAAUCGUACCUGAGAGAAACCCUAGCGCUGGAGGUUUUCCGCCGUGGCGCCUCGCCGGAGACCUCCGCCCGCCGCGGCCGCCGACGCGUCGCCCUCGUCGUCCCCACGGAAGCCCGGCGAAGAUGCGCCACCGCCCGCCGGGGCCACGCCGGCGGCGGCGGCGGUGGCCGGCGUCGCCCCGUUCGAGCAGGCCAGGAAGGCGCUGUGCGUGCGGUCGCCGUUCGACGGGGAGGAGGCCGCGGCCCGGGACCCCUGGCUGCCUUCCCGGGUCGCCAGAUGGGCGGCGGUGGGCGACGUGCAGAAGAAGCAUAAGAAGGGCCAGUCCCAGCAGCCGCAGCAGCAGCAGCAGCAGCAGCCAGAGCCAGCACCUGCCGUCGAGCUGCACCCGAGAGUGCCUGCUGGGCGCAAGGGCUUUUGGGAGCAGUUGGAGCCGUAUUUCCGCGAGUUCACAGCGGAGGAUUUCGAGGAAUUGGUGACGAAGCAUCAAUUCUGUUCGAGCAAGAUUGAUCCAUGUUUCCUCAUACCUCUUGUGGGCGGUGGCGAGGAGUUGGUGGAGAAUUCGGAUCCAUCGCAUGCUUCUGUGGCAGAUGAGAGCUCGGAUUUGCACUCGAAUUUGGGCAAGAGUAACGAGGAGUUGGGGAGUAACAAAGUGCAGGAUAUGCACGAGUGCUCGGAUUAUGUAGGAGCCAGCGUAGAGCUCAUUACUACAGAUGAGAGCAACAAAGAGAAUUGUGAUCAGGACAUGCAGGAAGUGAUUGUGCAGCAAGAGGAGCAGCCGGUUGAGAUUGUGCUAGAUCAAGGCAGAACUGAUAGCAUUGCUUUACCAAGAUGCAGAGAGAAUUCGGAACCUUCUUUGAGUUGGCUCCUAGGAGCAAGGGCACGGUUUGUGCUCACAUCAGAGCGCCCAAACAAGAAGAGGAAGCUCUUGGGUGCAGAUGCUGGGCUAGAGCAGCUUGUGCUCGUUCCAUCCUCAGAAGGCGAGACUGAUUCAAUCUGUGAUGUUUGUUGUUUGGGAGAAAGCGAUCUGGUGUCUAACAGGAUGCUUCAUUGCAAGAGCUGUGAGAUAUCUGUGCACCAGAAGUGUUAUGGUGUGCAUGUUGUGCCAGAUCGCUUCUGGUUUUGUCUUUGGUGUAGCCGGAAUAUGGAGAUGCCACGGAGGUUGACACGGAGUGAUACAUGCAGGACUGUGUUAACGCCCUGUGUGCUCUGUCCAAAGGAGAAAGGUGCUUUGAAACCUGUAAAAAGGGACCCUGGUCCAUCCGCAGAUGGAGGAAACCAAGAAUUUGUACAUUUAUUUUGUAGUCUUUGGAGACCAGAGUUUCAUGUAGAGGACAUGGAAUCAAUGGAGCCUGUCGUCAAUAUAGUAGAUACCCAAGAGAACCAGUCAAAAUUGGUGUGCAGCCUUUGCAAGGUCAUGCAUGGCGCAUGUGUCCGCUGUAGCCAUGGUAUGUAUUCUUACAUCAUCUCUCUGGUUACUCCAUUGAUCACCUCUCUCCAAACACUGGUAUCUUUUUUUAUAUUCAGAUGAGUCUCUAAUUUAAGAUAUUUUGUGGUACACAACUACACAUGGUGACAUGAAGAGUCAAAUGUCCAUUUUUUCUUCUGCACAGUGAUACUUUACUUCUAACUUUUUUUUCCCCUUAAACCUAGUGCUUCUCAACAAUGAAAUAAUUCUCUCUCUUUCUCUGCACUUAUUUUCCCAUGUGAUAUCCAAGUUUCAUUUACAUCUUACAGCAGCAGUCCUUGAACUGCUGCGUCUUCUUCCAGGUCCUGAACUCAGAUAUGGACCAAACUUGUUAAGUGCGCCAUUCAAUGUCUAAAGCUCCCUAAUCAGCAUGUAACCAAAACUAAGUGUCUUUAGAGGCUGACACAUGGUCCGAUCCUUUUAAAAACGAUUCUGUUGAUUUAUUGCUGACUAGUGUGCCAUGUCAACAAAUAUUUGUCUGAUAGGAUGCCACAUCAAGAUGCGUCCCCUAUUAAGAUACCAUGCAAGCCAAAACCAUCAGCACUUGGAGAAAAUAAAACUAUAUUUGUGAAAGAGCUAGCAUUUGAGUUGUGUUGCAUUGUUGCAUGGGUGUAGUGGCACUUGAAUAGGCACGCCCGUAACUAAUGUUUUCCAUGACCUAACUGGUUUGUAGUUGCAGGGGACCUUAACAGUAUAAAUCAUUAGGAAACAGUACUGACAACUCAUACAAAAGUAAACUGACCAUGGAAAAAUGGAUUUAAUGUGUAGCAGAGAAUCAGUUGAGGUCUAUUACUAUUUACUAUCAUAUGAUAGGUCUCGUCUAAGUUUCGCAAACUAGAGAUCAUGAAUAGUGGAUAUUUUGUUUCUCAGGUGACCUGUGUCAGAUCUAUGUUAUUUAAGUUAGCAUGCCAAGUCAAUUUGAUUUGUUCUUGAGGAUGGUUUGGCUAAAUAAGUUACGAGGUUUCUUUUCUGAAUAGUUCCUGUGACAAAUAGAGCUGUAUGGAGAUUUAGUGCUUUCUUAGGAAACCAUUUAUCUGGAAGAAAUAAGAAUCUAAUUGUUGGAAUCAUUGGUUGGUAGUUAUCUGGGUGAACUUAAUGCAAACACAGUGAUACCCAGUGAUGGUAUUUCUGCCUUUUGUGACCAGUGGAGGAAGGGGUGGGGGGCACUGUAUUAAUGAAAACACUUACGAAGUUAGCUACAUAAUUGACUUUUAGAAGCCUGAAAGGUGAACCUCGAAAGUUGAAAAUAGCACCUAUGUAUUUUUUUUUACCUUUAGGCUAGUGGUACCAGGGAGCCUGGAUUAAUAAUAUGUAAUUUGAAAUUCUACUCCAUUCUUUUUUGUUUAACAUCCUAGAAUCUGUUCACCAGAUUUCUACUGUAAAUGCGUAAAUAACUAUCAAGAUUAACAAUAUGGUAAUUACCUGACUAGAUUUUUCUUUGAAAAUGCUUUCAUGAAAGUACAAUCUUUUUUUAGUUUAUAUUGAUAUUAAGUUAUGAGAUUAACUAUAUGAUAAUUACCUGUUUGGAGACCGUGCAAUGCCAAAAAUGUCAAAUAAAAUAGAACCGUGGAAGUAUUUUGUAGCUAAUGUCAAAAUAAUAAUAGUUCUACUUUUGUAAUCCAUUCAUUUUGCAGUUACUAAGUUUAUGUGGUUUUCAGGAGCAUGCAGGACUUCUUUUCAUCCCAUAUGUGCAAGAGAAUCCAAGCUUCAGAUUGAGAUCUGGGGAAAGUUUGGCCAUGACAACGUUAGACCUUUUUCUUCUUAUAGCUGCUGUUCACCAUAUUUUGUUGCAUAUUAUUAUCAUCAUUCUUAUUUUUAAUUGUUAAUAGGUUGAGAUGCGAGCAUUUUGUGCAAAGCAUUCUGCCAUCAGAGGUAUCAGCUCCAUCUCUGAACUGGACUCCACACAAGUUGAACUGCAUGAUGGAAAACUUGUCAGUAGGAGGGAGCAGCAAGGGAGAUUUACACGUGGUAACAAGGACAAAUUUGUGAACGACACAAUAACUAGCAGUACUUGUAGCCUAAACAAAACACAGAAAGCAGAAAUGGCUACAUCCCCAUCCAUGGUUGGAAGCGCAGAAAAUCAAGAAGCUCGAAGCGCAGAUAUGGUUGUUGAUCAACCCACUGCAGAUGGGAAUCUUAUGAGCAAUUCUGGAGAUAUUUCCAGAGGUCUUACAAAGGUAUUUAUUUGCUCAUCUUACAAACCCUGAUUGGGGUAUGUAUGUUUAGUACUUACCUGCAUUUUAUGUUUGACUGACAACACAGCUAGUUGACCAAGGAAAGGAUAGUGUUGGUGACUUAGAAUCAGAACCAGGUCUUCAUUCAGAAUCCCUGGAAGCUGCUCUUAAGGUAAUUUGUCUUGAUUUUUCAUUAUUUCAUAAGUCACUGCCUGUUUCUUCCAGGUGCAUGCCAGUGUGUAAUAAUUGGUAUUUGCAUCUCAGCUUAAUCAUGAUUCAAGCUGUUGCAAUAUACAUCACUUUUGAAUUUCAAUAUCAAUUCACCUAUACGCAUUAAAUAUGACAAGGAAUUCUUAUUUUACCCCAACAUACCCACUUAGCUCUUUAUGUGCAGCAAUGUAAACAUAUUUUUGUUGGCCAGCAACAUUUAAUUGUUUAUUUUUAAUGUAUUUAAAAAGCUAACCUUACAAGUCUACAAAAAGCUUAGUGUAGAUAUAAACAACAAAGAUGAAAUUGUGAAACUGUGUUUAUUUGUGUAACCUAUUCAUGUAUCCAUAGCUCUAUGGUGCCAUCAUGGUGUUCCACAAUGCCUUGCUACUGUCAGCCUAUUGGCCUAUAUAUUUUUUGAGAAACAAUGUGCCAUUGCAGCCUGAAACAACCGCCUUCUCCCCUGGUCUGAACCUGAAAAUGAUCAAGUGGUUGCCAAACUCUGUGCAUGCGCCUUCUGUUCAAGUGAAAUCUACGAAAGAGGGUUCUUUGGCACCGCAAGGUAACUGAGUAAAAAAAGAGUGUACAGCUGCUGUUUGUACAGAGAUCAUUAUGCUUAACUUUUCCAGUUUAUUGCUUCAACCCGGACUUAUCCAUACUCUUGUCCGACUCACUAUAUGGAAAGCAACAACUAAUAUUACGUAUCAUCCUCUAUUCUCUGCAAUACUAAAGUGACUGUGGCCAUGCUGUUCUUUAUUUUAUUUUCUUGGAUAAGGUUUAAAGUUUGCUGUAGAUGUUAUGCUUCUUGAUAUGAAAUUGGGUUCUAACAAUUUUUUCUGGAUGAUAUGCAUAUUUUGUAAUUGCAAUCCUCAGAUUUAUGUCAGUUCCAUUCUCCUUUUUUCUCAUCAGGUUAUGACUGAAUAAGGUAGCAUUUACCAACUUUCGUUACUUUGUACAGCCUUUAGAAAAUGACGUCUAACAUUGUGCCAUACUAUACCCUGCUUUACUUUCUUGAUAGUGUUGGGCUUGUGGCUUGCAUUUUCUUUUCCUUUCGUAUUUUUAAACUUGGGAGUCAAGUAUCUGGCUAGCCCUUUUUGAUGAUUAAACUAGUCCAAAGCAAUGAAGCCUCAUCUGACAUGCUAUAUCAAUUUCAUUAAUAUUUAUAGACUUGAUUCUUCUGGUUUUUAUUAACAGGAACAUUGCUUGGGAGUGAAAGUAAGAACUCAACCGUUUCUGAACUUCAAUCAAGACAGGAGGAUGGGACCUUGUCGAUUGAUCCUUGCCCCGAAAAGGACAAUGCUAAUAAGGGUGAUUUAGUUCAAAAUGGCUUUUGCAGCUGUCCUGAUCCUCAUGUAAAUAAGGUUUCUGGCCGGCAUUUGCGGAAGUACGCUCACCCCAUUCUCUCUGCCAAAUCAUGCAUGCUUCCACACAGGAUUUAGUUCAUGAUACUCUAGUUAUUUUGCAUGCAUAUUGUUAUGGUCAGUGUUUUAUUUGAAUGGUCAAAUAACUUUUAUCCAUUUCUACCCCAUGUAGCAUGGAUGGUUACCGCUGCUAUAUUCAUCCAUUCAUAGAGAAAAGGGUGCAAGAUUUGUGGGGUAAUAAUUUGGAGCAAACUAUACAAGAAAAUGAUUAUCAUGGUGAGUUCCUGCUGUUCUACCCAUCAAUUAAAUAAAAUCCACUGCUGGCUUCUUUAUUCACAUCUGGUAAUCUAAAAAUUAACUUUGUUUCUUUUCCCAACUUGUGUAGAAGAGUUAUGUUGCACUCCUAUUGAUGAGGACCUCGCGAAACUUGGGCAAUUAGAUGACAUGGCUGCUGUGGAUCAAGUCUGUAAAGCAAAAUUAUCAUAUAUUCUGGAGCAUUCACCUGAUGACGAAAUAGAAGGGGAAAUAGUUUAUUUACAAUCCAGGCUACUCAAUGGUGUUGUUCCCCUGAAACAGAGAUAUGGUAAGGGUACUUUCCUCUUUGUUAUAUGCGCUAUCAUUUCUUAUGCAGGAGAACCAAACGAUGUUGGUUGAUGCCCUCUUUUUUUGGUUCCCCCGCAGUACCAUCUUAAUAAUUGGGCUUCAGAGUGCAAAAUGAACUGUUUAGUUGAGUUUAUAUUUCUUCAGCUUUCUGAAUUGAUAUUUCAGUCGUCCUUAUAUCUUGCAGAAGAUUUGAUACUCAAGGUUGUCCAGAAUAUUUCGUACGAGUUAGAUUCUGUCAGUAAAAGAAAAUGGGAUCAUAUCAUUGUGAACCAGUUUCUUCGUGAUCUGAGGGAAGCUAAGAAACGCGGGAACUCAGAAAGGAGACACAAGGAAGCUCUAGCAAUCCUAGCUGCAACUGCACCUUCUGUUCCACCAACCUCAAGAAAUGCAACAGUGAGGAAAGAUGCAGGAAGCAAGGUUAUGUCUGCUAGACAAGAGGUUAGUACUGUGCCUUUGCUUCCUCAGUUGAUUUAUGCGUGUUAUCUUUUUUAUUGACCUCCCUUUGUUUCCAGAACAUGCCAAGAGCCAGUGCUGGAUCCUCAAGAAUUAGCCAAUCGUCUUCAUCGCCGCAAGCAAAGGAUUUAUCAUUUUCUACUAAUAGCAAAGUCUCAGAAGAUACCAACUUUGGCAUUUUUGAUCUUGCAAAAUUCUCCAAGAAAAGUGCUCUUCCCUGUGAUAUAUGCAUGCGCUGUGAUACUGUAUUGAAUCGUAUUUUUGUCUGCUCCAGCUGCAAGGUGCUUUGCAUUUACUGUCUUUCGUCUCCAAAUUGCACUCCAUCAACUAUUAACUCUUCAUGAUCAGCAGGCUGCUGUCCACUUAGAUUGCUACCAGACUAUGAAGUAUCCUACAGGCCCAUGGAAGUGUGAACUUUGCCAGGAAAUGCCCUCGGAUUCUGUGAUCUCUGGUAAUCAAUCAGAUUGCAAUGGUGUAAAAGCAUGCUUGGUGCAGUGUGGUUUGUGCCAUGGAACAUCUGGUGCUUUUAGAAGGACUCUGAAGGGGCAAUGGGUUCAUGCUUUCUGCGCUGAGGUAAUGGUUUGUGCUUGUCCCCUUAUUGCUAUUUUGCUUGGCUUAUCCACAUUUUAAAACUUCCCCCACUUUUCUUAGUGGCUAUUGGAGACCACAUUCAGAAGAGGCCAACAUAAUGCAGUCGAUGGAAUGGUACCGAUCUUUCAUAUUUAUUUCAUUAUAUGCAUAUCGCAAGAAGCCACCUUGAUCACAACUCGAUUUGAAUUAUCUUAUUAUUUUGUUCUGACUGUUCAUUCUAAAGGAGAGGCUUCACAAGGAUAAAGAUACAUGCUCUAUAUGCCACCGCUAUGUUGGUGCAUGCUUGAAGGUUUGAUUGUUAAUAUUAGCCUUUAUAAUUGUUAAUCUAGAAUGUAUAGACAAACCAAUCAAAUUUUGCUAAGUUUUUCUCUUUCGACCGUGCAGUGCAGUACAGCAGACUGUCAAAUUACUUUCCAUCCUUCAUGUGCGAGAGAUGCUGGGCUUUACAUGAAUACAAAGAGAAUUGGUAAUACAUUGCAACAUAAAGCAUACUGUGGCAGACACAGUAUCGAGCAGAGAAAGGUAUGCUUUAAAUUGUUUAGGCAGGGUGGACCCUGUAACUAGUUUUCUACCACUAUGUCAUCAAUCAUCGUUAUCCUUACAUUCUUAUCUGGAAAUUUGUGCAGGCUUAUCGUCAACAAUAUGGACCUGAGGAGGUCAAGAGCAUGAAACAAAUGAGGGUAAACACACUAUCUGCUGAAGCAGGAUCCAUAUUUGCUUGAAUCACUAUAGAUUCCACUUUCUUUUAUUUUGCUAACUAGGGUAGUAAUAAUUUGAGACUGUUGCCUUUUAAAGUACGUGUGUUUUUCUAGCCACAAACAUUACCUUUGCCAUUUUGUGUUUGAAUCUUCACUAUUUUGUGUAAAAAUAGCUCUUGUUCUCAUCCGGUCCAUGACAUUUAAACAAGAUGUGCGUUUCUGUUCUUUUGUGAAACUAGUGCCAUACUAGGAUCAUAACAAAGUAAUGUGGCAAUGUGGCAAUCUGCAGUACUGACAUUCAGCACCAGCCAUGGUGAAAAUCAUUAUAGGUAUCUAGCAGGCAUUAUUAUUUGCUAUCAAGCAAUGCUUAGCAGGCACACUGUAUUUGAUGAAUGUAUAUGGCUAUUGCAAGCCUUACAGAGGAUAGAGAUUAUAAUAUUACAUAUAAACGUAAAAUUUCAAAUCCUCCAUGUUUGCGAUGGUACCAUUUUGUGACCUGUAAGAGUUAUAUGGAGACAGAUAGAUUUAUAGAUUGGCACCAGAGACAUUGUAAAACAUUUAAAGCUGAAUUGCGGAUAGCUGACGAGCAAGAAGAAAUACCAAAUUCCAAUUUGUCUGAUUUGAACUUUGAUAACGUCGACUAAAAGUGGCUUGAUAGUUGAUACUGAAUUUCUUGCUUCUGUUCAGUGAUGUAGCCUAUGGAACCAUAUGAACAUUUUUCUGUCUGAAGAUGGUCAACAAACUCUAGGUUUAUAUGCCUUUUUGUUUUUCUCAAUCUUGGCAGGUUGAAUUGGAACUAUUACGCUUCCUUUGUGAGAGGAUUGUGAAGAGAGAAAAAGUGAAGGUACAAUAGCUGUUAAUUGUCUAUUUGCAUACCUUUCGUUUCUCAGGAAAUUAAAUAUCGUCAGCCAAUAUUGUAUUUUCUUUAGGCAAAAGCAGAAUAGAAGAUUUUAGGCAGUGAAGUACAAAUUGGAGGACGUUUUUUUUAUGCCUGCAUGUUAAGCAAUGUGGCAAAAUAAAGUAGGUGUCCAGGGUAUGCACCAAAAGAUUGCUGCUAUUCAGUUUUGAUGUCAAUUAUUAUAGCCCAUAUGCAUAGUUCCUUGUCCUGCAUCCCAAUUGUCCACCUUUCCAUCAAUCUGAAAACUAGAAACCUUAUACCUUGUGACAUGAAAUGCACCACACUUUUAUUGUCAUAUUGGAAUUUUCUUAUUUGACAUUGUGGUCAUCUUAUCUUACCACAUUAUUUGGAAUUUUUAUUUACUUUCUUUAAUCUUGGUUCUUAAUAUCCCAGAAAGAUUUGGUUGUAUGUGCACAUGACAUACUUGCUGCAAGAAGGAUUACUUCUGUAUCUUCUAUGUGGACUCCUUAUUAUGCAUCUGGACCUGGAGCAAGUUCAGAAUCUGCCACUACUUCUGUUAAUAACAAAUCAUAUAGAUCGGAUGAUGUCACAGUGAGAUCAGAUGAUGUCACAGUGGACAGUACUGUUACCAAGAAACAUACUGUCAGGUUUUCUCUGCACAACAGGGACACUGAUAGGAACACAGCUGACAGUUCGACAUCAACAAUAUCAUAUAAGCGGAAGUUGGAUGAUGGGGAAUCACUUGCAUUCAAGAGUCUUCCCGAAACGCCAGUUACUGCAUUGGAGUCAGAGGAUGUAGAAAAAAAACCGACAGACAAAAAGGUUCGUGCAUUUUUUUUUUUGGAAUGGUUUACCUUCAUAUUCAUACAUGUUAAUGUAGACUUUUCAUUUCAUUUUACCCUUGACUCUAAUGCUUUAAAUAAAUUUGCAGCGCAGAGAAACGUAUCAAAAGGAGCUUGUUUUGAGUUCUGGCCAAGCUUUGUUGAAGAACAAGAGCCCUCCGGAGAGAUAUGUUUAUACUCGCCGGAGCUCCCUGUCCAAAAGGAAGCAAUGCGGUCAGCAUGUAGAAGGGCCUGGUGGAUAGCCCCAUGGCUCCAUGUGAUGUCUUGAGAAUAUUCUUUGAAGGUUGAUGCGGAAAGCACAGACAGCAUGCGGGGCUGUCCAUUUUGGCCCUGCCGUAGCCACCAGGGCAGGCAUGGUGGGAUCAGGGUUGGAAACAUGGUGCAAGUGGGUUCUUUUAGCUCAGUAUAUUUGAGCUUCAGACUGGAAGAUUUGACUCAUUGAGCCCAUGUCACUGUGGAGGCCAACGUGCGUGAAUUAACUCACCGAUUUAGUUAUCAAGGGCAGGUUUUGUGCAUUAUGCCCUUUUGCCGGGAUGGCCAUCUGCACAUUAAUUGUGAAGAAGCAAAGCAAUGGUGUUGAAAGAAAGAUCAGAGAAUUGUUGCUAACUGAUGACUUCCAGUAGGCCACCCGUACAUGAAUAUCCAUGUUUAGGAGUUGUAGCAUGUGGUUUCUAAUGUACUAGUUGUGUGGCUUCCAUUUGUUCUGACUUUAGAGAUGAACCCUUGGCGAGUUGGGAGGGCAUUCCAUGUUUGUACAGGCAUGCAGGCUCAGCAUUCUGCUGUGUAGGAUUGGUAGCCGAUGUGAUUAACAAAGAUCUGUUAGUAAACUUGGUAGCUGCCAUGCUGGCAUAUGGGUUGUAUUGGUAUCUUGCAAAGGCUGUUACAUGCUGAUGUUGGGUUCGCGGCUUGUAUAUUCAUCGCCUUGUGUUUGUCAUGCUUGUGUUUUGUGAAUGGUCCCUGUAACCUUCCCUGUGUAAUGUAUAUGCAUAUUCAAUCCCAAAUCUCGUUGUGGUGACUUGUGAUUUGUGAAUGAUAAUGGAUAGUGGCCAGCUUUGCACCUUUGCCAAGCAUUUCAUGGUAACUUCACAAAUCAUGACUCCAUACGUCAGCUCUCCCGUGGCACCAUGUCUUUCAACCUUGACAGAUUUUUGUCAUUAUAUUAUGUAACUCUAUGCAACCUUUGUGUUUCCUGAUUAACCGGCUCACGGGGAUAUUUAACUAUCAUCCGUUCUUACGGAUGACCAGUUGUCAUCCUUACGAAUGUACUUCAGUUGCCAUCCUUACGAAUGUACUUACAUGAAGUAAUAAAAUUACCAUUCUUACAUACGUGGCGAACCAACACAUCGAACCAGCAUGGAUCGAGCAUGGUAAAUGACCAUGCUGCCCCUACCUUCUCCUAUUAGCUAUCCUCUUCCCUAUCUCUUACCACUGACAUGUGGGACCCAUGUGGAGCUAUCCUCUUCCCUGUCUCUUGCCACUGACAUGUGGGACCCCUGUGGUAGGGCAUCUUCAACCUCCGGACACUUCCUGCUGCUUGCGAAUAUGAGCUGCCCCCGAGGGUGACGCUCGUCGGGAGGCCGCUGCCGCUCGCCCCCGGGGACGGCGCUCGCCGGGCCGCCACCGCCGCCCCCCGUGGGCGGUGCUCGCCGGGGGACGGCCGCCGCUGCCCCACCACCGUCGCUGCCACCCAGUGGGCGGUGCUCGUCGAGGGCCGGCGCUCGCGGAGCCGCCGCCGCCGCCGCCCCCUCGUGGGUGGUGCUCACCGGGGAUCGGCCGCCGCUGCUCCCACAGCCGGCGCGCUCGUCGGAGCCUGCCGAGCCCUGCGGGCAGUUGCUUGCCGAGGGUGGCUUUGACAGGUAGAGGAGAGGAGAGAGAAGUGGAGAGGGGCAUGGGGGCAGUUCGAGCAUUUCGCAUCUUGAAAAAUGUUGCCUGGUUCGUAUAGGGAUGGCAAAUAUGCAGGUGUAUUCGUAAGGGAAGCCGUAAGAAUAGUAAAUAGUUAAAUAUCCCCCUCUCAUGCUAUACCUUCUUAUAAUCCGGAUAAAAGUGUUAAAACAUAAUGGUGAUAACCUCUGUACAUGAAGUAGAAAUUUUGCAAUGACAAAUGGGUGGAAAAUAAAUUAGGAAAUAAUAGCUUCAUUUCUUACAUUAGAAAUUUGGUAGGAUUUCCCUCUCGGGGCAAUUGGUCCCUCCACUUUGGGCUUAUUAAUGCUUUGCCUUUAUUUUAGGCUCUGUUUGGGAGGAAGGUGUUAAAAUUUAGCUUUGGACUAAAUUUUAGCACCAUCAAAUGGGGUGCUAAACUUUAGCUCUUCAGGGUGUUUGGGAAGGAGGCUAAAUUUUAGCACAUGUGUUGACAAAUGACAGAUUUACCCUGCUUUCUCCCCCUCCUUCACCCCUCCUCUUCCUUCCUGCUCACCGGGGCAACCACCAUCCUCUUCCUGCUUCUGAGCCCAGCGCCGGAGGUGAGGAGCCGGCCCCCGAGCGCGGACGGCGCUGAGGAGGUCAGGCUCGUCCAGCUCACGCGGAGGCCGCGCGGGCAGGCGGGGCCGGCCGGAGGAGGCGGCGGCGGGCGAGGUGGAGGCGGCGGGACGGGCCGGAGGCGGAGGCGGCGGCGGGGCGUGCCGGAGGCAGCGGCGAGGUGGAGGCGGCGGGGCGGGCCGGAGGCGGCGGCGGCGGCGGCGGCGGCGGGGCGGGCCGGAGUAGGAGGCGGCGGGGCGAAGGCGGCGGGGCGAAGGCGGCGGGCGAGGUGGUGGCGGCGGCGGCGAGACGGAGGCGGCGGGAUCGGCGCCGGAGGUGAGGAGCUGGCCCUCGAGCGGUUCGGGUGAGGAGGCGGGGAGAGAGAGAAACUGAGGGGAGGAGAGAGGGUAGGGGGGCAGGGGGGAAGGUGGUCCUGGGGGACCACUUUUUAGUCCAUUUAGUCCAUUUUAGCUACCCCCAGUGACUAAAUGAUUAGAGGGGGCUAAAGUUUAGCCCACAAGAUUUAGCUGGGGUGUUUGGGAAGCUUGGGGGCUAAAAUGGACUAAAGUGGGGUGCUAAAGUUUAGCACCUCUCUCCCAAACACCCCCUUAGUAAAUUUCACAAAACGACAUAUUGCUUGUCAAAAUUGCCGUAACUAACAUGUCAAAGUUUCAUAGAAAUUUAUAUUUAAGAAAUUAUAUAUCACUGACCCACGAUUUUGCUGCGCGACAUGUCGCGAAAACAAUAUAUGAUCACAACACUACAUAUUUUAGAUGGGUGAAACUAGUAAUAUACAUUACUCACUAAUUUGGUUUUGUGAUACUAUCGCACGUUAAAUUUGUAGUUCGUGAUAUGACUUCUUCAGUCUGUAACUUUGCAAUAACUUGGGAGACGAUAUGUACUUGGUAUGUAGUAGUAGUUUUGUAACAUUCACUUUCCCCCAUUUUUGGACAGACGACGCACAAGCUGGGCGCCCACGCAGAAACUCGGCGGCCCAUUUGUACGGGUGCGUUUGGUACAGCAACCGGAUUCUGAUUCUCGAUAAGAAAGAAUCUGUACCAAACGAUUUUUCUGGGGGCCCUCCGCUCGUCCGGUCGUCCCGCAGCGCCCCAUUCGCGUCGCCCCUCUCCCCUCUCCUCUUUCCGUCCCGCAGGCGACUCAAGUAUCGCGCGGCUAGGGUUUUGUCCCCUACGGCCGCCGCCCCUUCCUGGUGCCGGCCGCCGGCCCUCGCCGGCCUUCUCCGGAGGUCCGGCCCCCUCCGUUUUGGCCGUUCCUUGGAGCGACGACCUCCUCCGCCCGCCGUCCUCCCCUUCCCGCGGCACGACGGAAGAAGGUCCAGGACCCGGAGGGCCGUCCGUCCCCGCAGCUGCGCCAGAAGGAGGUGGCCGAGGGUCACCGUUGCCUAGGCCCUAAAAUCCGGCGCCCACAGACUAUCCUCCAAGGUGCGUUCAACGCCUUCCCUCUCCCAGAUCUGAGAAAUUGUUCCACAUCCUUGUAAUAAUGGGUACUAAAAUGUAUGGUUCAAAAUUUGUAUAUGUCGAAAUUGAUGGUAUGCUUGUACAAAUGGUUAGCACGUGUAUGUGUUUAUGAUUAUCAGAUUACACAGUGUUUUAUUUCUGAAUAAUGGGUACCAUGUGUAGAGUUUCUGAAUAAUAUAUUGGACCAAUCAUUUUGGACUUUGGAAUUAUAUGAUGACUGUACCGUGCAAUGUGCAAGUGCUAACUAUUUAUUAAUAUGAACUUUAAAUAUUAUUACAGUAUAUUAUUACACAUAUAAAUCUGAAAUGGACCACAUAAAAAGCCUUGCAAACAAUCAGUUCAAUCUGCCAGGGGUAGUAUAGACAAUUCCAGCACAAUCAUCUCUUUCAGGAAUCACUUCUCAGCCAGUUUGCCAAACGAUUUCAUCAGACAGAAUCACUCCACCAGAGAAUCAGGAUCUGGAGCUCUGCCAAACGCACCCGUAAACUACAUCUUAGUUAGGGGGCGGUGGCCCUUCGUACGCAGCCCGCUUGUCAGUUUACAGAUACAGCCCGAUACAAAGAGGCAAAGAGCUGCCCAUUCUCUCUCUCUGCCUCUGGGUGGGGGUGUCGUAGACUUGUAGACCCUCCUCGCCUCACCUGCUGGGGGAGCGCAGCGCACGAGCCAGUGGCGACCGCCGCCUCUGCACAGCAGCGGGCAGAUUGGCCUGAUUAGCGCGGCUUCAGGCGAGCGUGGGCAUACGGAUGUCGUGACUGGGUGAGUUCCAUCAGGUUUUGUGCGGGUUCAGCUGCCGGGGGAUGGUUCUAGGGUUAGGUGUUGGGGGACCGUGGUGGCCGUGAGGACAUGGCGGACGGUGAUGGCGCUUUGAGCACCAAGGAGGAGAAAAUAGAGGAAGGGGAUAACACGGGCAUACUGUGGAAAUAAAUGGAAGUUUUCCUCUUGAAAAAUACUGAAACUGUGAGCGGAAAUCCUAAACAAUUUUGUGUAUCAAUCAGGUGGCAACUGGCAAGUAAUCUAUCAGGGUGCUGUUUGUUGGCAGAUCCUAGAGAAACCAUAGUGUCACCUAAUUCACUCCUAUUAAGAUGAUGAAGUUAUACUGCUAGGCCAUUAUUUUUUCCUGCGUUCAGCUAUCACUGUUUGUGCUUGUUUAUGUAACUUUUACUUACGAGCAUGUCAUGUUUUCUAGAUGGACCUCAAGGAUAGCCUCUCCAAAUUUAAGCAACAGCAGGAGAGAUGCCAGUCAUCAUUGGCGAGCAUAGCCGCUUCGGCUUCAAAACCAAAGCACAGGGCCCAACCUGUAAAUGCUCCAUCCGCUCCAGCAAGACCAUCACAGCCUAUCAAGUUUUCAAAUGAUACAGAAAGGCUGCAGCACAUUAAUUCGAUUAGGAAAUCUCCUGUUGGAGCACAAAUGAAACUUGUCAUCGAACUGCUUUACAAGGUAUUUGCUCACUAAGCUACAACCUUCUUCCAUUUUUCAUUUCACACUAAUGCAAAUUGGAAGAAAUGAUUCCUCCCUUCUGGCCUCACAAAUUAUAAUGGAUUCCGCAAAUCAUCAUUCUAAUUGAGUUUUUGUCCCAGGAACUUUAUAUUUUUCGUCUAAUUAAUUAUUGUAUUUUUUUGUGUAUUAAAUCCCAGAUUCCCAGGCUCGGUAUAGGUUGUUUCAGGAUUUUCCGCUUCUUAAGCUUUUUUUUAUAUUUUUUGUAUAAAGGGUAUAGGAUGUAGUGGUCCAUCCUGUUUUCAACCGAUUUCCACCAUGGUUUGUAUGCCUUACUUCACAUGCAAGAUUAUCAAUCUUGCUAUGUAUAGCCUGCAGUUUGUAAUAUUUUUAUGCUGCCUAUUCUGUGUUCAGCUCAUGCAGUGUAGGAUUAAAUUUCCAGAAUAGUUUAAGGCUGGUAUAGUUCACACUAAGUUAAUGUGUAGUAAAAGGGAAAAAACUGUUGUGCUGGUUUUGUGAUCCUUCACAUGUAAGAUCAUCAAUAUGGUUAUGUACAGCCUGUAAUUUAUAAUGUUUGUAUGCUGCCUAUUUUGUGUUCGACCUAUGCAAAGUAUGAUUUACUUUCCAGAAUAAAUUAAGGCUGGUAUAGUUCACACUGAUUAAUGUGUAGUAAAAGGUAAAAAGAAUGAUGUGCUGGUUUUGCACGCAUGUUGCAUGUGAAUUAGCAGGUGCUAUAUGAUUAUGCACUAUUUGACUGAGUUGAAUAUAAUGUAUUGGCUAUUUUUUUUCCUUGCUAGAAUUAGGAAUGUCAAACCAAUGUUAGAAAUAUUAGAAUGGCGCCAUGGAUUAUUUUCUGUUCUGGUUGCCUAAUCUUGUACUUAGUGGUAGAACCAUAGAAGCUAGUGACAUUGCUACCAGAGAUAGCAAAAACAAUAUCAUAUAAACUUUCUUUAUGAAUUUGAUGCUGCGUCUAGUUUGUGAAUGUCAGUUGCUGUUUCUUCUGAAUUUGCAGACAAGACAAGCGUUUACUGCAGAGCAGAUAAAUGAAGCAACUUAUGUUGAUAUCCAUGGUAAUAAAGCUGUCUUUGACAGCUUGAGGAACAACCCCAAAGUAAGCUAUGAUGGGAGGCGUUUCUCUUACAAGGUAAAUUAAUUUGUACUUCUAGCUGUCCAUAUUUAAUUUCAGUUGCUUAUCUUUGCUAUCUUUCUGAAACCUUAGCUAAUUCAAAAUCAUCUAAAUUAGGAAUUACUACUGAACUGCAAAUCACUUACCAUUCCUGCAUUUGCAUGUGGAAUGUUUUUACUAGUGUCCUAGUCAACUAAGUGCAGUCACAAAUUACUCUCUGGUGUUGUUAUCUGUUAACACCUAGAGAUUGGCAGAAUUGAAUCUUUGAAGGACUCGUAAAAUACUACAAAGGAUCUGUUUACAUGCUUAUCAUAACCAACGGAAGUAGCAUAUUCCAAUACCAGUGUAAUCAGAUCAUGGGGAAAAAUGGCUGAAUCAAAAUUUGGUGUCUUGGAAUAUGUGUGAUGUGUCGUGUGUCAUAGUAUAAAGAGUUUUUGUAGUGUUUAUCUUGUUGUUUGCAAUUGAACUAGUCUUAUUUUUGAGGUUCCAUGUGUUGAUUGCUACUUGCAUAUGUGCAGUCCAAGCAUGAUCUGAAGGGAAAAGAUCAACUGCUUGUUUUGACAAGAAGGUUCCCAGAAGGUCUUGCUGUAGUGGAAGUCAAGGAUGCAUACCCCAAUGUACUGGAAGAUCUGCAGGUGACUAAUUUCCUCAUCUUAUACUUAAGAUGUUGUUCCAGACAUAACAUGAUGCUGACACUGGUCAGAAAGGUAUCCAACUUGGUUACAAAAAUGCUGCUAAAAUAAUGGCUCCAAGUUAAGUUAGCAAUGUGCUCUAUUUUCACAAAAAAAAAGAAAAAGAAAAAGAAGAAGCAAUGUGCUCUAUAACCACAAAGGUAACCCAUGUGUUAGUUUAGUCAGGGGUCUUAUGUAUUGCCUAUCCAUGAUGGUUGUGCUGUCUGUCCUAAUGAAGUUCUUUUAUGUAGUUUGCUUAACCUUAUGUUUUGUAGGUGCAAUCUCAACUAGCGUGCUAGAAUCACAAGUGGCGAAGCUAAAUCUUCUACUAUUUAUAUUUAAGCAUAUACCUAUAAUCUUGAGUAUUUGCUGUGGUCUAGGCUCUGAAAGCUUCAGGUGAAGUUUGGCUUUUGUCAAACAUGGACUCCCAGGAGGACAUUGUGUACCCUAAUGAUCCAAAAGCAAAGAUCAAGGUUGAUGAUGAUCUGAAGCAGCUCUUCCGGGGAAUUGAGUUACCACGUGAUAUGGUCGACAUUGAAAAGGAGCUCCAAAAGAACGGCAUCAAGCCCAUGACCAACACUGCGAAACGACGAGCAGCCGCCCAGAUCAAUGGGGUGAAACCGAAGGCUAAACCCAAGAAGAAGCAGCGUGAGAUCACGAAACGGACCAAGCUCACAAAUGCCCAUCUGCCUGAGCUGUUCCAGAAUCUCAACACUUAAUCCUGCUACAAUGGUAGAAAACUGGAGGGUUCGGUUUACCUUUAUAAUUAUGUUGAUGUGUACAUACAAAACAUGUAUGUUGUGUGGCCUUAUGAGCUCCGCAAAUAUGUUUGACAAGAUUCUGGAUGCCCUAAUUAUGCAUUCUGACAUAAUACGAUACAAGACCUUGAGAUUUCCUCAGUUUUUCUUUUAUCUCAAUUGCAACAUCUUCCAAGUUCGCGAUAGUUUUGUGAAUUUCAGACCUCUCAGGUUUGCGCUUAAUUUCAGCGUGCGGUUGUGGAUCUUAUUUAAAUAGCUCCUUCCUAUUUGUAAAACUGUUCCACAUAAUUACUUCUACUGCCUAAGUUUGGACUUAUCGGUUAUUAAAAAAUCGGCUCAAGUCACGCACGAAGGCACGGCAGCGUCUGCCACUGUCGCGUUCUUGUACGUUGGGUUGUGCAAGAAUGCAGAAUGCCUAUUUGGCCCUUGUUCACUUCCUACAAAACUUCCAACUUUGGCACUAUGCAAAAAGAAGAUUCCCCAUCACAUCAAACUUGCGGUACAUGCAUAGAGUACUAAAUGUAGACGAAAUCAAAAACUAAUUGCACAGUUUUAUUGUACUUUGCGAGACGAAUCUUUUGAGCCUAAUUAGUCAAUAUUUGGACAAUAAUUCACAAAUACAAACGAAACGCUACAGUGUUGCUACAGUAAUUUGGCACCUCCCAAAUUCGCAAAGUAAACAAGGGCUUGGCUGGUAUUGGAAUUGGUACUGGUCGCGCAGUUUGUGUCCUGCAUUAUUGCAAACAGUUCUUGCUUCACCGCUUCAUUCCCGUCAGACACAGGUCCCAAUGCAUGACACCCAAGCAAAUGUAAACCCCACACAUAAGCAUUCCAGCGCCACUGAUUUCGAUCCUUUUGCUGCAGUUCCACUGAAGUGUUUUGAUGUACCUGACUAGCUCCUUUGGUGCAUUCUCUUCAAAUACAGGUUCAGGUCAAACUGAACAGGAAUAUGAUCCUCCUAGAAGUGCCAAAAGGAUUAUGGUUCUUUGGAGAACUUUGGUGUCUUCACUUCACACAAGGAAUAAGUUCCCCACAACUCUGGAGCGGCCUAGAUGUGAAGAAAGGGGUUUUCCAGGUCAAAUUGGCUACAGGCUUAUGGGCUGAUUCUGAGUCGUGGGCUAUCGAUUUGAUUAUAACCGCACGUAAGUAUGUCUACAUUGUUAAUUAUAACCUAUUUGCUCUUUAUUUAGGCAUGCAUUUGGUGGCGCAAAAUUGCAUGGGUUAUAAACUUUAUCAGUAGCUGCAUCAGAGCAUGGGUUAUAGUUCUUUCUCUGUCAUCGUGUAAAAUUGCAACCUAAAGUACUCCCUCCGUCUCAAAUUACUAUUCAUUUUGGCUUUUCUAGAUCAUAAUUUUUGAUACUUAGCAAAAGAUAUGAAUCUAAAAAAGCCAAAAUGAAUAGUAAUUUGGGACGGAGGGAGUACAUGUCAAGAGUUGCAGUUCUAGUUGUGCACUUGCGAAGUUAUGGUUUCUCUAGUUUGCGCAUUUUAUACAUAUAUAAAAGAUGCAUGAUAGAAGCAUGCACUAAUCAGUUUUCGCAGAACAACAUAAGUCUAGUCUGGCUGUAGGCCAGAUAUCCUAUAUACAAGGAUGAAUCGCCAUUCUUAUACCUUUAUGAGUGUUGUAACAGUAUAUCAGUAUAUGCAGUAAAGAAGGUCGAUCUUUUAUUCAGAUUUCGAGGUUGUUACUUUCUUAGGCAGCCGAGCGACCGGGUCUUACGAGAAAAAGGCUCAGCUGCUCAUCGGAUCAGGCCUGCAACUGUAAGUAGGUAUGCUUUUCCAUCGUCUGCAAGAACCACGGUGGAAGCUGAGGUUUCCUUCUUUACCUUGGGGUCAGUGUGUUUCGCUACUAUCUAUGGUUCUUGCAGAGUCGUGGCAUCUAAUUUCCUAGAUUAUUCAUGCAGUUUUUGCAGCUACACCUCUCGCCGCUCUGUUUCUGAGAUGAUCAAUGCUAGCACUGCAAGAUUAGACUUUGAUGUGCUAUAGUUCCGUAUCUAGGAAAAAAACACAUUUUACUACCUGAACAAUCCAGUUCAUCUGCUUAGCCCUAUGAACAAAAGUUCGGUUCAGUUUACUCGUUCGAAUUAUUUCAAUUGGCCCAAUACAAUACAGUAUAGCAGCAACAAAGUUCUUUUGAAUGAAUACGGGAUACGGAUACCAUCAGUUAACUCCAAAGGCUGUCUGUCUUGUACUGAUGGCAUUUCUCAUCUCUCAACUUUCUCAGACCAUCGCCUAUGGAUUGGCUCCAAUUGUCAUGCCUGUGAUUUGUGAAUGGCUCCUGUAACCUCGCAUGUUUAAUGUAUACUAAUCUAAAUCUCAUGCGUGUGAGUUGGGAGUGGUACCCGUGGACGUGACUGGCCUUGCCUGUAGCCUUCUACUGUAGGAGUAACUCUCUUGCUUCUGAUGCCAUAUGUCCCCAAUCAUGGUUGCCAUGCCAGGGACCAGGGUGCCUUCUACAGGCAUGUCAGCGUCCCUAAACUCGUACAUCAUGAUCCCAUAUGUCAGAUGCGCAUGAACACAGAAUGGCUAAGACAAUGACCCCUUUCUUAGCUCGUACAUCAUGAUCCCAUAAAGGGUGUCGUAGCUCGUACCAAUCCUCGAACCAUCACUGAUUUUCAUCAGAUAGUGUGCACUGAAUUUGUUCACAAAUAUUGACCAAACCGUUUGGCCAUCUAUUGAUCGUAGCCUCAUUGGUGUCGUGUCCACCUGCCGACAGUGCCCUGAAAGCGAACCGCGUCUGCUCCCAGUCCUCGCGUUCCUAUCAGUCGGAAAUGAGAUAAGGAGCUGCUGCUUUGUCAGCUCAGCUGUAUGGAUGACAGGCUGAACGCGGAGCAAAUAUCCAGUGUAAACCAGCUCACAAGAUGCUACUCCUACUAUGCAAAUUCGUAAUGAAAAUUCUUCCAAGGGGCCAAAUUGGAGAUGCUAUGUGAUCUGCAAAGAAGGCGAGGCACAAAUUGGGAGAAAAAAUUUACUCUAUUGCUUUAAAUUUCUACCGUUACAUUGCUAGAUUUCACCAAAUCGGUAGUAAGAAAAAAAAAUCUACCUUUUCUAUGUACUCUGACGCUACGACGACGCUGCAAGCCUGUCGCACCGUGCCGGCGCGAAAGACAGCCGGUCGUUCUCGAGAUCAUACACGACGUGCGUGUUCUGCUGCUGGAAGUUGCCGAUGACGGUCUGCUCCCCGGGCGCCGCGUCCAGCACGACGCACAUCACCCGCGCGCCGAGGUCCUCGAACACGUAGUUCCCGCGCGGUAGCUCCCAGUCGGCGCCCUCCAGGUGCAGCGUCAGCGCCGGCACGGCGUGGCGGCGCCAGAACGCCGUGACGGGGAGCGCGAAGCAGAGGUCCAACGCGGAGCCCUCCGCCGCGCCGCUGAGCGGCAGCCCGACCUGCGCAGCGAACUCGGCCCUCACGGCCUCGUACAGGUCCUCGGGGAGCGUCGUGAUCGACGCGCCCGAGUCGAUGAUCGCGGACCGGCGCCGCGACGCCGGCAACGGGAUGCGCGUCGAGCCCACCGAGAUGGCCUUGAGCGAGAGGAAGUAGAGCGACGGCUGCGAGGGGUCCCUGAGAAGCGGGGUGCUCCGGACCUCGCCGCUGUGCGCGUGGCCGUGGAGCGCGGCUGGCGCGCCGCCGAGCGUGACGAGGCUGCUCGUGGACUCGAACAUGGAGGUGAAGCAGUAGGAGAAGCUCGUGACGUUGAGCUGGCACGGCAGCGACCACCGCCCCCGGCCGAAGCCAGCAAUGCCGGUCUCGUUCGACUGGAACACGCCCUUGUUGAAGUGGCCGCACCCGAAGGUCAGGCGCCGGGCGGAAAGGCUGCUGCCGGCAUUGCCGCCGCCGCCGUCGUUUCCGAAGGUGAAGAGGUCGGUGGCGAGGUGGCCGGCGGUUACCGACUUGUCGCCGUAGUGGUAGACGUAGGCGCAGCUCCGGUUGCGCCCGCCGCAGGACGUGAAGGGGAGCGCGCGGCACCGGGGCGCGCCGCAGGGGAGCGCGGCGUAGGUGGAGGACGCCGCGGGGUCCAGGAGCGGGAGGCCCUGGUCGAAGCAGUCGCGGCAGGGCGCGCACUGCGUCCACACCAGGUCGCUCCCGGUGUCGAGCGUCAGCGCCACGGGCCGCGGCGGCGUGCCCACGGACAGCCGCAACAGGUACUCGUUCGUCACGAUGCCGCCGCCGAGCCCGGCGCGCACCCGCGCGCGCACCGGGCGCUCCGACAGCAGCCGCCGUCGCGCCCUGGCGCGGUGCACCAUGCGCCGCACGAGCUCCGGCCGCGCGAGGCCGCGGCCGGCGUCGGCGUGCGUGAGCAGCGCCACGAUGCCGGCGCCGGCGCCGGGGACGGCGGGCGCGGCGUGCGUGGGACACGGCAGCGCGAGCAGGACCAGCAGCGCCGCGAGCUUCUUCAUGCUAGCUUGGGACGGGAUCACAAGAGCUCGCACUGGGAUUCCACUUCUUAUUUUACGCAUCCUGAAUAAAGCACGCGGUUCUUGGUGAUUCGAGAGCGGGAUUGGGCAGUGGAUAAUCGGGAGGAGAGUGAGGACAGGCGGUUGGGUGAUGUGCCACUGAUGCCUACUUGUUGGCAGAAGCCGGUGGUGCGGUGACAAUGUUUUCAAAAGAACACGACUGCAUUGUGUACGCCGUUUUGGCAUGUAUGCUUUUUUCUUGAAUAUUUUGUACUGGGCGACAAAGUAAGAUGGGUUGGGAGUCGCCCAAGGACGGCAAAGGCGUUUUUGUUUGACCUCUCCUCGGCUGCCCUGUGUCAGCAGAGGAUGAGCAUGUGCGAGAAUCGAACACAGUGAGGACUGAGGACCAAGAAUUUUCAUGAUUGUAGUGUGGAUGAAAUCAUCGAAACCAUUGUCCUACUCCUACCUGAUUCUGCCAAAGUGACAGUGUGGCACAUUCUGUUACAUACUGUCAUGAAAAUCUGUCAAAUAAAUUAGUACGUAACAGUCUUCAACAUUAGAAUCUCGCCAUUAUUUUUCUCACAAAAUCUGUAAUUUAUAGCUACAGAACACAAUUACAUGGUAUGGAAGAAUUUUGAAAUAAGGAUUUGAUUAUAUAAAAUUUGACAAUAAACAUGUACUUAAUUUGACUACAUGUUAAAUAAAAUAUAUCAUGUUUGACCUUUUCAAAAUAAAAGAUGCGUUGAAGUUCUAUGGUAAUCCACUGAGUAGAUGGCAAGAAACAUAGAUGUUUAUAUGAAUCAUAAUGAAUGACCAAAAGGUGAAACUCUACAAUAAAAAGAGUGCAAAUACAUACACUUUUUUUUAAGAAUCAGACACGUAACCUUUUUUUAUUAUGAUCCUACAAUCUUUUUUUAACAUUGAUUGUAACUUUAAGUUUUAAUUUAUGAAGCUCUGGUUCUAAAAAAAGAUAUAAGGUUUCGCUUGGUCGAGGACCAAAGAUUUCUAGGUCCUAGAGAUUCAUAUCGAGAAUAUGGCAACCUUGUGAGACAUGCAACUGAGCCAAUACAUCCAUAUACCGUCAUCGAACUGCUACCGCAUUGCGAGAACUGAUGUACACAAUCGCUGUUGUAUUGAUCUUUGCUUUGCCUCAAAGGCUUCGAUUAACAAAAGAUCGAACGCCUGCACACGCUCCAGGACACCACCAUUUGUUUACUGUUGCUUCAUUUUGGGGGGGAGAAAUUUGAAAGGAUCGCCCAAACAUACAGAAAUGGCGUUUCAUGUUUGUUUGGUUUCAGCUUUAAAGUUUCAACCCUGAAACGACUCCCUCCCAAAAGGAAAACCCCUAGGAGACCAGCACCUCGAUCACUCCCUUUUGGCAACAAAAAAUCGCCCCGUAAACCGUAGUUUUCAUUCAGCAACUACCUGGCGGGGGAGGCGUCUCCGUCCGCACCGGAAACCGCAACGGAGUCAACCGGGGUGGUUAGCCGUGCUCCACCACCGGUACGAUUACGAGCGAUAGUCGAAAGGCUGGCUGUUUUUCCCUAGGGUCUAGGGAUAACUAACUGCUGGUGAUCACUGAGUGAUCAGAGUGCCUUUGGCUCCUGCAAUCAGAGUGAGGCAUGGUGCAAUGAGUUCUGGCUCUGGGGCGAGCUUUUCUUGCCAGGGAAGCGAUUGUUUUCAUUUGUUUAUUUUUUUCACCUGCGCAUCUCGAAUUCUCGAUGUCACUGUCUUGCGGUAUCAUGUGCUCUCGGUUCAGCAAGCUUUGGGUGUUGUUUCUUUUUUUUUUAAAAAAAAGAGGAGGAAUCCACUAGGAGUCUUCAGUCUUCACCGUAUAUAAUCAUGCGUGCCUCGUGACUAGGCAUACUGUGGUCAAGUGUCAAGAUCACUUACCAGACACUCAUGGCAGAUUUCGGAGCAGAUCAUCAGUACUCUUUUAGUGGGGGCUGAUGAUCACCUCCCCACUUAACCAAACAGAGCAUGCCGCCCUUUUACUUUGGGAACAGGUCAAUGACAUGUUGACAACUGUGCGUGCCAAACAAACUCUUGCACGGCCACUGGUCAAUAAGCAUGCUCUCUGUUUUCUAUGCGAAAGCAGCCAGAAUCCAACAACCCCUGUUAGGAGCAGAGCAGCAUCUUGUUCGAUGGAGCUGAAUUUUGCAGUCGAUUCACUCGGUGACACCGACCGUGCGUUAGGCCGCAUCUGGACCUUCCGGCGUUGCUGCCACAGCGGCGACCAGAUUGGCCACCGGCGAGGCGAGCAGGACAAGGCGGACGGGGGUGGUCAAAUGAUACGGAAUGUGGUGCUUGCGUGUUGACGCGUCGGUGCCCGAUUAGGUUGGCGCGAAUGAUGAUUUGCUACUCGUGCUUCUGGGGUUGUACUGAAGAAAUACACGUACUCCUGUGUGCAGCUGAGGCUAGGUUGAGUUCGAUGUGAUACCCGAACCAUGACUUCAUGAGCUGAUCAGGUUAGUACUGUAUGAUGAUAAUACUACCUACUUUCUGGGGCCACAGAUCACUAGAGAAGAAACCACCAUGACAAUACAUGACAUGCUUGUGCUAACCAUUCAAUAAGCAAGCCAGCAUGCUGAUCAGGUUAGUCUACGUGUGAAGAUUGACCUGUGCCAACAGUUGCUUCAUGGAGUGUUUGUAGCGGAGGAUAAUUGUGAACCUCCUUUCUUUUUUAAAACACGCAGUGCUUAAUACUCCAUCCGUUUCAAAUUGUAGAUCGUUUUGACUUUUUCUAGGUUUAUAGAUAUUAUUAUGCAUCUAGACAUACUAUAUCUAAGCGCAUAGAAAAACUAUGCACCUAGAAAAGUCAAAACGACCUAUAAUUUAGGACGGAGGGAGUAGAUGUUAAAGCAGUAUUAUUUAGAAAAAGAAACCUAUGAAUUUUUUUUAGAAAACCUGAUAAACUCAAUUGGUGUCAGUAAUUGGCCUUAAAAACGAGUUUCACGAGGGAGGGAGCGAGGUUCCAUCAGCAGCGAAAUUUAAGCCGAAACAAAAAAAAAAUAGCCUGAAAAAAGGAGGAAGUAAUGCCGGCCCAUGGGACAGACCACAUUUCGCGUAGUCUAGACUCUAGAGGCCCCCAAGCCCACUGUGUGGCACGCGCGCGCAGCCUGCGCCUGCGUGUUAGGCUUGCACCGAAGCGAGUCGCCGCCGCCCGGACAGGACUGCUGAGGAGACACGCACUUGCCGUCGAUGCCUCGCCAGCGAGUCCACACCGAAGCAGGGAGAUGCUAAAGCGGACAUCCAAAUCCAAAUCCAUGGACGACCUCAGUGAUGUCCCCAACAAAAAGCAGGGUAUCCGAUCCGAUGAUGCGAGCUCGCGCACAUCUUUAUUUGGUGCUCCGAGGUCAACCGUAGUCCACUACAAAUACUGUUAAUCCAUCCCUUGGUUGGCAUUUGGCAAUGGUUUCCAUUGCACAAACUGGAGCGAACGACCCUCUAGCUGACUUGUUAGGGGCUUAAGUAGCAGCUUCGUCCUGGGUUCGACUCCCCGUGAGAGUAAAUUUUAGGUUAGGAUUAAAAAAAUACUCUCGCCUGUCACCAUACCAAAGUAUAAGAGGCCCAGCCCAGUUCUCAAAUGGACUUAAUGGUGCCACUGUGCGAGGGUGGAGUAGGGGUCGGAAGUUUUCUAGGUCUGCGAGAAUGUCAUCUUCUUGAUGCAAAUCCCCUCCUCCCCCCUCCCCCCUCCCCUUUCGCCUGUCACCACAUCAAAGCAUAAGGAGACCCGAUCCAAUUCUAAAUUGGGCUUAACGGUGCCAUUGUGUAAGGGUGAGGCAGGAGUCCGAGGAUUUUCUAGAUAUGCGAGAAUACCUUCUUCUUAAUUUCGGGAGCGCAUGCGAGAAUGUUUCUUCUUCAUGCAAAUGCCCGAGGGCGUCGUACCCCGCAAGUCUAGUUUUUUUUUCCUGUUGCACAAACUGGAGCGUCCGCGUCGAAGGAAGCACCGCGGUGUGCUAGCUUUGUUUCGUUUGUUUGGUCGGCGGCACAAAACUGAACGAGCUGAGGUUGCAUGGAUGGGACGGUAGACAAGACAACAUGCGCAAGUAUAAAGCACUCCCUCGGCAAUGGUUUGCAGGUAUCAUCCGAUGAAUAAGCUGACGGUGACUCUGGUUGCCGGUUGGAGGUAUGUACAGUGUGAGGUUCUACGUUUGGCCCUGGCUACUAUGUUUAUUCGAUCGAUUUCUUUUUACUUAUAUACCACACUCAAGUGUUUCUUUCCUCUCCCACUCGAUUUUUUUUCCGGCUGCAUCAUAAUCCGACCGUGGAUCUCCUUUCUUCUUCCUGAGUAACAACAUAUUAAGUUAGGCUCGUUAGUUAAAAAAAAUGCGUAGCUUAGCUGAUAAAAUUCCUUAUGGUAAAACCUGCUCACUAGAGUUCGAGUCUUCGACUCGACACUGGCAUUUAUAUUUUUCUGGAUUUAUUCCAGGAUUUAACCGGCACGAUUCUUUCGGUGGUAGGCGAUAUGCCCGUCAACAGUGAGGCGCCAGUGAUGACUUCGUCAAUCUCGAGGAUUUGCCGGUUCAGUCUUUCGGAGGUGCUCAUAGAGGUAGAGUUACGUACAUGUGUUCGUAGGGAUGAGUGUGCAUGCGUGUUUUUGAACGUAUGUGUCUUUACCGUUUGAUUCGAAAAAAAAAGUUAGUCUCGAGACUUUUGAUUGGUUGUGAGCUUUGAUAGACAUGUAGCCAGGACAAAUGGACGGUGACUGUUAAUAUAAUAAGAUGCAAUACGAUAAAAAUAGAACCCUAUUUGUGAAAAUAUAGAUUCCCCAUGCUCUUUUUGAAGGGAAUUCCCAUAAAAUAGUUCUAUUUCAUAUUUUUUCCAUACAAGAAUCCGAAAAGAUUCCCACGUUGGCCCCAAUGUUCAUUCGAUCGAUAGCUACACCUUUAUUUAGCACUACCGAUACAGGUAAAAACUAGAAAAGCUCACACCGAUAUGCAUUUUCUGCCCAUCCAAAUGUGAAGGGCUGGGAACCCAUUGACGCAUUCGAGUCAUUGUUUCGUUACAUUUCAAACUUUCAGAUGUAUUGAUUUGACACCUGUCGUUGUCGAGAUUAGCGGAUCAAGACUAAAACUAGUAAAUUUCUUUUAUGCGCGUAAGAUUUCGGAUGGUGGCGUGGGAGACACGGGGUUUAGACUGGUUCGGGUAAGGAAAAGCCCUACGUCCAGUAUGGGGAGCUGCUCGUGUUGCCCACGUGGGGUCUGUAGUAGGGGUUACAAGAGUGCGAGAGAGGGAGCUGGUCCCAAGUCUCUUAGGUGUGCACUGAUGUUCUGAAGGAGAGUGUGUGUGUUCUGUUAGCUUGAGAGAGUCCCCUGUCUCAGGGCCCCCGGUCCUCCUUUUAUAGCGCAAGAGGAGCUCAGGGUUACAGAUGAGCCAGGCAUGAGGAGAAGUAAAAGAGAUAAGCUAAUUCAAGUAAAAUACAAUACAAGGGGAAGGACCAAGUUCCAGGGCCACCGCCCCCCACUCCGGCCUUCGGCUCCUGUCAGCGCGUCCGCCGGAAGAGGACGGCUGCCUUCGGAUCCUGUCGACGAUCUCCCUGGUGGCCGUUGCCGCCAGGCAUGAUGAUGGUGUUCGGUCAUGGCAUCUGUGCCCGUCGGGGAAGGCGGCUGCUCCUGUUAUCUUGCUGAUGGUCCGUGGGACGCGGACGUCGCGUCCCUGUCGCCGGAUACGUGGGGCGUGAGAACGGGCGGGGCUUCCUCCUGUGCCGGACGGCGCAAGCCAUGAGUGCCUUGCAGGGAAUCGGGGAGAGCCGCGACCACUGUAGCCUGUGCUGUGCGGUCGUGCAUGGGUACUUAUGGCGGGUCGCGUCGGGGGCACGGGCGCCUUUCUGCACGCUAAGGCCGCGGCACAUUUAUGGCGAGAUCGACAGGGGGGCCCACAAGAUCCGCGCUCUUAUCUUCCAGUCUGCGCUCGAGGCGGAUACUUGUCUUGUGGGCCCGGAUGAGUCCGACCCCCUGCGCCCCGAGUCGGGCAAGGCGGAGUCUUGUAGCGAGGGGUCGGGCGCUCCUGACCCUGGGACCGUGGGUCGGGCGAGGCGGAGUCUGGUUAUCAAGGGGUCGGGAACGUCCGACCCCGGGGCACUGGGUCGGGCGAGGCGGAGCGGGGCUCUCCCCUCCCAUGUUAGGCCGACGGUAGUCUUCAUUACCUCAGGUAGGCCUGUGCCUUGAUGAUUGUUGUUUUAAUGGGCAUUAGGAGGUUGUUAAUAUUUCCCCCCAACAGUAGCCCCCGAGCCUGUGGUGGAGCGGGGACGCUCCUCCAGAGGCUGCUAUCGUCGUUUGUAGGGGAUUCCUGCUCAUCGUGCAAGCUGCAGUUAAUCAGGGAUGGGAAGUGUUGUUUGUUCGGCUUGGUCGAGGAGGUUGAUCAGGCGAAGCGUCCUGUGGGCGACUCGGCACGGGAGGAUUUCUUGUUGUUCCAUAGAGCACCUUCCGUCUGAAAACCUCAAGUCGUGACCAUUCGCGUGGUCAUUAGUUGCGUGGCUAGCCCUCGAGCCCCUGUGCGUUGCAGGGGAUCGGUUGGGAGGCUAGAUUGACUUUUGUACGUUACCCCUCAAGCGUCCGUUCGCUGAGACGGAGGGGGCGAGCCGUGCCACGUUAUCCUCGCCGGACGAACUGUGGUGCUCGUUGAGCUGCUGACAGGUUGAUUCGAGUGGGGUCCCGGUCCCCGUUCGGGGAGGUCCGGCUCGGGCCAAGCUGGUGGCGUACCCUAGGUUCCGGUCGGCCAGUUCAUAUAGUUCCCGAGUCCGUUCGAUCGGAUCCGGGGGCUCGUUGCCUUUCCUCGGGGAAAAACCAUGAACUCUGGUGCCGGCCCGGACUCAAAUGUGAGAUUGGGACACCCUAGGUUGUCGUGCGCCCGGGUGAUGGCCGCUAGCGGACCCGUCCCCUCUCACCCCUCGGUCGAGGGUGUCCUGGCGCAGCUAUCGAACCCGUAGUGGGCCAGCCUUCGAACCCCUGGACCGUAAUGGGCCGUAGGGGCGUUUUCAGCCCCGUAUCCCUUUUUUACCUUUUGGUGGGCCUUGGGCCGGACGUGGAGGAGGUUGUGCGCGUGCGUUCUCCGGGAGGCGAGGUGGCGGAAGAUGCCGGCCCAUGAAAUGAGGGGGACGGGGAUGUUUUCCUGCAGCAGAUCGUGCACACGGACUCCGAGAAAAGCGGGCGUGACGGGGCGUACUUGGCGCUGCAUUUACUGCGAUGGGGCCGACUGUUCCGCUACCCACGCAUCUCCAUAUAAGACGGGGGGAGGGGGCGUGCCUCGCCGGUUCCGCCCGCAACUGCUCCCAAGUCUUUUCGCCUUCUCGCGCCCCCUUUGUCUUCCUGCGCGCCGCUCGCCUUCCUCCGCCUAGCGCCGCAGCUUUACCCGUCCUCCGCCAUCGAGCUCUCCACCCCCUAGCGAUGGAGUCCUGGUCGCGCUCGAACUUUGGGUCCUCGCGUGCCGACGGCCUCGUGAGGAAGGGCCUCCUCUGCGAAAGGAGCGAGAGGGGCGAAUGGCGGUUUCCCGGGAAUGAAGAUGUGCCGAGCUCGGGCGAUGGCUACGUCGUCUCCUUCGCACACUUCCACGAGAGGGGGUUCGCAUCCUCGCCGAGCCAUUUCUUUCGCGGGCUGCUACACUACUACGGGCUCGAGCUGCAGCACCUUAAUCCCAAUGGGAUCCAGCACAUCGCAACGUUCGUCGCGCUGUGCAAGGGGUUCUUGGGCAUCGAGCCCAACUUCUCGCUCUAGAAGUACUUCUUUGUGGGCAGCCUGUACCAGAAGACCGAGAGGAAGGGGAGCCAGCAACGGGCGAUCCCGGUGCCGAUCGGGUGCGCCGCCAUCCAUCUCCGCCAGACCCGCGCCACGGAGUACAUGGCAAUGAAGACCGCGGCGUCCCACAAGGGGUGGCAUCAGCAGUGGUUCUACGUGAAGAACUACUCUAACUCCCCCUUGCCGGAGUUCACUAGCCGCGUCAUUGAAGUGGCGCCGGAGUUGUGGUCGUACAGCCCGGUGGAGAAGGAGAAGAAGCGGAUCACCGGCUUGCUUCAGGCCAUCGAGUACCUGAAGGGAAAGGGGCUGACCAGGGCUGGAGUUAUCGGGGCGUACCAUGCUCGGAGGGUGGCGCCGCUGAUGCUCCGGGUCCGCUCGCUCGCCGAGAUGACCCCCGGCGCGCCGACCGAAGGCACCGUCCUUGCGACGGGUGCGCUCACCGCCUCCGAGAUCCGGCAGCGAGUCCGGGAGGCGCUGGACGACAAGGACGCCGAUUACCCGGUGCCCGGCCACCCUUCGAUGCGCCUGGACGAGAAUUUUGUCAAGCUGGUGGGGACUUCAUGCUCCGGUUCCUUUCUUUUGUGUUUCUUGGUUCGUCAUUCCAACGCGAACCUUUCAUGUUUGUAGGGCAGCAGGACUAGCGUUGUCGACUCGCGCUCGCCGGUGCCAGAGGACGCCGAAGGGCGGCAGCAGAACUGCCUCCUUGCCGAGAAGCAGAAGCAGCAUAAGGAUAGGGAGACGGCGAGGAAGAGAAGGAAGGCCGCCAAGGAGUUCCAACGGCGGCGGUGGGGCCAGGUUGUGUCGGAUGACGACGAUGAGGAGGAGGAGGAGGAUGACGAGGAGGAGGAAGAGGAGCAGGAGUUCAUUCUGACCCCUCGGUCGGGUGAGCUCGUUAUCCGGGAAUCGUGCCCCCAACCGGCUGCUGGGGGCACGUCGAGCGGACUGCCUGCGCAAGACCCGCCCCCGCGAGGCUCUGGGGCCGCGCGCCAGGGGUCGGCGCGGGGCGCGCCUCGGGAGUCGACGGAAUCGACCCCCAACCCUCAACAUGUGGCCCAAGAGUAGAGGAGCAACAGCAAUCGGCUGCUGCCAGAUGCCCCGGGGUCGGUGUCGGGCUCAGAGGCGAAACGCACCCGCCGUCCUUGCGCUGGAGGAGUGUAGGUGGAAAUUCCUCGCGCGUCUCGUUCCUUUCCUAGCAUCGAGUCAUUUUUGCUGAUGUUGUUUGUCGUCUCACAGCGUUGCCCCUAGAGGCCUCGUCCCGCCGCUGGAGCCGAAGAAGGCGCUACGGGUGUCGUCCACCUCCGCGGGGCGGAUCGCGACCCCACCGGCAGCACGCGGCGGCGUCGCUAGAGAGACUGCAAAGCCUACCGCGGAGGUGGCUCCUGCGGCGGCAACUGGUGGAGUGGUGCCGCAAACGGGCACGGGGCAGGGUUCGACCCCUGCUCCGCCCUCAGCCUCCCCGACCGACCCCGCAGGAUAGGGCAUUGCCCCUGGGGGUCCUCCGACCGGGGGCGUGAUAGACCUCGACGACGAGGUGGAGGAGGAGCGUGCGGCUCCGUCGGUGGCGGCGGAGGAGAGAGAGUCCACCCCCGUGGCCACGACGGGGACAGCGGGUGCGGGAGAGGCGAGGACGCCCGCCCCGGCUGCUGCAGCGGCGGCGGAGGCAGGGACAUCUGCCCGGGAAGCCGUGGCGAAGGCAACUGUGGCGGCGGAGGCGGGGGUGCCUGCUCUGGCGGCUACGACGGGGCCGGGAUGCCUGCCUCGGUGGUCGCAUCGAAGGCCGCGACGGCGGCGGUGGACGGAUCGGGACGCAUGUCGGCGUCGACGACGGCCGCGGCGACCUCGACGAGGGCGGUGGCGCACGCGCUGAGGCCGUCGAUGAGGCCAGCGACAUCCGGGGUGGUGGUGCCUGCCCCGGCGGCGGCGUCGGGGACGGCGGCGUCGGGGGCGGCCCCUACCCUUGUCUCGGCCAAUCAUGUUCCCAAGGCAUGGAAUGGGUAUAUCUAGCGCUGGACGUCCCGUGAUGACCCGCAGAGACCCCUCUUCACGCUGGAAGACGCCGAGGAGUGGGGCAAGUGGCAGGCAGUGCAGGGUGGACUUGCAAACGUUUGCGCUGCCCUAUCCUCGAUGAUGGGGGAGCUGGACGGUGUCGUCGUUCCCGGUGGCCAGGUAUGGUGUUCUCCAUAGCGGUUAUUUCCCUCUCGUCGCUCUGUUACUGAGCAUAUAUUGUCUUGUAGGCCCUCCAGGUGUGUAGCCGGGGGAAGUCCGAUAUCCUCCGACUUGAGCGGGGGCUCUGGGAACGCUUCGCUACAGAGAGGCAGCAGACCGGGAGUUGACCGCGCAGGUUGCCGCCGCCCAGCAGGUCAUCAACGACCUGCAAAGGCGCGAGCAGGCGGCGCGGGAGGACGCACGGCGGGCAGAGGACAAGUUCCAGGCCAUCAUCGAGAAGGCUCGCCUCGACCGCGAGGAGUUCCAGGCCGCUGCUGAGAAGACCCGCCUUGAUGCCGAAGAGCUCGUACGGCUGAAGGGGGAGCAUGAAGCCCUUCAGAAAAUCGUCGAGCACAUCCGGCGCGAGCGGCAGAAGGCUUGGCAGGACCGGGACUUCGAGGCAGCCCGGAAGGACGAGGCUGAGAAGGUGGCGGCCGAGCUUGGGGCGGAGGUCAGCCAGCUCCACGUGCAAGUGCAGGAGCUUCAUACCACCGUGGCCCUGGGGCUCGACUGGGAGCGUGAGCUGAAGGCCCAGUUCGAGGGUAAGGCUCUUUUCGUUCCUUUGUUUUAUGCUGCUUUUUGAUGGUUUCUGACUUGGACUUCUACGGACGAACCUUACAGACGAGAUCGCCCGGUUGAGGGAGGUCCUCGACGCGGAGCGCGCCGAGCACGACAACCUGCAAGACACGGUCCGCGUAGUCUGCAACAGCCUCGGCGUGGUCUAGGGGGAGGGGAUGAGUUCAUUGACGACUCGUGUCCUUGGGACGUACCGACAGGCCCACGAGAUCGCCCUGGAGGCACUCCGCGUCAGCGUGAGGUGGGCCUUCGGUGUCUUCGGUUCUCACUACUCCGGCAUUAACUUCGCCGGGAUGAGCGGGGGUACGCCGCCGGCUACUCCGAGGCCGAGUUGGACGAGAUUGACGCGUCGGUGCUCAACCCAGCGGAUGCCUUGGCGGAGCUUCUGGAGGAUGAAGCCGUCCCGCCCGAAGAUCCCAGGACGAGUUAGCUAUAUCGGGCUUAGGUGCCCCAAGUGUAAAUAUGUUAGUUUGACUUUGAACUUGUUUUCAUGAUGGCCGCAGAGGCCUUUUCUAUAAAUUGUCAAAAAAAGUUUUCGAUCCUCUUUCUUAUUUUUUUGAUUUGGAAAGUUUAAAGCGCGGGUUGGGCAUGUCAGUAAGCAUUGAUGGGCGAAGGUACCGUAGCCUCUUGGGCGUAGGCUUUUUCGUAGUCCGAUCAGUCUUGCCUGAACGCCGUUCGUGCACUCUCUCCUUUUCACGUCCAAAAGUUUAGGAAGAGGGUCGGCUCGGAAAGAAAAGGCAUUUUGAGAAGAUGUCAUGUGACUUGGGCCAGAGCCCCUGAUAGCCCCCGAGGGCUAUGCGGCCCUAAGGCAGAGCCAGGGUUGGAUAUCCCUGAGUUCGAUAUGAAACUUGAAUGAAAUCAACUCAAAAUUCCUUUUUCCGUAAAUUAUUAAGUUACAGAAGUGUUUAUGUAUAGAACUUGGAAACAAAACUAAGGGUAGAAGCAUCUUAGAUGCUCUAUGUUCCAAGCGUUUUUGAAGAUCUGUCCGUCAGGGCUCGCCAGCUUGUACGUGCGUGACUGCAGUACUUGUGUGAUCAUGAAGGGACCUUCCCAUGGAGGGGUCAGCUUGUGCCGACCUUUGUUGUCCUGGAUGAGGCGGAGCACCAGGUCGCCGAUGUUGAAGGCUCGGCCUUGCACCUUGCGGCUGUGGUAGCGUCGUAAGGCCUGCUGGUACUUAGCCGAGUGCAGCAGGGCUACAUCGCGCGCUUCGUCGAGCUGGUCUUGCGCAUCUUCGAGCGAUGCCUGGUUUCCCUGUUUAUCGUAUUCCUUGACCCUUGGCGAUCCAUACUCCAGAUCGGUGGGGAGGAUUGCCUCGGACCCGUAAACCAUGAAGAACGGGGUGAAGCCGGUUUCCCUACUGGGGGUCGUCCUUAAACUCCACAGGACCGCGGGGAGCUCCGCGACCCAUCGACCGCCGAACUUUUUGAGAUGGUCGAAGAUCCGUGGCUUCAGACCCUGGAGUAUCAUGUCGUUGGCUCGUUCAACAAGCCCGUUCGUGCGGGGAUGUGCCACGGCCGACCAGUCCACUCGGAUGUGGUGGUCGUCGCAGAACUGGAGAAAUUUCUUCACGGUGAACUGCGUGCUGUUGUCCGUGAUGAUGGAGUUGGGGAUUCCAAAUUGAUGGAUGAUGUCAGUGAAGAACUGUACCGCCUGCUCGGACUUGAUUUGCGCAACCGGUCGUGCCUCGAUCCACUUGGAGAACUUGUCGACGGCGACAAGCAGGUGGGUGAAGCCCCCAGGCGCUUUCUUGAAGGCCCCGACGAGGUCCAGCCCCCAGACCGCGAAGGGCCACAUAAUGGGGAUGGUCUGGAGCGCUUGUGCGGGCAAAUGAGUUUGGCGCACGAAGAAUUGGCACCCUUCGCAGGUGCAGACCACAUGGGUGGCUUCGGCGACCGCCGUCGGCCAGUAGAAGCCCUACCGGAAGGCGUUUCCAACAAGGGUUCUUGGAGCGGCGUGGUGGCCGCAGGCUCCAGCGUGGAUGUCCUGAAUCGGCACCUUUCCCUGCCUGAUCGGGAGGCAGUGCUGGAGAAUGCUGGUGUAUCUCCGCUUGUAGAGCUCCUGGUCAAUGAUGACGAAGGAUUUGACGCGGCGCGCAAUUCUACGUGCCUCCGUCUUGUCCGCCGGGAGCGUCUCGCGGAUGAGGUAGUCGAGGUACGGGGCUCUCCAGUCAGGCGGGGGGUCGGGCCCCGCUGCUGGAUCCGCAUCGAUCUCCAUGAUUUUAGGGUCGGAGGGGUCGGCCUCCGAGUCUUGGACAGGUGGAGCAUCGCCGAUAUCGUCUGGGUCGGCGCCCGAGCCCGGGACAGGUGGCGCGUUGCCGAUCUCUCCCGGGUCGGGGCUUGAGUCCGGGGCAGGUGGCGCAUCGCCGACCCUCCCCGAUUCCUGGUAACGGAUCGAGGGCUUGAACUGGUCGCUGAUGAACACGCCAUUGGGUACGGCCUUUCGAUCAGAUGCCGCCUUUGCCAGUUCGUCAGCCGCCUCGUUAAAAAGCCUUGCGACGUGGUUGAGCUCUAGUCCGUCGAACUUGUCUUCGAGCUUGCGGACCUUGUUGCAGUAGGCUGCCAUCUUGGGGUCGUGGCAGCUCUACUCCUUCAUGACUUGUUCGAUGACUAGCUGAGAGUCGCCUUGGAUGUUCAGCCGCCAGAUGCCCAGCUCGAUGGCGAUGCGAAGCCCGUUGAGGAGAGCCUCGUACUCGGUGACGUUAUUAGAUGCAGGAACAUGGAGGCGGAUCAUGUACCUCAUGCGCACGCCGAGAGGAGAGACGAAGACUAGGCCUGCUCCGGCGCGAGCCUUUAUCAACGACCCGUCAAAGUACAUCGUCCAGUACUCCUGCUUCUCCGGCGCCGAUGGCGUCUGGAUCUCCAUCCACUCUGCUACAAAAUCGGCGAGUACCUAGGAUUUGAUGGCGGUGCAGGGGGCAUAAGUGAUGCCCUGUCCAUAAGCUCGAGCGUCCACUUCAUGAUCCAUCCCGUGGCGUCCUGGUUUCGGAUCACUUCACCGAGGGGGAACGACGAAACGACCGUCACCGGGUGGGAGGUGAAGUAGUGGCGCAGCUUCCUCUUCGUGAUGAGUACGGCGUAGAUGAGCUUCUGGAUCUACGUGUAGCGCACCUUGGACUCGGACAAGACCUCGCUGACGAAGUAUACUGGACGCUGCACCUUGAGGGUGUGUCCCUCCUCCUCUCGUUCCACCACCAGAGCAUCGCUAACUACCUGGGUGGUCGCCGCGAUGUAGAGCAGGAGGGGCUCCCCAUCGGUUGGCGGACUAGGAUCGAGGCUUUCGUCAGGAGGUUCUUGAGCCGGUCAAGCGCCUCCUGGGCCUCGGCGGUCCACUUUAAGCGGUCGGUCUUCUUUAGGAGUCGGUAGAGAGGAAGUCCCCAUUCGCCGAGGCGCGAGAUGAAGCGGCUCAGGGCCGCCAGGCAUCCCAUGACGCGCUGAACUCCCUUUAUAUUUCGAAUCGGCCCCAUGUCGCUGAUGGCCGCUAUCUUUUCCGGAUUGGCUACGAUGCCGUGUACGGAGAUGAUGAAACCCAGCAGCAUGCCUCUCGGAACCUCGAAAACAAACUUUUCAGGAUUGAGCUUGAUGCGCUUGUCCCUCAGCCUUUUGAAGGCUAGUUCGAGGUUGGGGAUGAACUGGUUGCCCUUCUUGGACUUGACUAUGAUGUCGUCGACAUAAGCCUCAACGGUUCGCCCGAUGAGGUCCCCGAAACACUUAAGCAUGCAUCGCUGGAACGUAGCCCCCAUGUUUUUGAGGCUGAACGGCAUCUUAAUGUAGCAAUAGGGCCCGAAGGGGGUGAUAAAAGAGGUUGCGAGCUGGUCGGACUCUUUCAUCGUGAUUUGAUGGUAGCCGGAAUACGCAUCAAGGAAGCUAAGGGUUUCACACCCGACGGUUGAGUCGAGUAUCUGAUCUAUGCGCGGCAAAGGAAAUGGAUCCUUUGGGCACACCUUGUUGAGACCGGUAUAAUCAACACACAUCCUCCAUUUCCCAUUCUUUUUUCGUACAAGAACAGGGUUAGGUAGCCACUCGGGGUGGUACACUUCCUUGAUGAAUCCGGCCGCCAAAAGCUUCUGGAGCUCCUCGCCGAUGGCCUUGCGCCUCUCCUCGUCGAAGCGGCGCAGACCUUGCUUCACUGGCUUGGAGUCGGCCUUGAUGUUCAAGGAAUGCUUGGCGACUUCCCUCGGAAUGCCGGGCAGGUCCAAGGGUUUCCACGCGAAGACGUCACUGUUCGCGCGGAGGAAGUCGACGAGCACGCUUUCCUAUUUGGGAGAUAGGGCAGUGCUGAUCCGUACGGUCCGACCGUCGGAGCUGCUGGGGUCGAGGGGAACCUCCUUGACGCCUUCGGUGGCCCCGAAGGAGGUGGCCGACUGAAGCGUCCCCACAUAAGUAGAGACUAAAUGUGAUACAAAUAUCAGUCCCAGGAGGCUGAUAACACAUUUAUUCGACAGAUAAUUCAGUUACCAUACAACUCCCGAGGGAGUGGGCGUGAGAGCCACGCAGCGAUAAUAAGUAAAUAAACAACAGCGGCUAACCAAGCGACUGCCAAAAGACAGCACUCGGGACUACACGGCAGCAGCAGCAUCUUGGAAAGGCCAACACCACAGGCAGCGUUGGGUGCGGACACAACCUCUACUCAAGGUCUUCGACGAUGAAGUCCGGGUCUUCCUCUGUAGCAACGAAGCAAGGGUGAGUACGUACGUACUCAACAAGUCUAACCCCAUCCUCGGAGGGGGAUACAAGCAAGUAUAUGCACAGGAUAAAACAAGGGUUGGCUAGAGUUUAUUUGCAAUAAAGCCAGAUUUUCAACACAUGCAUAGGCUCAUUUUCAAACAAAUUUUUUUAAAGCUUUUCUUUAGUAACCGAACGAAGAGUGGGGUUGAUCCUACACAAAGGAUCCAAGUUUUUAUCGCUAUCGGACUCCCCGUCCGCCAUAGCGCACGGCACGACUGCCGGACUUUUCCAAAAUUCAACCCACACACACACACACACACACCAUCCAUGCCCAAGUGCUAGUUAUGUGACCAAGCCGUAACUCGUCUUACCCGGAUAGGUUUUAACUCUGCAGAGGUUGUACACUUUUCCCACAAGUAGUGUACCGCAGCACGAUCACCUUAGUGCUAGUGCGGAUCCUAACAAAGCCAUUACCCACCUUAACUAAAACUGGCUAGCCCUCACGGGAGCACCCAAGGGGUUCACGGCUCAUCCACGAGACCGUAACCGGGACCUAAGUCACCAAGAUCUUACUCCUUUUCCAUGGGCUCCCGUUGCUCACCAGCACCCCUGAGGACUAACAGUUCAGCUUGUGGGAUUUAUGCUAAGCCGUUGCCCAUACAACGGUCGAGUGGUUGCAUGAUAGUUGAAUUAGACAAGAUGACACAUCAACUCGGUCCUUAACCCCGACAAGAUGGAUAUCUCCCAACAUUGCUCAACCACCAAGGUAUGAGCACAACACCCUGGCAUCCCACACGAGGAAUACCCAUCCAUCCUGUCUACACAUCCUUUUUCCUUUGAACCCAGAAACCAUUUUCCUUACUUGCACACACACACAUUUAUUUUCCAAAAACAUCAUUGUAGUGGUGAUUGUAUUUAAGUAGCAAAUCCCUAAGCAUUCUAGCGGUAGCUAUCGACCAAAUAGAGCGAAUCAUAUUUAGAGACAACCAUAGGAUAACAAGGAAUGUUCAUAACAAUCAAGGGGUGGCUAUCCAACCAUGUCUUGCAACGAAAUAAUAUGCAUUUUGUAAAACAGGCCAAUAGGUUGUGUUUGGAAAACUAGGUAUUAAAUAUGCAUCAAAAGGGUGAGAUUGGACUUGCCGUCUUCAAAGCCUUCCGGGAGCUCCGGCUCGUGCUGCUGGUCCUCGGGCUCGGGCUCGCGGUCAAACUCCUCCUCGGGAUUCUCCUCGGGCAAUCCGCGAUCUACGGCACACACAAACGGGCACACAAAUAAAUAAAAGAAAGUUGGUUUUUAUCCGUUGAGCUCCGAACAGAAAACGUGAAUGGAAAAUAGGUAGAAAGAUUAUUUUUGGGAAAUUUGGAUAUGGAUCGGCGAAAGUAUUCCGGAGGAUGACGUGGUGAAAUUUGGGAUUAAUUGGAGGAAGUUUGGCGCAUGAAAUGACGGGUUAAACAUGAAUUAGGGCUUAAACGGAGGUUUAGGACUGAUUUAUAAUAAACCAGGGACCUAUUUGUGAAUACUUUUGGAGGUGGAGGGGCUUAUCCGCGAAUAGGUUUAUGGGAGUGGUGGGAGGACUAUUUCGCGAAUAAUGGAUUUCAGGGGGUUAGAUCAGAAUUUGGGCUUUCUUCCUCCUUCUCCCAGGAAACAAAGAGAGGGAGGGUGGGGAGGAGAGAAAGGCCGGCGGCGGCCGGCCGGCCAGGGCCUCAUUGGCGGCGCCGAAGGUCGGGGAAAGGUGGAGGGGGAGAUGGGGAUUCCAUUUUCCCUCCUUUACCGUGGGUGGCGGCAGCGGAAAGGGGCGGCCGGUGUUGGUCUUUGGGCGGCGGCGCACAGCUUCGGUGGUGGCUACUGGCGGCGGCGGUUGGCGGCGCGCAGGGGCCUAGCACGGUCGGCGGUAGUGCUGGAGGAUGGGGUGGGGAGAUGGCCGGGCGCCGGGGCCUUUUAUAGGCCGGCGAGAGGGAGGUGGCCGGUGUUGCGGUGGGGUCAGCGAUGGCGUGCACGGGCGGCGCCGGAGGAGGCCGGAGCGGGGCGGUAGGGGCCGGCGGCGGCGACGUGGAGCGGGGCUGGGGCGUGACGGGCACGCCGGCGGUUCGGGCCGGAGGCUGGCGCGGGGCACCGCGGUGGGGCUGGGUGGCCUGGCGCGGGCGCUCCGGCGGGGCCGGGCGAGACCUGGCUCGGGCGGCCGCAGGGGUGCCGCGCGGCCCGAGGGAGCCGGCGCGGUAUGGCGCCAGGGGGAGGUGGGGUGCCGGGAGUAAAUGCGCCGGGGGGGCCGGCCAAGGAAGUGGCUCCAGGAACCAGGAAGAAGAAAGGAAGAAGAAAGAGAAGAAGGGAGGAGGAAGAAGAAAGAAGAAGGAGAAAGGAAGGGAAAAAAGAAAAAGAGAAAGGGAGAGGGAAAAAGAGAAAAGAAAGGGGGAGACCGGCGGCGAUCGCGGCACGCGCACGGCGUCUGGCGAUGGCACGCGGCGGAAAAUACGGGCACGGAUAAAAAGGUAGGGGUCGGCAUGGGUGCCGGGACGGCGAAAUCACCGGGGAGAUUUUCGAUUUCCGGGAGCUCAACGAUAAAAAGAUUUUAAAGAUAAUUUUUAACGGGUGAUUUUAGUUGGUGAUUUCCGCGGAUGUUACACCGACUGCUUGGAGUCGGGCUGGUCCUCGGCGCCCUCCGUGAGCUGGACCGCCGAACCCUUCGUGAAGGUGAUGGCUGCGGCGUACUCGCAGCACUCUACGUCACACUCGUACACCUUCUGGAAAGACGUGCCGACGGUGAUGACCCCGUUGGGCCCCGGCAGCUUGAGCUUGAGGUAGGUGUAGUUGGGGAUGGCCAUGAACUUGGCGUAGCAUGGCCGCCCCAAGAUGGCGUGGUAGGUUCCACGGAAACCUACCACCUCGAAGUUAAGGACCUCCUUCCUGUAGUUGGAAGGAGUCCGAAAGUGAUGGGCAGGUCAAUCUGCCCGAGAGGCAUCGCCUGUUUCCCCGGCACGAGCCGUGGAAUGGCGCCUUGCUAGAGCGGAGGCGGGAGCGGUCGAUCCCCAUGGCAUCGAGAGUCUCGGCGUAGAGGACGUUGAGGCUGCUGCCUCCGUCCAUGAGCACCUUGGUGAGGCGCGUUGUGCCGACGACGGGGUCGACGAUGAGCGGGUAGCAUCCUGGCUGCAAGACAUGUCCCAGGUGGUCGGACCGGUCGAAAGUGAUGGCGGAUCCCGACCAGUCAAGGAAGGCUGGUGUAGCAGGCUAAGAGUCGUAGACCUCGCGGCGCUCCAGCUUCUGGCGGCGCUUGGAGUCGUAAGCUGCCAGUCCACCGAAGAUCAUGAAGCAGCCAUCCACCUUGGGGAAGCCAUCUUCCUUCUCUUCGCCAUCCUUCUUCUCCUCGUCGGGCUUCCGUCUCCAGUCGCCCUUCACCGGGUUGCCUACAGAGUACCUCUUCAUGAGGUUGCAGUCCUUGUAGGCGUGCUUCGUGGGGAACUCGUGGUUCGGGCACGGCCCCUCGAGCAGCUUGUCGAAGAAGCCGGGGGUGCCCUCUGGGGGCGGCUGUCCCUACUUCCGCUCAACAGCACCCACGAGGGGAGCCUCGCGACGCUGCUUGUUCUUCUUCUUCUGCUGACGGUUGGAGGUGCCCUCCUCGGCGUCCUCGUCCCGCUUCGCCUUGCCCUUGGAGCGGUCGAAGAUCACUCCGACGGCCUCUUCGCCCGAGGCGAAGCUGGUGGCGAUGUUGAGGAGCUCCUCCGUGGUCCGAGGGCCUCGACGCCCCAGCUCAUGGACGAGGGACCGGCAGGAGGUUCCUACCAGGAAAGCCCCUAUGACGUCGGCGUCCGCGACGUUGGAGAGCUCGGUGCGCUUCCUGGAGAAGCGUUGGAUGUAGUCCCGGAGGGACUCGUCUGACCCCUGGCGGCAGCUCUGGAGGUCCCAGGAAAUGCCAGGGCGCAUGUACGUGCCCUGGAAGUUUUCCACGAAUAUCUCCUUCAGGUCGUUCCAGCUGCGGAUCUGACCCGAAGGGAUAUGUUCCAGCCAGGCUCGCACCGAGUCGGCCAGAAAGAGGGGAAGGUUGCGGAUGAUGAACAGGUCAUCGUCCGCCCCACCGGCCUAACAUGCAAGCCGGUAGUCGCUGAGCCAUAGCCCGGGGUUCGUCUCCCCGGAGCACUUGGCCACGUUCGUUGGCUGCCUGAAGCGCGGCGGGAACGGCGCGUUAAGGAUACGCGCGGAGAAGGCCUGGGGCCCUGCCGGGUCGGGGCUCGGGCUUUCGGUCUUCUUCGCUGUCGUAGCGGCCGCCACGGUGGACGUGGUAGCCGCGGUCCACCCCCUCCACCCUGUCCGCGCGGGAGCGCCUCCGCGCGUCCAGGGUGUCGCGGGCGUCGCGGACAGGGUCGACGCGCCGGUGGAUGGAUUGAGCCCUGCCUCCUGCGGGCGGCGGUGUCCGUCGAGCGGGCGCGGCCUGGUUCGCCCUAGGAGGAGGCUGAUGGACAGACUCCCCCCGCCUCUCAGGGGGUGCGGUGGGCGCUGCCCUGCUGGUGUUUUGCCCGCGUUGCCGGGACACGGAGCUCUCCGCCUGUUGGACGGCGGCGCACUCGAGCAGGUUGCGCACCUCUUGGUGCGCCUGACGCUCCUCGGGCGUCGCCGGCUCGGAGAGUCGUCGGAGUAGGGCCGCUGCUGCGGCGAUGUUCUGGCUGGCGCGGGCGAAGAGCUGAGGGCGAUCUUCAUCCGCGCAGAUGCGCUGCUGGACGUCAUGCGCCCGUUGUUGUGCCCCGCCUCCGUUGCGGGGGCGCUCGACCUCCUGGCGGGGCGCCGCGCGCGCCUCUGGCGGUCGGGGUCGCACCAGGGCUCUGGCAAGGGCUCCAGUCGUAGCCGCGGCGCGCGGUGGGGGAGUCCUCUGCCUUCCUUCGGCGCCGCCAUCAUUGGACCCCUCGGAGUGCACGUUGGUCAUGAAGCACUCGCGCGAGGGGUGGUGGCUCCUGUUGUUGGAGCCGGCGUCAGAGGUCGUCCUCACCACGCCCACGAGCUCAUUGCUCGUAGGCGGCACGGUCAUGGACCACGCCAGGAGAUAACCGUAGGUCGCCGCGGCAUUGCACAGCCCGAAGGGCCGCCCCUCCGAAGGAGGCCGCUCGACGCGCGCCCGGCCGCUCGCCGCUAUCCCGGGGACGGAGCCAGAGAUGAUGGGGCGAGCGGGCAAGAUGAGGAGAGGGAUCAACUCGAUCCCCUCCCCGGUGGUGAGGAAGUCCAGACACCCGAAGCGGACCAGGGAGCCCAGAGCGAAGCUGGCGUCGUGGUUGGCCAUCUGAAGCCGGUGAUGUACGCACAAAGGUCCCCUACCUAGCGCACCAACUGUCGUUGUCGUGAUUAGCGAAUCAAGACUAAGACUAGUAAAUUUCUUUUAUGCGUGUAAGGCUUCGGAUGGUGGCGUGGGAGACACGGGGUUUAGACUGGUUCGGGCAAGGAAAAGCCCUACAUCCAGUAUGGGGAGCUGCUCGUGUUGCCCACGCGGGGUCUGUAGUAUGGGUUACAGGAGGGCGAGAGAGGGAGCUGGUCCCAAGUCUCUUGGGUGUGCACUGAUGUUCCGAAGGGGAGUGUGUGUGUGUGUGUGUGUGUGUGUGUGUUCUGUUGGCUUGAGAGAGUCCCCUGUCUCAGGGCCCCCGGUCCUCCUUUUAUAGCGCAAGGCGAGCUCGGGGUUACAGAUGAGCCAGGCACGAGGAGAAGUAAAAGAGAUAAGCUAAUUCAAGUAAAAUACAAUACAAGGGGAAGGAUCAAGUUCCAGGGCCGCCGCCCCCCACUCCGGCCUUCGGCUCCUGUCAGCGCGUCCGCCGGAAGAGGACGGCUGCCUUCGGAUCCUGUCGACGAUCUCCCUGGUGGUCGUUGCCGCUAGGCAUGAUGAUGGUGUUCAGUCAUGGUAUCUGUGCCCGUCGGGGAAGGCGGCUGAUCCUGUUAUCUUGCUGAUGGUCCGUGGGACGCGGACGUCGCGUCCCUGUCGUCGGAUGCGCGGGCGAGAACGGGCGGGGCUUCCUCCUAUGCCGGGCGGCGUAGGCCAUGAGUGCCCUGCAGCAAAUCGGGGAGAGCCGCGACCACUGUAGCUUGUGCUGUGCGGUCGUGCAUGGGUACUUGUGGCGGGUCGCGUCGGGGGCACGGGUACCUUUCUACACGCCAGGGCCGCGGCGCAUUUAUGGCAAGAUCGACAGGGGGGGCCACGAGAUCCGCGCUCUUAUCUUGCAGUCUGCGCCCGAGGCGGAUACUUGUCUUGUGGGCCCGGAUGAGUCCGACCCCCUGCGCCCCGGGUCGGGCAAGGCGGAGUCUUGCAGCGAGGGGUCGGGCGCUCCCGACCCUGGGACCGUGGGUCGGGCGAGGCGGAGUCUGGUUAUCAAGGGGUCGGGAACGUCCGACCCCGGGGCACUGGGUCGGGCAAGGCGGAGCGGGGCUCUCCCCUCCCAUGUUGGGUCGACGGCAGUCUUCGUUACCUCAGGUGGGCCUGAACCUUCAUAAUUGUUAUUUUAAUGGGCAUUAGGAGGUCGUUAAUAUUCCCCGACAACACCAUUCACUGGAAUAACAGUUUCUCUUGAGCCUUGGUGAAAUGGAAGUGUGAUGAGAAAACAAAAACCAAAGAAAGUGACCCAAAAUGAUCUCCCUGUACCGGACACACGUCAUAAAAAAAGGGUAUACGAUGAUGGAACCAAGAAAGGACGCUCGAUGCAACAUGGGCUAGCAAGAUUAACAGGGCAUGUCGGCUUUCUACGAUAUUCUAAUGUGGGGGAACGAACAGUUGCUGAAAAGUACAGCAGCUGGGCAUGUUCAGAACAGAACAACGGGGCGAUAAGCUACUGGCCGGCCUUUUUUCCCAAUGUAAAACGCCUCAAAAUAAGUUCUGGGAAAUUGCAAGUUGACCAAGAAACAUAGCAUAGCAAGACAACAGCAGGGGGCGCUGCGAGAUGGACGAGCACUGGCUUGCUCACCGUUCGUGAUAAAAACGUGUCCUCACCUGGCCCUCCAGGAUGUUUGACAUGCCUGAUGCCUCCAUGAUUGGGGUUAAUGGGAAGGGAAUUUCAGCUAUGCGCCUAUGCCCACUUUCAGAUGCUGUGUGUUUCAGGACAUGUUGUGUUUCAGCACUAGGCAAUAAGGUUUGUGCCCCAAGGGCCUAGCUCCCAUCAGGCACAUGCCCUUGCCAUCUACCCAUCUCCAUCUGGUACCACUGCCUUCAGAAGUUUUCCCUUGGAGAGAUGGGUCCUGAUUUUAGGAGUGCAUUCUCCAUACACAAACUGACAAACCUGUACAGUGAAUUGGUCUCCUGAAGUUCUACCAGACACUGGUGUGAAGAUAAGGAGCUACAAGCUACAGCAAUCUUUCUCAUUGAGGUUCCACCGGGCCCAAAUGAGGCCUCUCUGGUUCAAUACAAAUACAGCCAACAAUACUCUGCACAGGAGGAAUUCACAUGAUCACAUCCGCAACGACAAGACCAUACAAAGAAAGGAAAGGAGGAGGAUACAGCCCGGCUGAUUCAUGACGGGCGCUUGUGCGGUGUUUCCAGCAGGCUCAUUUGCCGGAGAGACAUUGGAUCCUCCAGGGAUGGCACCGCCAGCCUCUCCAGGUCCUGGUGCAGGUGCUGGAGAGUACGACCCAUGGUUUACUGCAGUUGGCAGUGCCGUGAGAGGAGGAAAUUGAUGUGGUCCUGCAAUGAUGAUCGAAACAAUUUUGAGGCAUAGAAUACUAGUAAAGACUGAAAUAGGAAUUGAUGAUGCAUUGCGCCAGGUAAAUGGAACAACAGCAUAUAUGAAACGUAGACUUCAGUGUGUGGCAUACUGCCGUACAAUGAGAACAAAGUGAAAGCUUCACCAAUAUGUCUUAAUGUUAUUUGAUCAAAUUAAAGGUGAGCUUGAUGUGCUUAAUGCCUUAAUCCAUAUUUUAUCAAUGUUCCGGAAACAUGGUCUGCAUAAGCAGUGGUAUAUUUUUUACUCAUGAUCUUUUCCUUCGACAUAAGUAUGAUCAGGAGGAAAAUGCCAAGUAUCUGUAAAGCUGCUGGCUUCGCAUACUGCAAUUGUUAAUUUAGUUGAAUAACCAGCACUUGAUUUACUCCCUCCGUUUCAAAUUGUAGGUCGUUUUGACUUUUCUAGAUACAUAGAUUUUGCUAGGUAUCUAGACAUAACGUAUAAUAUCUAAGGUGCAUAGGGUUGCUUUGGUACUGCCUCAAAUUAGUAUACAAAAUUUUAAGCAAGGUACUUAGUGUUAGGCAAAUUUGGUACCAACUUAAACAAGAUUAAAGGCAAAGUACCUACAAAACAAGGGGUUCAUCUUGAAGAUUGGAGAAGGAGAUCGAACAAUUCAGAACUAUGUUUGAUUCAAAUCCAAACCAAGGGAUAGGCUAACAUACUGGGACAUCAAUAUCUUUCUUUAAAGUUGCAAUCACACAUCAGAUCCAUUCUUUAUUCUACAGUCUCUUUAAAAAAGUUGGUGCACCCUAAAAAGGUUUAUAGGUUUUGAUUGACAACAUUUCUUGAUGGAUCUCUCAAAAAGCGCAGCUCUGGACAAGUCAAUGUGAUAAAAAGGAACUUUGAACAAAGGACUAAAAUUUACUGCAGCAGCACUUCAGUAGCCAAAUAAAUAUGAAGCAGACUAGAAAUGAAGAAAACAACAAUUACCUGGGCAUGUGGGUUGAAGACCAGAGGAUAGCCUGCACAUAAAUUGUAAGAUGUCAUCACCGUUGAGUUCCACAGUUCAGAUAGAGCAAAAACAUUUGGGAUAUGUUGCUUACGAUGUUGCGAUGGUUCCAUUAACAUAGCCACCAUAAAUGCAAGACGAGACACUGCAGCCACCACUGGUGGGUUGUGCAGUCACAUUCCCAAGGAUUAGACUGCUAUUGGGGCAUUGCAUACUUGAACAUGAUGUUGUUAAUGAAGCUGGCGCUGGCGUGCAGUACAAACUGUAAGGAAAAAGAUGGGCUUAUAGUGCAAAACAGACUGCUGCAAGAAAAUUGCAUUGAACAAAAGAGAUCAUAGCAUUACUUGAGAUUCUCUGGCCCACAACUGCACUGCACACAGUUACCAGCAGUUAGUGCAUAGGUCCCAUUUGCCACAAGCAGUCCGUAGUCUGAGGCAGAGCUAGGAAUUGCUGAUGCGCAAGCUGAUCAAGGAAUAAAUAGCCGUCAUUAGAAAGGAAGUAUUGAUCAGCCGAGAGGACAGAAAAUAAGAACACUCAACUAUCAUUAUUGAAUCAAUCAGCAAAACAGAUGGGCAUCCAUGAAAGUGGAAGACCCUUCCAUCAAAAAAGAAAAGUAAAGAUCUAUCAACAGAACAUUUUGAUAAGCCCUUUCAGCUAGUGCACUGAAUACUAUAUUCACUCAAAGCAGCCCCUGCUAACAUUCAUGAACCACGGCAAAUUAAAAUGCUCGCAUCCACAGAAAAGUAAUCUUUCAAAACAUAGCAGCUGCAAAGCGUGUCUUAUCCCAAGCCCCCACCAUGGACCAGCUUUAUGCAGUAGUACUUUAAAGUCAUUUCUGCAUCCUAGGUUUGUAAAAUCCAAAGGCUGACAAUUUCUUUACAGAGCCUAAACUAACAAUGUAACAUCAAACUGCACCUUUACAGAACUACACCUUGAGGCACCCACAAAGGUUAAAGGUGUUAACCUAUUAAUAACCAAAAGCAUAGUAAUCCUGGUUGGUUAUUAGCGAACUGGACCUCAGCAUAACUUCAAACAGUAUACGAACAUUUCAAUCUAUAGUCAAGUUAAUGGGAAACUGGUGGAAUGUUGCCCAGUGAAUCGUAUAUCAGAUUCUCUUCAGAUCAGUUAAAUGAAAUUCUAUCAAAUUGCCACGACAAUUUGUUCAAAUCUCGUUGCCAAACUGCAAUCCAAUGUGAGAUUGUUUACCGGACAAUGGUAUGGCGAGGAUGUCACCGGGCGCGACAAUGGGGCUCCCCAUGGCGUUCACAUUGCUGAUAUCCGUGACGGUGGUGGCGUGGCUGGCGGCGAUGGACUGAGCGGUGUCCCCGACCCGGACGACAUAGGAGAGGUACACGGCGGGUAGGUUGUUGUCGGUGGAGUUGAAGCAGACGCAGGGGAGCGGGAUGACGAGCUUCAGGCCGGGGGCGAGCGGCGCGUCGGGGUCCUCCGCGGCGAGGCCGUUGGCGGUGCGGAUCUGGUCGGCGGACGGGAGCCCCGCGAAGACGACGUCGGCGACGUUGCCAAGCGUGUCCGAGGGGCGUGUGGCGUAGCGGACGGCGACGGACUUGCGGACGCCGUCGGCGCAGCCGCAGCGGGUCGGCACGCGGAGGGCCGUCCCCGCGGGGAGGAUGCGGUUGGCGGCGCCCGGGGAGGCGAAGUCGAGCGCGUUGGCGGCCAGCACCGCCGCCGGGUCGGCGUCGAAGAGCGCGGCCACCUCGGAGACCUUCAUGUCCGCGUACAGCGUGUACCCCAGCAGCGCCGGGCACGCGUCCGCGCCCGAGCACGGCUCGAUCGUCGUCUUCGCCGCCGCCGCCGCGAGGAUCGCCAGCAGCGCGGCCGCAAUCGCGGGCGCCGGCGCCAGCAUUUCGGGCCCGAGGGUUUAGGGUUUGGGCUUCGGUGGCAGAGGAAUGUGGGGAAGCUCAGCUCGGCUCGGCUCGGCUCGAGGUCAGGGGGGGCUCUCCACUGUGAAGUGUGAACUCGGGAGCGAACAGCGAACUGUGUGGGGGGAGUAGGUGAAGUGUGCGGAAGCGUGGGAGGGCGCGUGGGUGUGUGAACAGUCGAUGACUGGGUGGGGUUGUGCGACUCGGGCCCACGUGUCGGUGAGAUACUGGCUAGUUUGGUCAACAUGCGAGGACGGGGACACUUCUUCUCAGGGAGACGUUGCGCUUGGAAUACGUGGCCCUGUGCGGGGACGGGGGGACAAAUGUCUCGUGACCAGGUCUACGAACGCUCUAUCUGUGGGCCACACCUAGGUCCACGUGUCCUGCUUGCCCAACGGUAACGUCGCCGCCGAGCGUAACUGACCGAAUAGGCCUUGGGCCUGGAUUGGGCCAGGUUUGGAGUUUAUAUUGGGCCGGAUCCAACGGAUUCGCUCUCUUUCUUGGAGAAAAUUGCAAAAGCUCCAGUAGCCCUUUCAGUCGAUCUCGAUUUUCCGCAAUGUUGAGUUUGCGGGCGCGCGCUGCAGCGCCCCGCGGCGCGCGACGCGGAGGGUGGGUCCCACGCCACCUCGCCGUGUGCUGGCCCGCUGUGUUUUUUUUCCUUUUUUUUCUUUUCAAUUAUUUUUUCUAUACCAAAUAAAUAUUGUAUAUAUAUAUAUAUAUAUGUAAGUUAUGUGCAUAAAUUUUUUAACAACAUUAUCAAAAGUUAUGACAAAUGUUAUGCGUAUAAGUUAUGUAUAUCAUGAAAGUUGUAUUAUGAAAUUUAUCACCUAAAUACUAAAUUAUUGUUAGGGAAAAAGUUAUGCGAAAAAUUGUACACAUAAGUUCUAUACGCUAUUGAAGUGCUAAAAAAUUAUCUCAUAAAAAUUUAUAUUAUAGAGUUAUACAUCGAAGUUACGUGUAUAAGUUAUGAUAUUUAGAAAAUGGAAAGUUGUGGGAUUUAAAACUUUUAAAAAAUGGAAAGUUCGGGGAAGGGUGAGCUUGUCUGGAUUCGCUCGCCAGGAGGGCUCCUAGCGCGCGAGCGCUAAUUAGCACUGCCCAUGAUUUUCGCCCCUAUGUGUUUUACUUUUUCUUAUUUCAAUAUUUACAUGCAGAAGAGAAAUGUGCAAACUGAAAAUUAUGUUUUCCUGCCUAUCCCUAUAGGAAGCACUCUUUUCUAUGCAUUUUGGAGGAGUUUGAAAAUUAGUUAAAACGUUAUGUCUUCAUUCCUUUUGAGAAGGCCAACACGACAGAUGACGCACUCUCCCCUUCUCUGCUUUAAGGGCUCAUCUCUCUUUCCUUCGGGGUCUUUUUUUUUUUGAAAACGAUUCGUAGCCUUUUCUGUUCUGUGUUUUCCCAAUUCCCCUGUUCUCAAAUCAUGCACUCCAAACACAAACUUGCAAGACCAUGUGAAAGUUUCUAGGAUUUUUUUCCCAAGUAAGUUUUAUCAAGAUUUUGGUUUAACUCCAACCUAAUUAAAGAAAUUACCAUGUUAAAAACUUCUUUUUAAUAUGUGCAGGAUCACAGGAUCACUGACUGAUCACACCCAUGCAAGAAGAGCCAGCCAAGCCUUUUGCAUCCAGAGAAUAGUUCAUUCCCGCUCAACAGAGCUGCUCGAGUACACGCUUAAGUACCCGGCAACAGUGGCACAUUCCUCGCGAUCGCGAGAGUUACCAAAAAAGAGAGAACCUCUCGCAAUGCUAUACCACUACUGUCUGGUUCUUAGGCUCAGCAGUGCGCUAAGCAGGGGAAAACUAAACCCCCUCGAGCACAAAACACUUUUGCAAUGGUCUCAUCACUACCUCAUCGACUCUACGGGGUUCCAAAAUUAUUCACUGCUGAAUCGGUUCAGUAGCUGCAGGAACAUAGGCUGGGGAGAUGAUCAAGGGCGACCGAGGUGAUCGCGCGCCUUGGUUAACAAUGCGAGGCUGUCAGGUGAUUCAAGCUUGAGACGUCGAACAGCUCCAUGAAUCUCUGGUCAGUGAUCCUCGCUUUCGCAGCGGCAAAGCGGUGGUACUCGUCGAAGACUGAAGACAAGCACCACUUCUGCAGCUUCCUCAAGCACCCGACCAAGCAGCCAGUUCGGUGCUGCAGAUGUGAAAACAUUCAGCAGUUAGUUCAGGAUCUGGAACACAAAGUUGUUUUCUUGGGAAAACGGAUUCAAACUGUAAAUCCGAAGCUGGUCUUACCUUGCCUCUCUUGCAAUGAAUAAGCAGGGGUUGGUUUCUUGGGUCUGCAAUGAAAAUAACAAUGAAGGAGUGAGAUUUACAAUUCUGUGGUGUGCAAGAUAUUCAUUCUAUAGAAAGAUGCUGGAUGCAGUACCUAGGACAACUUUCAGCGCCUCCCGGAUUUUUUCAUCAGGGAUGGUGACGAAUGGUUCCUGCAGCAAAAGCAUUUCAGGCGUUAUCAGACCAUUCAUGAGCUGCUUCAGGACUUUGAGAUGAAACAAAAAAAUUCAUACACGCAGACUGUCAGCUCUACCAAGAAUCAUAUAGUAUGAAAGAAGUGUGACCUACAAAGUUAGGCAAUAGCAAAUUCUAAUUGCAGUUAGAACAGUCAGGUCUCCUACAACAAAAGGUUCUCUUCCAGUCACUGCCAACAGCAGUCAAUUUUCUUAUCCAUGUGCCACUAGAAGUCUAGAAGGUCAUGAAGAAAAAAAAUCAAGUCCAGAGAUUUACUGAGACACGUUGGUCGAGAAUAUACUGUCAUCCGACUAGGAUCUUGUUAGAUGACUGGACAGAAAUGCAGCAAGGUCAGUAGAGGUCAGAGAAGAUUUAAUACGACCACUUCAUUGAAAACUGACAGAUGGGUGCUCCGAAUUCCAGCUUUCGGUGGUUUCAAGCAACUGGGCCUAUAAUAAUUAACCAAAGGAAAAACGCAACUUUGCCAUGCCUACGAGGUGUCAAAGUUUUCCUCAUAAAAAAAAGUUUUUCUCGCAAACAUAAAAGGAAAAAAGGAUUUGGAAUGAUGCAAACAAAGAUUUGGAAUGAGGUCAACCAUCCUGAUGCGCGUGAGGGCUUAUUUUUAUCAAGGAGUACUUUAUGCAGCACUUCUUGCAGUUAAUGGCCUCCAAAAUAUGGGUAGACAAUAGCAAACCGUGGAUCAUAAACGAGUAUGAACGGUUUACCCAGCAAAUCAUAGCUCCUGAACAGCAAACAAACAAAGCAGCCAAUUCAUAUGACUGACAAACUACUCCCAACCAUUCAAUGAGUUGACAUAGCUUUAUUCCUGUCGUCCACUUUUGCAUCAUGUCAUGGAUGAUUUCACAGUUCAAACAAUAAAAAAUGAGAGACGAAAUAAUUAUGAAGAAUGAAAUUUUCAGAGAUUACAAGAUGGCCAAUAUUGACCAGCUUCCAAAUAAAAAUGGAUAUCCCGCACAAAUUAAUGCAUAUUUGAUCAAUUGACAUGACUUUCCACCCAUACUUUCAUCAAAAACUGGUGGGCACCACUUGACCAAAACCAGUCAGAUACCAGUUUCUACAAACUUGGUUGGCGUAUACAAGUAUAUGAUACAAUGAUGCAUUAAUAAAUACAGAAAGCAAUAACACCUCAAAAUAGCCAUAAAUACAGCUUACAAAUAUUUUUCUGCUAGUAUAUAUUCCCCUUCAAAUAAUUUUUCAUAUAUGAAAAGUUGUUGAAGUUAUACAAGUCCUACGCAUCCAAUCUGUGCAUAGGUGACAUAACAUAAGGAUAUUCUAAAUGAGGGUGAAGAUACAUUUGAAAUACAAUGACAUUUGUGAUUCAGGACAACAGAAAAAAAUGAAAAACAAUCCCACCUAUACCUACAUGUAUAUUUAUACAGACAUUUAAAAAUUUACAAGACAACGAGAUCAGAUGCAGAACAUGGGUACAGUACUUUAUUUGUAUUCUAGUAAAAAGAAUUCAAUUUAUUGUCCAUGCUUGGAUUCAUCUGGAGAAAUCUAUUUUUCUCGAAACACUUCAUCAGACCCAGGCCGGUAGUGCCAUUCCUCUCAUCAGCAACAAAACAAGAUCCUGGAUAGCGAUAUGUAUGGAUGCACAUUGUGCUACCAUUAUGCAAUGUGUCAGUGUAUCUAUUCCUAGGCAUCAUCAGCAUAGAGAAAAACUACAAGGCAGCUUUCAUGCCCCUUUCUUAUUGUGCAUUCACCAUCUUCAGACGUCAGUGCUGAAGUUACAGGCAUAUCAUUGAACUUUUCUCACAAACUCAACGCAGAUGAAUUGGUACGCUUCACAUCAAUUCAUGUAUGCUACAAAACCAUUAGCACUCAGAUAUUUGCAGUCAGUUUUGGGCCUUUGGCAGCUUAGUGACCCCAUAGUAGAUCAGGCUGCCAAACACAAAAGAAAGAUGAAUAGCUCAAGGUGUUGAAAAACAAAACGACUCAUUGUUUUCAGGUAGCAAAAAUGUGAAAGUAUUUUUCUUUUUCAAAAAUUUCAACUUCAACACCAUCAAAAGAAACAUCCCAAAAGUGGAGAAAAAAUAAGUAUUGUCAACAAGAAUAACUUGUUUGUCCCUCUGGAACCAAUGGAGCUGCCCAUAAAAAGAAGGAAGGAAAUAGAACAAACAUGAUUGUAGGAUAGGAACAUAACGUUGAGCUGCUAUACAUAGAAGAUAGACAUGGCUAUCGAAUUGAGCUGCUCACACUGAGGUUCCUAAAUGAAAAUCCUUGUAUCAAAGCAGUUGCAUGAUUUACUAUGCACAAACAGUAAAAAGAAUCACGGAAACAGGAAACUGAAAGAGGAAAAAUAAAUAAGCAGUUCACAAAAUGAAAUGAAAAAGAAAUAGAAAGAAAGGCAACACCGCGGAGAUGCUCCAAGCCAAAAGGGGUGAUGCAUACACGCUGGUAGCCUUGUAUUCACAGGAACGCAACAAUAAAAAAACAUUUGAGAAUAUAUGGAAAAGAAUUGUUUAGAAUCUACAGCACAGCUGGCUUGAUUAAUCAAAGCAAUGCUGAAAGGGACCACUACCGAUUGGCCGUGAAUUUUGAAAAUUCUCCAGAUAGGACUAGGUGCCUAGUACGUGAAGAGGAUUUUUGGACCCUUUUCUGGCAAGUCAGUUGCACUAACAAAUGAAUUUUCACUGAGUAAAGCACUGAAAUUGUCCCCAAAAUCAUCAGUGAAAGCGCAACUACUAGUACUAAAUUAUGAUGCACAAGAGGACAUGAUCAGCAACGUCGGUUCGGGGCAAACAAACUGUGCAUCAUGGAUGUUACCGAAAGCAACUGUAUUUUAAUCCGUCCACAGUAAUUCCUCGUCUCCAAGGAUUGCCAUUAACCAACAACCGCAAAGCAGCAGAAAAUUUUGAUUGAAACCAGAUGGUCAGGCUGUUAAUUGUCUCGUUACCUUGCGCCCCUCGAUUCCGAACUGGUGGAGCCUGAUCCCGUUCUUCUCGAGGAACUCCAUGUUCGUCUCCGGGUAAGGCUCCGGGCACAGGUACCUGGCGGCGCAAGAACGUUCAGAGCCGCACGAGCACGCAACAAUUUCCGCGGUAACUCGAGGAGACGGAAGAGAGCGAAAAAGGGAUCCUCACACGAUGGAGCGGAGGUUGAGGGACUUGAGGAACCGGAAGUUGGUGGUCUCCGGGAAGCCGGAGCGGAAGAUGCCUUCGUCGACCAUGGCGAAGUUGAGCGGCGGCACGAGCGCCGACUCGUCGCACGCAGCCGCCGCCGGGAGUGGCGGCGGCAAGGGGCAGAUCCUCGGGGGCUUCUCGUGCUUCCACAGCUCCAGGCCGCUCAUCUCCAUGGCCUCCUCCCUCUGCUCCGCCUCCAGGACCCUCUGCUUGGGCAUGACCUCCAGCUUCAUAGCUUCUUCGCUCGCGCGGGGCGGGGGAGGGGCCAGAGCCGUAAAACCGAGGCGUGGUGGUGGUUUUCUGUGUGUGCUGUGCUGUGUGGGAGCGCUGUGAGCGAAUCGGGAAGGCCGGUUAUUUAUAGGGGAAGAAGGCGAAAAAUAUAAGAUGAAAAGUUUUUUUUUAGAUGAGGUUGGAGGAAAAGCUGGGUAAUAAGGUUUAAGGGUUGACGAUGAUUGAUAGGGAGUGGUGAAAUUUUGGGAUAGAGAGGUGAUCAAUGGGGUUAUAUGAUUUUGGAAUUCAAUUGGAAUGGUUGGUUGAGUUAAUUGCGAUGCAUCAUUCUGGCAUUGAAUUUUUAGAGAGGCAGAGAUGAUUUGAUGUUGAAGCACUUAAUAUUAUUAGAUAUUGAAUUUUAUAAGAUGCUUUACAACGGAGAAUUAUUGGCCUAUGAGAUUUUCACGGUCUACAAUAGUGCGGUAGUUGAAAGUAUAUUUAUGGAAUUGACACCAACCAACAUUCUUGUCCCACGCAAGAGAAAUCUUCAUGUUGUUUGUUCUCGCUACCACGUCCUCAUGACACCCAAAUGACAAAGAGCAUAUCCAUGGAAGGCUGCAAAUGCAACAAUAUGUUGCUCCCACGCAAGAAUAAUUCUAAUGUCGUUUCUUCUUAAUUGCGUGUGAGAUUACCGCCACUAAGCUGAUAAAGAGCAUAUCCAUGGGAUCGGAUGGAUACCAACAAUAUACUGCCUGCAUGCAAAUACAAUUCUCAUAUUGUCUCUUCUCGCUAUCGUGUACAUGACGGGAAGGGAUCACCACGCUCUUAUGGUGAUCGAGAGCAUAUCCAUGAGAUCUGUACAAAUGACAUGUUGCCCCACGUAUAAACAAUCCUCACACAUUCUCCCCUCAGCAUUGAAAAGCAAGUGAAGAUAUGCGGCUAGAUCAUGAUGACAACUCAAUUCUUUACACGUAUACAUGCAACCACACAAAAACAUGUGCCUUCCUACGGCAACAUGUACUAUGGGGAAGAAAAAGGUUUAAGGGAUGAUGAUGAUUGAUAGGAAGUGGUUACGAGGAGAUCAAUGUGGGUUCUAUAAAUGUGAAAUUCAAUUGGAAUGGUUGGUUGAGUAAUUGGGAUGGAUCAUUUUAGGGUUGAAAGAGUUGGAGGUGAUUUAGCUUUAGAGCAUAUAACGUUAGUAAAAUUGAAUUUUGUGAGACUUUGGAAUGGACAAGCGACUAGCCCCAUAAAAGUGCAAUCCUCAUGUGCCGUCCCUUCUCAAUACAGUGUGCGUGAACCGUGAGGAAAUACGUCCUCAUGACACCGUAGUGACAAAUAGUGCAUAUACAUGAGAUGGAUACAAAUGCAACAAUAUAUUGCCCCUACGCAAGUAUAGUUGUCAUUUGUCUCUUCUUGCAACCGUGUGUGCCAAGGAAGGGAUUGCCACCAUUUUGUGGUGAUAAAGAACAUAUUUAUAGGAUCGGACGGAUACCAACAAUACAUCGCCCCCACUCAAAUACGCUCAUGCUAUCUCUUCCUGCUAUCGCGUGCGCAAGAGUGAUAGAGAGCGUAUUUGUAGAAUCUAUACUGAUGACAUGCCUUCCCCACACAAAUACAAACCUCGUACCAUCUUUUCUCCCUUUUCCGUGCGUGCGUUGGAAAGUGAGUGUGGGGGUGAUAUUCGGCUAGAUUACGAUGACACCUGAGUCCUUCACACGUAUAUGUGUGACCAUUAAAAAAAUUGUGUCUUCUUGCAGCAGCGUGCACGCACUCAUGAUACCCUAGUGAUAGAGAGCAUAUCCGGGUACAAAUGCAACAAUAUGUUGCUCCCACGUAAGUACAAUUCUCAUGUCAUCUCUUCUCAUAAUUGUGUGUGCGAUUACAGCCAUUGUGGCGAUAAAAAGCAAAUAUGGGAUUGGAUGGAUACUAGCAAUAUAUUGCCCACACUCAAAUACAAUUCUCAUAUUGUCUCUUCUCGCCAUCGUGUAUGUGACGGGAAGGGAUCACCACGCUCUUAUGGUGAUCGAGAGCAUAUUCAUGAGAUCUAUACAAAAUGACAUGUUGCCCCACACAUACACAAUCUUCGCACAUCCUCUUCUCGGUACUGGACAACAGGUGUAGGAUACCGACUGCUUUAGGCACAUGUGGCUAGAUCAUGAUGACAAGUCAUCCCUUUAUACGUAUGCACGUAACCACAUAAGAAAUGUGCCUUCCUGCAGCGACGUGCACGCGUGGAAAGAAAAAGGGUGGAAAUGAUAUGCUGCGAGAUUAGGAUGACAACUCAUCCCUUUAUAUAUAUGCGUGCAACCAUAGAAAAAAAAGUCUUAAUAUUGCUAUCGCGUGCGUAUGGGAAAAGAUGGAGCGAUAUACAGUUAGAAAAAGGUGAAGCGAUAUGCGGCUAAAUCGUGACGACAACUUAAUGCGUGUGAGAGCACGACUAAAGAAAAGUUACUGUACGAAAUACAUGUGGCUGUAACAAAAUGCAAGAUCCAAGUUCAGGGUUGUCUAUAUACUAUUGCUAUACGCACGUGUAGCAUUUGCGCGUGACGCCUUGCCCCCUUCCCCAAGCCAUCAGCGCAGGCCAAAGAGGCGCAUUACCAACCUUCGUUUUCUAACACUUGGUUACUUGUCGGUCCAAAGCUGGCGAACAUGUACACGGAUGAAUAGCCGCCCAUGGUCCCGGUCGAUCGGUCCAUAGUCUUGAGCCAUAGCCUCCUUCGCCGACCCACACCACCUACUGACGACACUGACACAGAAACAAUUUAAACAUAUCCGAUCCGAACGGAGGCUCUCCGUCCCGUGAGACGCGAUGUGGUCGGGUCAAGCGUGGCCGAUGUUUUUGACGUGCACGCCGGAGGCCGGACCGAUCGAGAUGGGUCAUGGGUGCGCUCCGCGCUGCGCCCCAAGGAGACCGGCGAGAAAACGCUGCCGCGUCAGGUCGGCUGCUAGGCGCUGCUGGCCGCCUGGUGGUGUCGUGCGACGGCGGCGCAGGCGGCGUCGCCGUCGUCGGUCCACACGGGUCGGCCGGGACGAAACCUCCCUCCCGCUUUGGCGUACGGCUGCCGGGUUGGCCGCCGCUGGCGUUGGCUUUCAAUAUUGGCCCCGUCCCUUUCUGAAUCUUGAAAAUAUUGUGACACCUUCUCGGAUCCGGCCAGCUGAAUCUCCCCAUCUUACAGGGAAGACUAGGGAACCUUCUCAGCUCCUGCGUAAGCUGCCUCAUCCAUUUAUCCCUUCGGUACUUCUCCAGGACCGCGUCCACUUGAAGGAGGUCUGUCAGGAACUCAGGACACAAACACAUCACAUAUUCGCAGAGCACGUACGUUGUGCUAGCUCCUGUUGUGUUUUUUUCCCUUCGGCGUGGCGAAUUUGCCGAGUGGGCGGCGGAGCGGUCGUGUUGCUAGAGGGACGGGCACGUACGUCCCUAGAGCCGAAAAGCGUCGUCAGCGUUUGACGACGAGCGCUCUGGGCUGCGGCGCGACUUUUUCGAAGUCUUGUUCGGCAAGGGUUUUUGACGUGUCCGUACGUGACGAAUUGACAAUGAUGGCAUAGAACGUUGACAGGCACACGCCGGGGCGGAGGGAACGGAACAGCGUUCUUGAGACCUCCUUGUUGUUCCCCUCCCCGGAAACAAACCGGAGGCCCGAUCAGAUGACGAGGUUUUUUACCAGUGAGGCCGCAGUGUCCGGAAUCUGCGGUGUUUGGGCAGCUCUGGAUUGGUGCUCUCUCAGAAAAAUCCCGUGCUCCAUUUCGAACCAAGAAAGCGUGCACGAGCACGGCUGAGAUGACGGUCUCCCUUCGUUUUCGCCCGCGCACAUCAUAUUCCUGUGCGUGCAAAUCUUGCGGUCCCGAAUGUCAGACACACUCAAACUUGGCCCGUCCGUCACGUAGUACGGUAGUAGAUCGACGGCAGCGAUGCUCUUGAGUCCUGACAGACCAGAAAUCCACCUUGGAACCAACAAUAAUCGACGUUAAGGCUUCCAUGUUCGUACGAGCAUUGGCUCCUUCGGAUAAUACGUCACUCACAAUGUCACUUCUUCUGACCGUCCAUCUACGUCUGCUUUAACCUCGCCAUCAUCAUCUUAGCCUGCUUUUGUGAAUUGUGAUCAAAACACUAAACGGCUUCUAGCUUCUGACAACGGCUCUGUCCUCUGUGAUUGCGCUGCUUGCGCACGCAACCACGUUCCCGCCCGUCCGGGGUACUGAUUCUGUCCACAAAGGCUAGCUAGCGCGCACUACACUGAUCAACUCUUUCUUUACGAGUUCUUAACAACGAUGCAAACUUUUGCGAGCCAAUAAUUGGGUGCCAUAAGCAAAGCGAUGAGAGUACCCGUGUCACGCAAAUAAUUGGUUUUACCUAAAGCCCUUACCGGAUUUGGAGAUCCCCGAGCGGACACGCAACGGCGGCGACGACGCACGGCCGCACACACACCACCAAAAGUCGUGCAUUUUCUUCGUUCCAGCAUGCAAGCUGAGUCACGAUGCAGAUUUCAAGAUUUUUUCUGUUGCCAUUUCACCUCUUCCGACGUCUCAUUGGCCGUGGCAAAGCUUGUUGUGCGUCGAUAAAACAUGCAACCCGGCGAUAGACCGAGCUGCCAAUCCUGCUUCGUUUCCGGAGAUAGAGAACCUGCAUGCAUCAGGCCCACUAAGCUUUGGCAAAGGGGGCUUCUCUAAUUUCUCUAGCCAGGUUAAAGCAUUGCUUGUCGAUCCUUUAAGAUGGUUAAAGCAUUUCUUUACUUCUUUGCCAUGCUUAAAGAGGCGAACUUGUCUAGUUCUCAUUGAGCAGUUGAUGCACCUAAGACAGGGGUGGCAAAUCACAUGUUUGAAGUGGGAUCUCAUGGUGUGGUGGUGAAAGCGGGGAUAGCGAGAAAUAGUGGCAUACAGUUGUGUUCAAGGAUGACAUAUGCAUGGUUGGAGCACAAACAACCCAGCAAGAUCUAACCAUUACAAAAUUAUUUAAUUUUUUAGUUUUAGGCGUUUGGAGUUUGAUAGGUCCUUUGUCUCUAUUAUGUGCGAAAUCCCAGCCGUCUUUGGCAGCGUGAAGCAAGCCGUUCGCAUUUCACAAUUCACAUGAGAACCUGUCCUUGAGCGUUGAGACUUGCAUUGUACCAGCACCUUGCAAUGUAUAGCAUUAUCCUUUGGACCUAACACUUUGCAUGAUGCCUCAAGAAAGCCCUACGUGGUGAGAGAAGCACAACAGUCCUGGUCGGAGAAGGUUUCGCUCGCCAUUGGUGCACAAGAUUGGAAUUGAUACUGCCAAUGCUGGGAAACUUAAUGAGAAUCCUCUUGCGUAUGAACUCUUAUCAGAUCAUCACCAUUCAACAGGAUAAACGUCCUACACAAAAUUUACUCCCUUUCCAUCUCAAACCACUAGUCGACAAAUAGUUAAAGGCGAGUACGAUGCAGCUGAAAUUUUCUAAGAAGGAAUUCGAAGGGAAAAGGAAGGCCCUCUGAUGCCGGAUGCAAUCGCUUGAUUGCCGUGUGAUCACUUGUCUACGGACGGGCCUGCCAUCAUCGUGCAGCUUUUGGAGCCGACGAGACGGUUGUGCCUUUCAUGCAUGCGAAUGAAUGCGUAUAGGAUGGCCGCAUCAUCGAUCGUGCGAGCCCAUCAUUCGUGCAUGAGCAACUUGUUCGGUCCAUGAGAUGCCAUGCCAUGAGGAGCAAAGAGACCCGAAAAGGAAGGUUCAGAUUGUCCGGCCGUACUUUUUCUUCCGGGAGAGUGAGAGGUCACCAUCAUCAACCGAAGAGAGAUGCGAGAAAUGGAUGAGCUUUACACUGGAUGGAGAGUUCAGCCAUGGAUGCUAAAGGCCUAAAGGCUAAAGGACCGGCAGGAGAUGAAGCGAAGUGGUCACGCAAUGGAGAAAAAGGGAGGGAAAAGGCAAGAGGCCGCGACAAAUCGAGCAAGAAAACGAGAAAGGCGAGAUGAUGAAUCUAUACUGAGGUGCAUGCGCACCCUAGCUAGCAAGCCAAGGCAAUGCAAAAGCUACGCCUAGGGGCUAGGCCGCUAGGGCCAAACAGCGUUUUGAAUUCCGAAAGGUUAAUUCUUCACUCGGCAAAGAAAGACACACGAAAAAUCCUCACCUUUUAUAUAUGUAUCCGCAUUUCAUUAUACAAGCAGUUCAGAUGGCAUAUCUGUUUCUCCGAGCGAUGCUCUGUUCCUUCACGGAAAAUGGAGAAAGAUCUGGCAACAGAGACGUGCCUGGCGAGUGGCGACCGUGCACCAGUCAAGCAGGUGCAGGCUAGGCAGCCGGGGCUACUAGCUACCCACGAAUGGUUGGACAGAAGAUAAAAGGAUGCUGUAGCGAGCGCCAACCUUUAAUCCCCACGGCUGUCUGCCUGUCCCUCGCAACCUUCCAAUCCCAUCCUUGUUUUUGCAACUUGCAGUGGAGCAGCAUGUGGUAGCUUUCAGCUGUUCAAUUUGGCACGAAUCGCGCGAGCCCGAAUUGGUGCCAUGUGAAUGUGAUAAUCUACACUACACAUGCACGUACCAGUGUCCGAUUCUGAUGUUUUUCGUCAUCCAUUUGUACUUUGAUGUGCAUGUUAGUGCCACAAUAUAACAGGCAACUCUCCUGCUGAUUCAUUUUUAAUGACAUAAGUCCAAGAGGGAUAUAUCAUGUGAAGACCAACUGGAUUUUGGAAGCUUGAACAUGUUUGUUUUUUUAAAAGAAAAGAAAACAAGAGGUGUAAAAUUGUAACGCUAGAAUUUGGGUGGAAUUUGAGCGAGUUCAUUUAUCAACCCUUUGAACUUUCUUCAUCCAGCAUCAUACUCAGAGGUCAGAGCAAUAGAGACCCUCCACAGGGCAGCAGGCCACUUGGGUUAGCGGGAACAGCAGGGCUAACCAAUAAUGCUAGGGCACCUAGUAGACCGGAAGGGGCAGAUCGAGUGCGUUCGCGCUAAACUAAUGGCGGGAAAGGGAGCAAGUACAGAUGCGCACAUCCUGGAGAAUAUUCCAGGGGCAGAAUCAUUGCUGCCUCUUUUUUUUUCUGGUGAGAUGGAAGAGAUGAAAAGAAAAGAAGAGUCGGUGCAGGCGUAGUACUACGUGUUUCCUUGCGAGCCGGUUUUGGAUCGAUCGAGCUUGUGGCACACUUCACCGGAAGCAAUAUGCUGCUACGUCCGUUCGAUCGAUCUGUGGCUGUAGCACACUGGCCAGUGUCUGGAUUACUCAGUGGGAUCGCAGAUAUUUAACGGCCGUCUCGAUCGAGGGAGUUGUGAACCUGCUGGUGUCGGUAUGGUAGUGGUAGAUAGCACCCCGAUAUGGUACUUCAGCGUGCGAUAUCCGACACUCCGAUACGUCUUUGUGCCCUUAAUUUUUGCAGAGAAGUAACGUAUUCAUAUCGGACCGAUAUGCUGCAUACGAUAGGUAGCAUGGCCUUGGUCGCGGACGUCGACGUCGCCGAGUUAAAAAGAAUCGGGGAUGUGAGGUGAGCGCCCGCCGCCCACGCAUGACGCAUCCUUGUCGGCGCGCGCCGGGGACCCGGGGGAGCGUGCGGCUGCGCUUCGUCCCCGCGCGCUGGCCGCUCGCUCGCGUGGCUGCCGCCUGCCGCUGCGGCCUGGCCUGAUCCCCCUGGGCCCUGGGACGGGACGCACAGCAGACACCGCGCCGCGCGCUGCCUGGAUACGUUUCGGCCUCGGAGUCGCUGGCACGGUGGGGGUGGGUCGGGGCGUGCAUGCACCGCGGGGCCGCCAGGCCGCCAGGCCGGGGCGCGACGAGGUGUGUGCGUCGCGGCAUGUGGCCGGCCAUGUGGAGAGGGGGGGAAUCAUGUGGGGGUACGGAGCUUACGUUCGUUGCCGGCUAAUCAUGGGAUCAGUGGCUCAGUGGUCUACUGAUCUCUCGCUGCUCGUGGGAAGUACGGAGCCGCGGCGGCUUGGCCCUCGCAUGGUCAGCACUUCAGUCAGUGGGCCUGCACCGGAUGCACCCAGCUACUCGAGUGGAUCGGAUCCAUGUAAGCAAAACAAGUACUAUAAGCUUUACUACGCUCACGUAGACCGAAAAGAAUCUUUCGGGUAAUUUUGCUGGCCAACACUCCUCAAUGUUGGCUCGUGGACAUCCCUCAAUCUUACCUUUGCUGGACACUUUUCAAGUUUGGAUAUUUGACUCAAUCUACGCAGCAUAUAUUUUACUGAGAGCGAGUACUGUAAUCCUUUUUUUUGGUGUGUUGCGGAGAGCUUGUUCUUCGGAUUCGGACAGCCCGCUCCGCUCCCAGUCGGAAUCAUUGCCAGUUCACAACUCUGACUCUCGGAGGUACCAAGCGGCACCAGGUUCAGGGUCGGAUCUUACAUGACUAGUGCACACUCGUCUAGUUGCAACGAGAGCUCAGAGCGGAUAUAGGCCAUCAUUCAACGGGGGUCGGGAUCGUUGUUUUCCGUGGCUGCAUUGAUUUCGCUCUCCACGACACGCGCGCUGCCUUAUCUGAUCCGCGCGCGCCUCGGGUGCCUUGAGCUGAUGCGCUGCUGACUCUGAAAGUGGUCCAGCGGAAUAGGUGAGGGGUGUUUGGAUAGUCCAGAUUAAAUUUUAUUCCUGUCACAUUUGAUAUUUGUACAUUAAUUAGGAGUAUUAAAUAUAAUUUAAUGAUAAAAAUAAUUGUAUAAAUGAGGACUAAUUCGUCAGACGAAUCUAUUAAGCCUAAUUAGCCCAUGAUUAGCACGUGUUUACUGUAGCCUCGCAUGGACUAAUCAUGAACUAAUUAGGCUUAAUAGAUUCAUCUCGCGAAUUAGUCCUCGUUUAUGCAAUUAGUUUUAUAAUUAAUUCACGUUUAAUCAUUCUAAUUGGUAUCCAAAUAUCCGAACUGACUCGACUACAAAUUAGUCCGUGGAUCCGAACAUUCAGCCUCUAGUCGCGCAUGGCUCUCUCUCGCUAGAGGAUCCUUGACUUGUCCUCAACCUCGAUACACCCCGAUUCGGAAGUAAGCUGGUCGACCUGAUCAAGCUCGUCCUACGAUGCUAGCUUUAGCUACGACCGAAAGGAUAUAUCCCGAGCACGUUACUGUCCAAUUUCAGUACGUAUACGCAGCCUGGGCUUCGCGACACUGGUCACCGGUCUACUACGCCUCGGCGCAUCAGCACGUACUACUACUACGCCAAAAAGCAGCAUGAAUCAUCAGGGAUACGGGUCGGGGAAUACGGGGGGUGCCGCCGCUUUCCGGGAGGGGAGCCGGCGGGACCGAUCGGAAUCACGCGUGCGCGGCGGAACCGGACGAGCGCCGGGGGCGGCGGGCGAAGAGGAAAAGAGCUGCCGGGACGGGCCACCGCGCGGGACGCGCACAUGGGCCGCCGUGACGCGUGAUUUUGUCGCGCACGGCGACCCACCGCCGCCGGGUCGGCGGCGGGGGCUGAGGUGGAAAGGGCCGGCCGUGCACGCACGCCGGGAGUCCCGGGGUCCCGGCGGCGCCUGUUGUUCCUAUAGCCCCCCGUACGAGUCCAUGUCGUCGGCUUGAGCAUCGAGCCCUGUGAGCCCCGUGCCGUGCUUGUGCAGUUGCGCGCUGGGUUGGGGGUACGGCGCGGUCCACGGCUGUCUGUCUCGCGCGCUCUGUGGGUCGUGCGAAUCUGUGAUCGUUCUACAGCGGCAGACUGGAUACGGAUGGAUGGCCGUGGCGGGGACGGCGCAGAGGAGCCACCUCUCCCUGGCUCGUUCCAGGCUGUUGUCCAUGGGCUUGAUUCAGCUGCGACCAGUCACCAGUCUGGAUUCUGAAUGACCGGGCGGGCUUCACAUGCAGAUUCUGUCAGUCAGGGGCGAGGGCGAUUAAGAGAAUCUUUUUGCAUUCUCACGCCAUUAUUUGAGACCUGCGCGUCGCAACGAUUCAGGAGGCUACCAAAAGAUCCCGUAGUUACGGAUCACGGUCUAGACGGCGUGUCCUGUGUUCAGUAGCGGUACGUACUAGUCCUACAUCGAGCCAGCGACUUCAGAAAUUCAGACUACACACGCUUUCAUCCGUACUCAUUGGAUACGGUGGACACGCACGCUUGAUACGUACUCAUUGCAUAUGCAUACACCUGAUACGUCCGGCUUGAAUACGACCUGCAUCCUCCAUAGUCAACAUACUGUCUCUCUCGAAAAGAGGAUCUGACAGUGUCAACUACGUGUGUGAGCCGCAAGCCGCGGUAUCGCUAUCGGUUGUGUGAAGUUCCGAACGACUGAUGAACCUUCAAAAAGGAAAAGGAAAUACGGCGUUCGUUGUCUUGAGCACUUGGGCUUUUCCUUUAACCGUUGUUCGGAGUCAAUUAGCACAGCCCACGAAAAUCAGUUUUGCCAUUUGGAAUUCUGGGCUGGACAGGCAAGGCCCAAUGUUUGUCGUGAUUAUAGCCCAUCAUCCAUCACAGGAAAAGCUAUUGUGGGCUUCGUGAAUUCAAAAGACCAUCUUGGUUUGUGUCGAUUCAAAAGGCAAAUCUUUGGUUGCUGAAUUCAAACGAUUGUCUUCCCACUUCUCAGUCAUAUAAAUACCAUAUUUUUUUUGCUUUAGCGAGUUAGAUUUGUAAAACUUUAACUAUGAACAACAUCAUAAUACAUUUAGUUCGAGAACGUUAGUUUUUUUUUAAAACACAUUAGAGGAAUUAUGCAUGACUAGGGAUAAAGGAAGGAAAGCACUCUUACAGAUUUACUAGACCUUAUAAAUAUAUGCUCAUAAAUUAAUUUAUUAGAACUGCACGUUCAAACUCCUUGAAAUGUAAAGUAUGAAGUAUGUAUGUUAGUAUUGGUGUUUAGACCCGGCAACCUAUCGAGGGGUACCGAGGUAGUGUUUUAUGCGUGGGGCUCGUCGAAGACCUGUAACUCGAAGGUGAACUCGAACACACGAUUUAGACAGGUUUGGGCAGCUAAUGUCGCGUAAUACCCUAUGUCCUGUCUGUUGGUUGGAUUGUAUUGAUUGAUCAUUUUUGGAGGGAGUUCUUGCCUCACCUUAUAUUGCCGUGGGUAGGGUUACAGGUCGAUUGUAUAGGAGUACUAGUCGGAUUCGACUAGAGAAUUCUACUCUAAUUGCUAUGAGUAGUUUUCUAAUCCUCGAUUAGUUAUUAUCCUCCACGUAGAUCACGCCAUUCUGCACCGUAGUCUCCAUGUAUGACACGUCUUGGUGGACUGUCCAAACCUCCCGGUGGGCUCAUAGAUGUAUGGCCGACAGUUAGGACGAGUAGCUUGAACUGCGAACCCAAGUUGUGAAACAUGGCAUGAUCGAGAAAAGAGGAAAAUUUCAUGUGAAAAAAUAUAGAGAAAAACAAAUUCGCAAUACAAUACUCGCCUCCAAAUUAUGAAGGAACCUAAUCCGCCUAGUAUCACUUAAGUACACAACUCAUGUAACUUGGUGGGACUCGCAUGGUUCCAUACCAUCUGCCUAUGUCGAAUCAAAACUAACGAGGCCAUCUAUGGCCUCAAGAUGCAAUUUUAGUUCCACGAGCAAAAGUAUGUAUUCAAGAAACAAGAGGAUCAUUCCCUACCCUGGAAAUUCAAAGUGAACAUGACCAUUAGAGAUUCCACCGUCGAUCUUAACCUUGAAUGUUACCAAGAGGGAGGAUGGCAUUGGUUUGGGACUUUGGGUGAACAUCAUCACUUUGUUUACUGGUCAUUUCAAUUUGUAGUUGACCAUAAACUCAUGGAGUCAUGGUUGUCAACAUGGAAUUAUAGGGUGCGUUUGCCAGAGCUCGGAGAGCAGCUUCUAGGUUGAAUCCAAGAGGAGUUUUGCCAAACAGUUUUCCUGUUAGAAGUGAUUCUAUACUGAUUCUGUGGAGUGAUUAUCUGAAAUGAACUAAGGGGCUGGGAGCUGAAAAACUAUCUUCUCCUGAUUCACUUCUCGCAGAAAAGCUCUUUAUCCAUAAAAUUUAUCAUAGAGAAUCACUUUCAACCACAAGAGUCACUUGUCUCGAAGAAUCAACUUCCAUAGAAGAAUCGGCAUUAGAUGGAACCCUACCAACCAGGCUCGUAGUAUCAAAAACUGAGCAUACUCAUCUCAAACCGUAGUUGACCGUGAACUCAUAGAAUCAUGGUUGUCAACAUGAAGCCGUAAUAUCACAAAAUGAACAUACCUCAUCAUCUUAAUUUGUAGUUGACCAUGAACUCACGCAGUUAUGGUUGUCGACAUGAAGUGUAGUAUCGCAAACUAAGCAUAUCUCAGCUGAAAAAGGUUCGUGGAACCUAUCCACUGAAUUGGAAUUUCUAUUCGGCACAGGUGCUUUGUAUUUGUUUUUAAAUUUAUUUUAGGAAUUAACUAUUACUAUUUCUUUCACAUGUAAGGAUGCAUGCCGCGAUAGAUAGCCCCAAUAUUAGUCAUUUCAUAGGGCUAAUUGUCUAAUCCAUUGAAGGGUGCAAUAUCAGUCAUUCAAAUCUUUGCUCUUAUGAGGAAAAACUAGCUAUACACGAGUCAUUUGAUAUGUUUCGCUACCAAGCCGUAGAUCUGCCGCGCCGAAAUGGUGAAAGAGCCCCACUGCAAGCCAAAGACCCGGCCACCCGAGAGCCCCUGCAUCCCGAAACCAGCCCACUCUGUUCGCGCAUCUCGGCGCUUCCGACAGGAUCGAACGGUCUAGGGAUACGGCAGCCCUAGGCCCUGGAGGCCUCGCGGAGUCGCGGGGGCGGCUCUCGCCUUCCCUCACACACGACUCGCCGCGAGGCGUUUCCCCUUUCCUCCGCGUGCACCUCGCCCCCCUCGCGAGAGAGCUCGAAAACCUAGCCGCCAAAUCCAUGGCUCGCCGCGGCCGCGACGACGACGACGACGAGGUGGAGGAGGAGGAGGACGAGGAGGAGGCCUACGACCUGGACGACGAGGAGGAGGAUGAGGAGGAAGACUACGAGGAGGAGGCGAGGCGCGGGAAGGCCUCCCGCGGCGGCGGCGGCGGCAAGGCCGGCGGCGGCGGGCGGAAGCGGUCGCGCGAGGACAACUUCAUCGACGACUCGGCCAUCGAGGACGAGGAUGAGGAUGAUGAGGACGACGACGGCGGCGCGAGGCCGAGGAAGAAGGGAGGCCGCGGGGUGCGAGGGUUCUUCGAUGAGGAGGCCCAGGUUGACGAGGACGAGGAGGAGGAGGACGAAGGCGAGGGCGAGGACGGUGAGUGGUCGCUCUCUUUGAUCGCGUCGUGAUGCUAUGUUUGGGGCUUCGGUGGUAUUUCUGCAGUCUCUGUUGAGAUCUGAUCCUAAUUUGGUCGAUUUUGAGAACUGGAUUUGGGGAUUAAGUGAGAAAGUAGCAGUUUUUAUGAUACUUUAUGCUCUAGGCAGGAUCCACUCCUUCUAUUUUGUUUUCAUGACUAUAGUAAGUGCAGGUUGGCGAGAAACUUAGGUUUGUAGCAGCUGUGUACCUAAAAACAGCUAAUUUUGAUGUUUGCUUCUACUCCAGAUCUUGAUAUGGAGCUUAGUCAUGUUUAGGUACAGUGAUAGAGAUGCACCUGGGCGAUGGCGUUAAGUAAAAUACUAGUAUUUUCUGGAUCAAAAAGCUUGCUGAACUACCCUCCCGAUUUGUUUCUGGAACUUGUUAGGUGAUACUUUGCUACGUUGAGCAUUUUCAAGCUUAAAUUGAUCUGGUUACAUUGGUUCUCUUUUAUGUAAGCUGACAGUGAUGGUUGUUUGGCCGGACCUGAUUUUUUUGGGGUAUAUGGAACCUACCUAGUUGAAAUUGUGGUAUUGGGGCAAACUUGAUGCUUGGGCCUGAACUUGCAUUGCAGUUGGAGACUUGGAAUUUAUUCUGUCUGCUGAUUUCAGGCGUGCAAAGUUGCUUGUGAGAACAAACCCAUGAGCCUGCUCUGUUGGAUAUGCUACUUGAAGGGACUGGAAAUAGUCAGUUCUCAGAGCUAUAUUUGCACUCUACCAAACCUUACAUACAACUAAACCUUAGUAUUGUGAAUUCAUUUUGUUCUUUUGAAUGUUGGAUAAGAUGCUUGAAGCUUUAUGAAGCCUUGCCAUCAAAUUGAAAAUCUAUUCAUAAAUUACAUCUCAGUUCAAAUGGUAUAGUCCUAUGCAUCAGGAAAAAACUUAUGCCCUCUAGGCCGAAACAUUGUUUUAGAAUCAAACCAAAAUUAUUUUCCAUAAUCUACUGGGGUGCUUUUGUCCAUUUGCACAUUCAAACUAUAGAUUUUUAGAGGAUUUAUUUGAAACCCUACAAAUAUUGAGAUCGGCUACAUGCUAUCAUCCAUUCUUGCAUUUAAUCUCACAAACAUCUUCCUCCCUUGAUACUGAAAAUAAUGAAUUGGAAAAUGACAUCUAUGAGCUGAGAUCAGAAGAUCAAGCGAGAGUUACUAAUGUUUGGCGUCCACUGUUUUGCUACUGAAUACUAUGUAGUACUAGUUACGGAAAGAAAUGAAGCACGGGCCUGGUGGAACAUACUAUACAGAUGAUGGUUGUGGAUCUCUUCGUGGUAGAGCAAAAUAGACAUCAAUCUGGUGAUACAUGGUGAUGGCUAUUACUGCUAGGAUUGCGAGCAACAGUGUUAAUUUUGUUACAUUUUUUUAUUACAUUGCCUUUGGAAUCCACACAACUGUUUAAAUGUUUAAAUUGAGUUAGUUCUAUGCUUAUUGUUGUAGUACUAAGGUACAUAAGCCUGUUCAUAUGUCUAAUGCUCUUACUCCUUUGCCUUUUAGAUUUUAUCAAUGAUGCUGGGGCCGAUAUUCCUGACGAGGAUGUUGUUAGGGUCGCAAGACGUCAUUCUAUGCCUAUGAGGGAUGAAGAUGAGGACAUUGAUGAGAUUGAGAGACAAGUACGGGAGAGAUAUGCAAGAUCCACUCAUAUUGAGUAUGGUGAAGAAGCUGCAGAAGUGGAACAGCAAGCUUUAUUGCCCUCUGUGAAGGAUCCUAAACUAUGGAUGGUCAAAUGUGCGGUAUGUGCAAGGUUUUAUCUUAUUAAACUGCCUCGAUGUUUAUUGUUUGCCCUGCUUAAACUCUACUAAUCCAUGAUUAUGACUUCAGAUUGGACAUGAGAGAGAGACCGCGAUUUGUCUGAUGCAAAAGUACAUUGAUAGGUCAGAUCUUCAGAUAAAGUCUGUCGUGGCGUUGGAUCAUCUAAAAAAUUAUAUUUAUGUUGAAGCAGAAAAGGAAGCCCAUGUCAAAGAGGUAAGCAUAUGCUCGGCAUUUUACUUCGUCUAGUCUCAUUUCCCCCACUAAACUCACUAAACUUGGUUUAUGCAGGCUUGUAAAGGUCUACGAAAUAUUUAUGCUUCAGCAAAAAUAACAUUAGUUCCAAUAAAAGAAAUGGCAGAUGUCCUCUCUGUUGAGAGCAAAUCUGUUGAUCUUUCACGGGAUUCUUGGGUCCGAAUGAAGUUGGGCAUAUACAAAGGUGACCUUGCUAAGGUAUUACUGCAACACUUCUCUUAUAAAUAUUAUAUAUCAAUUUUUCUGUGGCGGAACCAGGAUUGGUGCUAAGCUAAUUAACCUCACUUAACCCAUGUUAUAAUUAGGGUCAAGAAACUAGAAGUUAGGUCCUGUUUGGCAUGACUCCAACUCCAAACUCCAGGCCGGAGUUGAGCGGAGCCAGCCAAACACCCCAACUCCACCAUUUUUUGGAGCAGCCUAGCCCCAGUUCAUUUUGGUGGAGCACCUCUUUUGCGACUCCAACUCCCUCAAAUAUGAACCUACUCGUGGAGUUCGGGGGUAAUUACCUGCCACUGCCACCGGUUACACAUGUACCGCUUCCUUCUAUUUUUUUUCCUCCCAUCCGACGCUCUCUCAUCUCCCCCUCCCGAACGGCUGAACCACUCAGCCCCGCUUCUUUCUUCUCCCGUCACGCUUGGGACAAGGGCGCCACCGCCACUUGACUUCACCGCCCGGCCCCCAGUCGCCCUCUGCCGGACCGAAGCCCUAGUUGCCGCAGCCCGUCACGUGCCGCCGCAGGCCUGGUGGCCGCAGCUCCGUCUCGCGCGCGUCCCGGUCCCGCGCGGCCGCGGCCCCAUCACGUGCCGCCGCAGGCCCGGCAGCCACGGCCCCGUCCCAUGCGCGCGUCUUCCCGUCCUGCGCGUCGUGUUUGUGUGUGACCCGACAGCCGCCUCCCUCUCCUUCCCACCGGGCGAGCAUCUGCACAUGGUGGCCGUCCAGGACAAGGUGCUGCUCCUGGAAGACCCGGCCGUGAAGGAGAGAAGCUCUGGUCAACCACCUUGGCGCAGCUCAUGGGAGUGCUGAGUAAAGAUUGUUUUCUCUUUGAGUUUGUUUGCAUGAGCGACUGAGCAAAGAUUCCAGCUCGGUCUAACUGCAAUGUUCAGAGCCUUCUGAGUUUGAGUGCGACGGGAGGCUCCUCCCAAGGAGGAAGAAGGUAAUCUCGGGAAAAAAAGAAAGAAAAAAAAAUAGAGAUAGAGGAUGACAGAUGGGACCAUGAGUGGAGGUAAUAAUGGCAAUCCACCUAGAAAACCCUCUUUUCUAGAGCUGGAACACCCUCCUCGCCAAACACCCCCAUCCAUUCUGCUCCAACUCCACACAGAGCUAGCUCCAGCUGAAGUUUGGAGUUGGAGCAGAAAAUGGUGGAGCCAUGCCAAACAGGGCCUUAAUCUGGUUUCUACUGCUCACAUACUUGUCCAUCUAUUGUUAACUGGCUCAGCACCCUGUCAUUCUUCAAAUAUUGAUGUGAUCAUAUUCUUCAGGUUGUUGAUGUUGACAAUGUACGCCAAAGAGUAGAUGUAAAGCUGAUCCCUAGAAUAGAUCUACAAGCUCUGGCUAGUAAACUGGUAAGUUCAAACCAUGUUUCUCACAAACUCACACUUUUAUUUGUUAUUACUUCUUAUCUAGCUUACUUGCGUAUAAAUUGAAGAGUGGAGUUAAUCUAUUUGUCUCAGUUUUAUGCUCUUAGGAAUGGAGCUAAUCUACCCAUAUCAAUUUUAUGCUCUCCUGUUAUGUACUUACGUUAACAAGUAACUGCUUAAAUGCAUAUUCAAAAUUGGGAUAUCAGGUCCACGGUUUCAUAUGCGACAUAAGAGACUAAAUUACAAACAAUAUCUAUAUAUUCCUGUUCUAUGUUUGUGUUCUAUGUGUUUUUUUAUUUCUCCUGGUCAUGUUUUUUCUAAAGCCAAAAAAAAUUGUGAUCUAUGAGCUAUACUUAUUUGAAGUAAUAUUCUGAUUAUCAUGAUUGGUUGUUAAUUUGCUUGCUUUUGAUUGAGCUGUUCGGUUAAUUAGCUCAUUGGGGUUCCCUUUCAUGAUGGACAAUUUUUAUCUCAGGAAGGGAGAGAGGCUGUAAAGAAGAAAGCAUUUGUCCCACCACCUCGAUUCUUCAAUAUCGAUGAGGCGAGGUGACAUUUUUUCUCCUUCAGAAUUGAGCUAAUUGUUUCUGUUAUAGUUUGCUAAUUCCAUGCAAACAGGGAGAUGCACAUUCGAGUGGAACGGAGGCGGGAUAAAGAAUCUGGGGAGUACUUUGAGUGGGUUGAUAAUCUGAAGUUCAAAGAUGGUUUCUUGUACAAAUCAGUCUCCACUAAAUCAAUCCACACAAAUAAUAUUCAGCCGACAUUCGAUGAACUUGAGAAAUUUAGGAAGCCUGGUGAUGACAUGAAUGGCGACGUGGCUAGCUUGUCCACUCUUUUUGCAAACAGGAAAAAAGGACACUUCAUGAAGGGUGAUGCCGUCAUAGUUAUUAAAGGCGAUUUGAAAAAUCUGGAGGGGUGGGUUGAGAAAGUAGAGGAUGAAACAGUUCACAUCAGGCCAAAAAUAUCUGAUCUUCCGGUAAUUAAUUGCAAUUUCAGCUCUUUAUUUCUAUUCUAUUUCUAUUCUAUGAUUUUUUUGGUGGACUAAUUUUGUCUGUUGUUAAUGCGUUUCUUGUUACUGCAGAAAACAUUAGCCUUCAACGAGAAGGAGCUUUGCAAAUAUUUCAAACCUGGUGACCAUGUCAAGGUGAUCUCAGGUGUUCAAGAAGGAGCUACUGGCAUGGUUGUUAAAGUGGAAGGACAUGUCUUGAUCAUUUUGUCUGACACAACUAAAGAACAUGUGAGCAAUUGUUGUACCGAUAUUACGAAGUAGAAAUAUUUAAGCUGAUCUAAUUGAGAUUAUUUAGUCUUAACUGUGCUAUUGUUGGAUGAUACAGAUCCGCGUGUUUGCCGAUCAUGUUGUCGAAAGCUCUGAAAUUACCACAGGAAUUACCAGAAUUGGUGAUUAUGAACUGCAUGAUCUUGUCCUUUUGGAGUAAGUUUAUCCUUCUAGUGAACAAUAGUCAUAGUUUGUCUAUUGUGAUUACUUACCUGUGUUCCUCAUAAUCUAUUUUCAGCAAUUUGUCAUUUGGGGUAAUUAUAAGGGUGGAAGCUGAAGCAUUUCAGGUAAUUAGAUUAUUCUAGUAAUGAAGGAUGAUUGUACUUCACACUAUAUUUACCAAGUUGUAUAUUUAGGUUCUGAAAGGAGUGCCAGAUAGACCUGAAGUUGUACUUGUGAAAUUAAGAGAAAUAAAAAGCAAAAUUGAUCGGCGUGCUUCAGCGAAAGAUAGGUCAAAUAAUAUUAUCUCAGCAAAGGAUGUUGUAAGGGUUGUUGAAGGAGCAUGCAAGGUGUGUCCUAGUUCUGUUAUGUUAGUAUUUUAGUUGGUUGUUUUGACUCCUGUUCUGUUACCUUUGUUAUAUCUACAUCCCUAUUUUGUCAAAUUAGGGGAAGCAAGGACCUGUGGAACACAUACACAAGGGGAUACUGUUUAUCUAUGACAGGCAUCACCUUGAACAUGCAGGCUUUAUUUGUGCAAAAGCACAAUCUUGCCUUCUUGUUGGUGGAUCGACUGGUGGCCGUCGAGGAAAUGUUCGUGCUGAACCCUUUUAAUAACCUUGGUCAGCUAUGCUUAAGAAUUUGUCUCACUGUUUAUUUUAUUUAUGCAGGGCAUGGACACAGCAGAUGCACGGCUUGGUGCUUUGAGGUCUCCAGCAAGCAUUUUGCAAUCUCCAGGAAGACUGCCCCCAAGAGGACCUCACAUGAAUUGUAUGAUCUUCUUUUGAUUCUUUCAGUUUCUAACUCCCCAGGCUUAUUAAUUCUACAUUUCUUGAAGCAAGGUCAGUCGCUUUGUGUAGCUGUAGAUUAUCUACUAAUAUAACCUUUCCAUCCAAUGCAGUUGGUGGAAGGUUUGGAGGUGGUCGUGGUGGUAGAGGGCAUGAUGCCUUGGUGGGUAAAUGUAUCAAAAUUAAGUCUGGUCCUUACAAGGGGUACCGCGGCCGUGUCAAAGAGGUGACUGGUGCACUUGUACGUGUGGAACUUGAUUCGUUGAUGAAGAUUGUCACAGGUGAAUCCUCAUACUGUUAUCUGUGUCCCGUGAUUCUCACAUUUUGAAGGCUAAUAUGACUACAAAUACACAGUUAAAAGAGAUGAUAUUGCUGACACACCUACUGUUGCGACACCAUUCCGGUAAUAUUUUCUCCACUUGUUAGUUCAAUUUUGCUUUUUGAUCUAUUUGUUAAUUGGUGUAUUAUCAUAUCAUCAGUGAACCUCGAUAUUCAUUGGGUGGUGAAACACCGAUGCACCCGUCUCGAACACCACACCAUGCUUAUCAGACUCCAAUGCGGGACCCUGGAGGUUUGUUUUCCUUUUGUCCUGAUAUUUCAAUCUGUUCCCAACUUCCCAUAGAUCAAAGGAUAUUUCUUAUAUCUGAUUUUUAGUUGUGUUUGAGUCUUUCCCCAUAUUGCAAGUUGCUGUCCUACGAUUGGUACAUUUGUUUGCUUAUGUCUAAUUUUUUGGAAGACUGGCAUUUUUUAAAAGGCAAGAAAAUUCUUAUUGUCCUUUGUCCGCAGGCUGUGUGUUUGCAUCCCUUUUAUUUGUUGACAUGAACAAAGGAGCCUAAGCUAUUAUCUCAAACAAGUGUUCCCAACUUAGUAAACUUGCAUUGAGAAUCUAUAGACGCUUUUUGUACUAUCCAUUCAGUAUUUGGCAUUCAUUUCAUGUGUUCCUGUAAUAAUUUGCCUGUUCAUUGCUACAGCAACACCAAUACACGAUGGGAUGCGGACUCCUAUGCGUAGUCGAGCCUGGGCUCCUAUGAGUCCUCCGAGGUUGUGAAUUAUUCCACAAUGAUAUUUCUGAUCCAUCUACAUAUCUUGGAACUAGUGUUGAAUAAAUAGUUUCAGGGUGGGUCUGUUUGGGAUGCAUGAAAGAGAAUUUCUUGGUUCCAAACAGCAGUUCACUGUUUACUUUUGUAUUAUGACUUAAAAAUAACCAUCUAUAUGUGAUUUUUGAUCAUUGCUGUGUUGGUGUUUUACCAGGGAUAAUUGGGAAGAUGGAAAUCCUGCUACUUGGGGCAGCAGUCCAGCCUACCAGGUUAGAUUUCGCCAAUCUAGUCCUAUUCCUUCAUUCCUUGUAUGUUUUUGAUAACUUGUUUCGUGCAUAUAUGUAACUCCCAUGUUUUUUUUCAAAAUUUUCAGCCAGGAACUCCACCAGCUCGGCCAUACGAAGCCCCUACACCAGGAUCAGGGUGGGCAAACACUCCAGGAGUUAGUUUCAAUGAUGCUCCAACUCCUAGAGAGAACUAUGGUAUAGAAAUUUAUUCAAUUGGUUAUUUAAUGUACUAUUAUGCAGUGUUUAUUAUGUGUUUUGUGGAUGGUUGUAUUCUGACGAUGUGUUUUCAUUCUGACCUCCUAGCAAAUGCUCCGAGUCCAUACGUGCCUUCCACACCUGUUGGUCAACCGAUGACUCCAAAUUCUGCUGCGUAUCUUCCGGGUACUCCUGGUGGUCAGCCAAUGACUCCAGGCAAUGUGGGAAUGGAUAUAAUGUCCCCCAUAAUAGGUGCGCUGUUGUGAUGUCACUAUGUUUUUGCACCUGUAAUGUGCUGCCUUGUUUGCAUAGGUACAUAUCUAAUCAUGUGCUGAAAUGCCUGCAGGUGGUGAGGGUGAAGGUACAUGGCUGUUGCCAGAUGUUUUGGUCAAUGUGUUGAGGGGAGGCGACGAUGGUCCCGGUGUCGUCAGGGAAGUACUUGGGGUAUGUGUUGCACACCGCAUGGCUGGACUGCUAAAUUCUGUUGUGUUCUGUUUGUCUCGCAUCACGCUUACAUGCAUUUGAACGUACAGGACGGAUCUUGCCGAGUUGCACUCGGGUCGUCAGGCAACGGCGACAUGGUGACUGUCCUUCCGAACGAGCUCGAGGUCAUCAGGCCAAAGAAGAGCGACAGGAUCAAGAUACUGAAUGGCAAUUUCCGCGGGUACACAGGAAAACUCAUAGGCAUAGAUGGUUCUGACGGAAUAGUGAAGCUGGACGACACAUACGAAGUUAAGAUAUUAGAUAUGGUGAUUUUGGCCAAACUGGCGACUUGAAAUGUAUGUAUAUUUUGUAACGUGUCCAUCAUAUAACAUAAUGUUGUAACGAUGCCCUUGUUCGCAAUAAAACUUUUUGUGGCUUAUAUUUCCGUAGUAUUAUUCCAGACUCUGUCACCUCAUCUCGUGGCCUUUUGCCAAAAUUCCUGCUUACCGGUUUCGUUGAUUUGGGGUUUCAGCCUUUGAGGCUCCCAGCUCUGACACGUGAUAGCUAAUAGCUAUCAUGAUUCAUCACUUACGGCAUUACUGGAAUUUGUGAUCAUGAUCUAAUGGUCAUUGCCACCUGCAAAAUUUACACCGGCUUGUCACGUCAUGUGUCUAUUAUUGUUGCACAUGCCAGACGGGGUUUAUAACUUGUGGCAAAGAAAUUAAGCAUCAUGGUUUGCAAAUACCGAACUGCAUUUCUCAUAGCGUUCUUCUUUACUCGAGGUUUCGUAACUUCUGUAUCCAACCAAUCUUUACACAAGAAUGAAAUCUCACUAUCCCCUUCAGUCGCAUGACGCAUCACGACCAGUAAGCAGAGUGUCGCUAAACAGCUGAACAAAAUACGGAGUACGAGUGGUGAAAAGCCGUGACAUCGCGGCCUGAUCCUGUGCUCCGUUUCUGCUACUCGGUGGUGGUUCUAGUAAUUCUUCGUCGGAGUCUCCCCGACGACGUCCUGCCUGCACUGCUGGAACACCUGCAGGAUGUUGCGGUAGGGGCUCCUGGACGACGGCGAGGCGGUGCCGGCGCGGUGGCGCUUGCUGCUCGACGGCCGCGAGUCCGGGCUCACCACUCCCUCCGCCUCCGCGUCCUCCCGCGGCGGCCGCUCCGCCUCCGCCGCGUCCUUACGCAGGGUCUCCAGGAACGACUCCUUCAGCGCCCCGUCGAUCUGAUCAAAUCAAUCAGGCGAAAACAACGUUUCAGCAUCAGGUGCCGCGUCGGAUUUGAAUCUCAGAGAAGGGUGGGUGGGGGGGUCGCUCACCGUGAGAGGGCAGAAAUCCGGCAUGGGCCACGCGACGGGCCCGCCGUCGUCGGGAGGCUCCGGCAGGGGCUCCACGGGCGCCAUCUCCGCCUCCUCCUCGCCCUUGCCCCCGCCGUCCACUCUCGCCCCAUCGACGCCGCCGCCGCCGCCGCCGCCGCCGUCCUCGUCCGCCGCCGCCUCGACCUUAUCCUGCGCCCGGAAACAAACCCCACCCAUGGUCAGCACCUCCUGCUGGGAACCGCGACCCGAUCCGGCGCGCACGUGGGGACGACGGACGGGAAGUGGGAAGAGGGCGGGAGGCCAAGAGAUCGAUUCCGAGUAGUACCAUGAAGCUCGCGCCGGCCUCCACCAUCCGGUUUCCCCUCUCCCGCCUCGCCUCCGACUCCGAGACCGUCCCAGCGCCUCGCCUCCGCUUUCCGAUCGGCGCUCGAAGAGGGGAAUCUUCUCGGCUGCUCUCCGCGAAAUAACGCGGUUGAGUUUGAAAUGGGGGAAGGCGAGGCGAGAGCGUAACGGCCGCGAUUGAGUUUAUGGGAGCAGAGGAAAUCGGGGGAUCUGAGACUGGGAGGAGGAGAGGAGGGGAUUUGGGGGAAAAAGGCAACGGCUACUUUUUGGGCCGUGGCAGGAGCAGCAGCCCGCUUGCGGGUUUGUCGAGGUGGAUCCGAUUUGGGUGGGGGCCAGGUGAGAGGGGAUCAGUGAAAAGGUGAGGCACGGAGCCAUCUGUGUGCCCAUCUUGUUCUUCAGCGACUCCGCGCGGUGGCAGCAGUGCUUCGCAUCAUUCCUUGGAAAUUGGAAUCCUCCAAAAAAAAAAGUAAUGGUACUAUUAUUGCAUGUAGGACAGUUGAAUCCUCCAACAGCGUUUGCUCAUACACGAUCAUUUUAUCCAAGCAAUAUUGGUCGUACUUGAUAGAUUUGACCUCUAAAUUUCAACUACACGUCUUCAUUCGUGUACCUUUUUUUUUGGUGAAACCAAAGUUUGCGCAAGAGCCACCUACUUUGACAAAUCGUCAAUCUUUUUACCUCACCUCUGGGAAAUGAGCCAACAUUUUGUCCAUCACACACGUGCGGACGUGCCCGUGAAGAAGCCGGUCUACCCACACACUACACGCAAACCGGCUUGUAUAUCAAGCUUGGUGGCCCGAGAAUACAUACCAGGCUUUUCGAAAAAGAAUACAUGCCGGGCCUCGAAUGUUUGUGGGCUCUCGUACACUCGAGGCCUCGUCGUGAAUCCAGUAGUGUGCGGCAUCGCUCGCUGUCCACACGGGCCCGUUCACGUAACGACGGCCGUCCAGUCCGACCGAUCGCUGUGAGGUUUUCAUCCCGCUAGGCCCACCACAGAGGAGGGACCGCCCGCACAGCGCAGCAAAGGAGGACUGAGGACGGGGGCGUGGGCCCCGCUCGAUUGAAUCCCCUCUCCCGCCGGCCAGGGCCCACUAAAUCUGAUGAGCCGCGGGGGCCCAGUGGCUCGCGCGGGGGGGCUGGGUGGGUAGCUAGCUGGGCUGGCUGUACUCCAGGCCCAGGCGCUUCCGUGGCACCUGCGCCCUGGACGGCCAGCGCCACGUAAGCUGGUCCAGACAGUGGUGCCUAGUACUGGCACUGAGAGUGUGCGACGAAAUUCAACGGGUGGAGCUCGACUGGAGUCUGGAGGUUUCCUGUUGACUUUGCAUUGCAUGACUGUUGUGCAAAAGACUUUUUUUUAUAUAAAAACUGUUGCUGUGAGUGACCUAGAGUCCUAGAGAGUCUACUCUCUGAAACCUGAAGCACGAAACGUUAGCAAACGCCUAGCUCCGUAGGGCGCCCGCAAUGGUACAGCAUGCUUGCUCUCCACAAAAGGUGUACACCUCAUCUAUAGAUGGUACAGUAGAUAAGUCAUCCAACAGUCUCUCUUUUGGCACGUCAGAAUAUUUCAUCCUUCCAAUCGAUCCCUCUCUUCCUCCGCCUGACGUCUAAUGCAGCGCCCCCCUACCUGACCGACGCCGACCUCCUCCACCCCAUCCGCGCUGCCCACUCCGCCACCCCCACCUCAUCAUCUCCGGUGGCGGCAGGGCAGCAGUGACGACCAAGCUCCACGCCGUCCAUGGCCGGCGACCGUGCGCCACCCCCUCCCCUCCCUCGCUACUGCGCCUUGACCACGGCGGCUGUGCUCCAGCCCAUCGCCGUCCCCUCCGCGGUUGGAGCCUCAGCAUCAGCGCCUCCACCCAGACCCAUCUUCCCAGUCAAGCGUCGCUGCCACGUACGCGUCAGAUGCCAACGAUAGAUGAGGAAGCGGUGGCCCACGGUGAUGGCGCUGGCCACUCCGCCUCGUCGUGCCGGUGGCCGAGCUCCUUUCUCGCGCGUGGCUCAAGGAAGCGGCGGUCCGCUCCCUUCGUCGGUGAAGGGUGAGCAGGCGGUGCCGAGGCUCAGUCCAAUCGGUCCGCUCGCAACUGCGGCGGCGGUGGCGCGCUUUCCUCCGCCUUGCCAUGUCCGCGGCGGCGGCCAGAGCUCCACCCGCCCGCGAGCGUCUCGCUCCCGCGACUCACCAGGCAUGGGAAAACCGAGGCCUACUGGCGUGGAUUUGCGUGCUAUCGAGAGUUGCUGCGUCUAGCGACAUUUUUCCUCUCUCCUCUUCUCUCUCCGACGUGGCCUGCUAUCGACAUUUCCUAACGGCCCGUUGCGGGUGCCCUUAGCUACCCUGUCUGUAACGAUGACCUACUGGAGUUCUGGACAAGCACUCAGCCUGUCACUGAAGAAGUGAAGAACACGUUAGCAUACAGUCCAGUCCAGUCCACUCCACUCCAGCCAUUUCCUUGCUCCCUUUUGCAAGCGUAUCCAGUCCACUGCUCCCAAUCAGCAAGCCUGUCACUGCAAUCCAUCUCCCGGGCUACAUGCCAAGCUACCUUUCACCACUGCCGCCAGGACCAAGCGCCGCGGCUCGCAAGCUCGCUACAGCUCGAGGGGCAAAGCGCGCGGCGCGCGUCCGCUUCGGCAAUGCGGACAAGCGUCAUUUCCCCCACCGGCCGCGCGGGCUUGCCGAACCGAGCAUGGGUGCCGGAGGUACAGGGGGAUGGGCAGCCGGAAGCGGCAAGGAUUCCGACCCCCCUUCGCCUCCGCCCUCCCCCCCAUCCCCGCGCGCCGCGAGACCCCACCACACGUCCAAAUCCGCUGCCCCAAAACGGCCAAUCGGUGACGGCCACGUCUCGCCUCGCCGGGCCGGCCGGCGUCGUGUUGGACCGUGUCUGGCUGCAAGCGACCCGGGCGUGAUGGCCACAGGCCAGCCAGCCAGCCGAGGGGGAAAUCUUGACCCGUCGUCGUUGUCUCGUUGCAGUGGUUUACCUGGGUAGUAGUUGUAUCCUCGCUCUGCUGCUUGCAGGAGCCGACUUGGCUGUUGUUGUCGAGAGGAUGGGGGGGUGCAUGGACUAACUCGAGGCUGCACGGUUGGGCGCGGUCAAUGCUUUGUGCCAAUUUGGUGCAUGCUCAUACGUUGUACCGUUCCUUGUCUUGUGAUCCGAGUUCAGACUGUAAGCUAGUUCAUAACAGCACGAGACCGGCGGCUUCUAACCCAUUUGCAGCUGCACGAGAAUAACAAUCGACGCAUACCUCUUUUGCGUGGGGUCUCUUGUAAUGUAAUACUCCAACCGACUUGAGUUUGAUCUAAGUCAGACUAUUCUAAUUUGAUUAGGUUUAUAGAGAAGAUGAUUAGUAUUUACCACAUCAAAAAAAUAAACCGUAAAAUAUAUUUCAUGAUGGAUUUAAUUACACUCAUUUGAUAUCAUAUAUAUUAUUGUUCUUCUCUACAAAUAUUGUCAGUUUGACUUAGGACGAACUUGAAAUCCCUAAUAUUUUAGGACUAAGGCAGUAGAAUUUUGUCUUUGUGCCUCCAUGUUUUUUUCUCAACAGUUGUAUUACUAUGUGCCAAAUCUAAAUAUGCUUUGUUCCUCAUUUUAUUUUCCAUUUCUUGAUGCCUUUAACAACACUGGCUAUAUUUUAUAUUUUGUUAAAACAAUACACACACACACAAGAAAUGAGCUUUUAUAACUUUUUUUUAAAGAAAUACUUACGGACCCAUUGUUAAAGUUUGUACCAUUUUGGCCGGGUAUGGUUUCAAGUAGACCUAAGAAUUUUAGACCUGUCCCGUCGGGGUUGUGCCCACCCACACCUGAUGUAGGGACGAGCUUGGUCCAAGGAAACUAAAAGUUUAAUUUUGGUGCGAUCCAAACCUUGCUCGACAAUUUAAUUUAGUUAUUUUUCAACUAAAAAGAGUGGAAAGUCCGAGCCAGACCUGGCCCGGCUCAAAAAAUCAGAUCGAAAUUCCCAUGGUAUGAAUUUUAGGCUUGAGAUUUUCUAGGCUCGGCUCGACAAAUGCCCAUGUCUAGUUCCAAGCACAAACAUUGUUUGCAAUAUGUUAUAGAAGCUGCAUGAAUUAUUUAAUUUGCCUUUUAAGCCAAUACCAUACCUAAUUAUAGCAUUUCUUGCAAAGUAUAACAUGUGAACUUAUUUUUUAAAAGCAAUACGGCUAGUUAUGAAUUAGAUUUAUUUAUUUCACUACUUGCAUAACUUAAAGCAUGCAUAUAAAUUUUGUUCUGACAUAGAUUUAAUUUUAAAACAUGUUUCGGAGUAACUUAUGUGCUCAUACACUAAAUCAACCAAUAUGUUCUUUGACAUACAUAUGAAAAUGGCAAGCAUCCAUUAUGUGUGAAUAAUAGAAUGCCUCACUUCCUGCUGGUAAAUUUAUUUAAUUGUUAAUAACUUACACAUUGGAAAAUCAAUCACUAUUCACAUGGAGUUAAGAAACAUGAAAUAGGAGUAAUGGAUUGUAUUAGAUAAAAGGAGAAAAGCGCUGCCGAAAAUCCUACUCCUAUUUGCUUUUGUUCAGUGAUCAGACCUUUAUAGCACAAGCUUGAGGUACCGAAUUUCUAUGAGAAAUAAUCUUAAAUGGCAAUACCUCAAAUGUUAAAAAACAAUUUAGGAAAUUUUACAUCCAUGAUCGGUUAAUUUGAGUGUAUAAAUGGAAAAGAUGGAUCCAAUUUAGGACUUUAGCUUGAUCUUGAUGGAUGAUUGUUUUAGAAUACAACAGACAUGUAUCAAACCUACUUGAUUUUCCUAAUACUUCAAAUCAAAAUAAGAUUCAGAGUUCAAUGUGGAUAAAUAUGGGCUAGUCUAUAACAAUCAAAUUUAUUAACUAUAUUGUGAAACAAGAAGGAUACAUAUUGAUACAUUCUAUCGUCAUGCCUAGCCAUUUUCCCAACACAAAGCUUACAUUCAUGCUAAUAGCUAUGUAUGGAAACAUAAUAGUAAAUUUAGUAUGCAACUUGCUAACUUCAGACUACAAAUCUGAUGCUAUAUUGAUACUCCUACCUAGUAUGUAGAUCUCAAUAUACCCAUAUUAAGAUGGUAAUAUAAUUAGUAAAAUCUUAAUGCCCUAUUAAAUGCUUGCUAAAGUAUGGAAAUUUUAUACCACGAUAUUGUGGAUUCAGUUACAAACAAAAAAAACUAAUAACCUAUUUGGUGAAAGCAUCUCUAUCUGUUUGCAUCUAAAUCCAACACAAUCAAUUACAACUGUUUCUAGAAUUUUUAUUGAACAUAUAGAAGUUAGCAUUGAUUCAUGGUUCAUCAUUAUAUACAAUAGAAUAUGGAAGCAUCUUCAAUGUUGAUGCUACAAUUUGGGAACAUGUUAUUGGCAUGAACUAUGUUGUUCCCCAAAUUUAAUAAAUUAAAACUAGAAUUAUCAAAUAUUUCACACAUAAUGAUAAUUUAUCAAAAUAACUUAAAAUAAAUAUCAAUAUUAAUUAAAUAUUGGAUUUAUAGAUGACAUAUUUUAAGUAUAUAUGUGAUUGGAUAUAGGGUGGUUGCAAUUUUAAACAUUACCUAUAAUAAGUUAUAGAAGUCAUACAUGAUUAUAACAUUGCUUUCAAAGCACAAUGAAUCUAGUUCUGAUUUGAUGUAUUUGAAGAACUACUUGCAUAAUUAAAAAUAUAUGUGUAAUCUUUUUGUUGACAUAUUCUUUAUAAAUAGAUUUAGUAGCUUGUUUCAAUUUAAAAGCAAUAACUUGUAUGCACAUACAUUUAACCAAACAAUAUCUUCUUUGAUGAUGUACAUAUGCAAAUGAUGAGCAUCCAUUAUGUUGAAGAAUUAGUGACAAAGUUUAUUUGACCAACAAUAGGUAACACUUAUGAAGUUCAAUCAAUAGUCAUAUGGAGUUAUUAAAGGAGCAAGGAACAAGAGAAUUGAAUUGUAGUACAUCAAUCCUCAUCAUAUUGCUUCUUUUUCUUUGGUCAUCCUUUGUUAGCACAAAUAAGGCAUCAAAGUUCUACUUGGACCAAUCUUCUCAACAAUCAACUACAAUAUGUUAUUUUUUUUUUCAAAUUCAGUAACUUUUUACAACCAUAUCUGGUUCAUUUUGACUCACAAGUGGAAUAAUAAGUCCAACUUAAGAGCUCAACUAGACAUUUAUGGGCAUGCUGUCUAGGAUCCAACACACAAGUAGCAAACCCAUUCAAUUUUUACAAGGGAUCCAAAUAAAAAUAAGAUUUAAACUUUCAUGUCCAUGGACAUAUAUGUUGUAUGCUUGAACUUAUACCUGAGCAAAUAAGGCCCGGCCAGGUUCAACCCAAUAGCCUAGUCUGAGCGCGCCGGGCUAAGCUCGGCUCAUGCCUCUAAUAGGAUCGAGCGUGCUGCUAAUUUUGCCGGCCCGAAAAAAUUUGGGAGGGCCUGAUCUGGCUGGGGCUGAUUAUUUAUUUCAAUUGUCUUAUGCGUAAAAAUAGUGGUCCGCUCGGUCAGGGCCCAAGCCCGACCGAUGUCUUUCUCGGGCGCAAUACUUUGGCCCAAAAUAUUAUGAGGAUUUUCUCGGCUCGUCUUAGAUCGACUUCAACUCUAUUGCAACUAAAAUUGUAUCUUGUGUCCCCCUACUUUACCAUCAGGCUCCAGACCCGAUGAUUCCCGCACCGAUCAAUCUACUAUCUCGGGAUAUCCCUCAAUAGGCUGCAGGGUAAAAAAUACCGGCACCUCCCUAGUAUAAAAAUCAAGAUUGCCAUAUUGACAUGGUAACAAAGUUGUACAAACUUAAUUUCAUAUUAAAUUCUUGCUAAAGUUUUGAAAACUUUAUUAGCUGGAUAUCUGGAGUUAUCUCUAGAUCAACAGAAAAAGGAAUCAAUCCUGCUAAGACUAUUUAGCCAGAGCAUCUCAAGUUGUAUGCGCUUGAAUCCAACAUUAUAAAUUAUAACUAUUUUAAGAAUUAUAUUAGUCAUAUCAUUGCUGGCAUUGAUUCAGUGUCAAUAUGGAAUAUUCACGUUGAUGCUAAGUUAUCUGUGGAUCAAUAGAAAAAGGAAUCAAUCCUGCCAAGGCUAUUUAACCAGAGCGUCUCAAGCUGUAUGCGCUCGAAUCCAAUAUAAUAAAUUAUAACUAUUUUAAGAAUUAUAUUAGUCAUAUCAUUGCUGGCAUUGAUUCAGUGUCAAUAUAAAAUGUUCAUGUUGAUGCUAAGUUAUAUAUGGAUCAAUAGAAAAAAGGAACCAAUCCCGCUAAGGCUAUUUAACCGAGCGUCUCAAGCUGUAUGCGCUCGAAUCCAAUAUAAUAAAUUAUAACUAUUUUAAGAAUUAUAUUAGUCAUAUCACUGAGGGUACAGACUCAGUGUCAAUAUGGAAUGUUCACGUUGAUUCUACUUCGCCCUCCAUUUUCAAAAUUUAUAAUUUCUCUUAUACUAAAAUGUUUAUAGCACCACAAAUCAUAACCAUGUGAAAAUAUUAUAUGAUGUGAAUCCAAUUAUACCAUAUUUAUAUAACAAAAUGCAUAGUAUGUGAAGAUUAUGAGGUUUGCUCUUAGAACGAUAACAAGAUAGACAUUUAAAUAUUUGAAUAAUAUUUUCUUUGAUGCUUAUGCUAUAGGUACUAAAGAUAAAAGAUCAUGUUCAUUUUAGUACAUAAGAAACAACUAAUAGUUUGCCCUAAUGAAGGAACAUAUGAGAUAAGCCACACAACAUUUUAUAUAAUUCAUAUUCUUGACUCACUAUUACGAAUUCAUACUGGACUUAAUCAAAUAACACCAUGAGAAAUGACAAAACUAUAAAGUUAGGUUAAUAAGGCCAAUCCAUCCAUUUUAAUGGAAAUAUCAAUGCAAAUGAAACAACAAAGUAAUAGUACUACAUUGUAGUAAUCCUUCGGUUGAUUUUCAUAACAUGUAAUAAAAGCUCUUUGUGAUCAUAGGACUGCAAAUUUACUUUACUUGAAGAGUCCUAGCUUAACUGUAGUAGAGAUAGAAGUGAGUAGAGAUCAGUGUGCAAGAAACUAUCAAUAAUUCUUUAAAAAAUUCCUAAGGUUCCAUUAAUACAUAUGGUUGCAACACACAUUUUCAUGAAACAAGGAUUUAUAUUACAGAAAAUUAGACAACCAAUGGAAAUAGAUAUGCAGAAAUAAUAUAAUAUUUAUGAUGAUACUAUUAAGUAAUCCUUCUCUAUUCCAUGUGUAUGGAUUCUAAAUAUAUCCAUACACAGAAGGGACAUCACACGCUAUGAAAAUGAUUGAAAAUCUACAUUACAGAAAAAGUCAUGCCACUUGAGUAGGGAAUAUAAAAUCGGUAAAAGAGGAUGCCAACAAUCCGUUACUUAGUUUACACAUAGUGUUCCAAAAUUGCUUCCAUUAAUAAAAUAUGAAGCACUCAUGCAUCAAUUUUUCUUCUUCUAAAAUUCCACUCUGAUGGAAAGUAUCCAUAUAAUAAAGGAACAACACAAUAAUUUGUUACCCAAUUCACACGUAGAGUUCCAGUUAUGUUGAUAAGUAUGAAGCAUGACGCUUCAUAUUUACAUUACAAAAUCCUGCUCGAUUGAAAAGUAUACGCAUAAUAAUUAUAUUAAUAGACAUGAAGCAUUGCAUGCUUCAAAUUUGUGUUAUGAAAUUUGGCUUGAAUAAAAAGUAUGCAAACAAUAUUGGAUCAUGUCAACAAUUCGCUACCUAGUUCACACGUAAAAUUUUGGUUUUGUUUUAUCAUUAUGAAAUAUUACUUGCUCGCUUGAAUUUUAUGUUACUAAAUUCCAAUCAAGUGGAGGCAUACGAACAUUAGCAAAUACUCUCCACAAAUUCAGAUGUCAAGUUCGAAAACUUGGUUCUAUCAAUAAGCAAGAAACACUACGUGCUAUUAGCGUUACGUGACUACACGUGGAUAAAAACUAUGCGUGCAAAUUUAUGUCACUAAAUUAUGUUUCCGUAUAGAUUAAAAAUAAUACGUGCAAAUUUAUGAUACAAGGUUAGGUGUUUGCACGGAUAAAAGUAGUACAUACAAGUUUACGUUAUGGAAUCAGCCGCACGAUAAAAAACAAUACGUGCAAAUUUACGUUACAAGAUCAUAUCCACACGGAUAAGAUCAUGGAUACGAUGGAAACAAAUAAUAAAUGGCGCAAUCCACGCGUUACAAAUCGCAAAAUCAAAUCCUAUUAAUAUGCAACAAACAUUAUUGCGAAUUAACGGGCCUAUAGUUGAUCAUUGUGAACUCCAAAUUCAAUCAAGGUAGCAGCAUAUUCAAUCACCACUCGAUCAAUAAGCAUCAUAGACAUUCAAGUUUCAAAAUCUAAAUGCUAUAGACCUGUAGCACACACUACACUGUAUCGCCCAUUGCAAAACAAGUUUCAUAACACAAAUAAAACACAAAAAGACAAAUUUACAAAGCCGUGGAGUAGUUUGCGGGUGGAGGGGUAGGGGAAUCUGGUGAGGAAAUGCAGCAUGCAGACCCGACCCGUUUGGCCUUAAAUGGCCCCAGCUGUUCCCAUCCAAACCCAACAGAGGGACUGUAGAGAGAGAAAGAGAGUGGUCAUGGCCUCGCCGGGCGCCCCCUGCCCUGCCCUGCUUAAAAACCUCGCCCCUUAAUUCGCUCGCACCGGUUACUACUGCUCCUGCUACCUCACACCACCCUCCCUCUCCUGCCAGAGCAGGAGGAAGAGAGAUUGGCAGGACGGCCAAGGAGCGGCGCCGAGGAGAGAGAGAGAGACGGAGCCAGCAAGUGUAACCGCCGCCGCGGAAACGGGAGAGGAGGAGAGAGAAGGAGAGGCGAGGGCGAAAAAGGAAACCAGGUGGAAGCAGAGGGGGGAAUGGCGUGAAGCAUGGCUGGAUCCAAGGUUCCGCGAUACCCUGCCUAUUCUGCAACGCAGCUCGUCUGGAGUUGGAAGGCGGCUACCGCCCCGGCGCUUUCUUGCUCGGCCUGCUCAUCGUCGUGUAUAAAUAGGACCGGGGGGCCAGGCCACAGACCGCACUGCAGCACACCACAGAGAUCUCUCCUCUUCCAUCUACAGCCGUAGAGAGCGAGGAGCGAGCGAGCGGAGGUUGGUAGCCAGGCGGCGGCGGCGGCAGCAAUGGACUUCGGCGACGAACCCGAGGGCUCCGACAGCCAGCGCCAGCGGAAGCGCUACCACCGCCACACCCCGCGCCAGAUUCAGCAGCUCGAGGCGUACGCUCUCUUCCUUCCCUUUCUCUCUCGUUUCGCUUGUUUGGUUUCCGGCCGGCGCCGUCGUGAUGAUUGAAGGGAUGUAAUAAUGGCGCUCGCCCCGUGGCUGCAGGAUGUUCAAGGAGUGCCAGCACCCCGACGAGAACCAGCGCGCCGCGCUCAGCCGGGAGCUCGGCCUGGACCCGCGCCAGAUCAAGUUCUGGUUCCAGAACCGCCGCACCCAGAUGAAGGUACGGUGUGUCUUCUUCGAGUUCCCUUGAUUUUGUUUCUUUCACGAGGUCGCCGUUUUCCAUUUCGAUCUUUUGUCGGCUUGUUUUCCACGGAUUCUUGAUGGCGCGUGUCUGUGCUUGUUGUUUGGCGAGUUGCAGGCGCAGCACGAGCGCGCGGACAACUGCUUCCUGCGCGCGGAGAACGACAAGAUCCGGUGCGAGAACAUCACCAUGCGCGAGGCGCUCAAGAACGUCAUCUGCCCCAACUGCGGCGGCCCGCCCGUCACCGAGGACUACUUCGACGAGCAGAAGCUCCGCAUGGAGAACGCCCGCCUCAAGGAAGAGGUAACCACUGGCUUGACCAAGGGCGCGCCGAUUCCGGCGACGCCCUCGCCGGCCUGUCCUCCUGUAUAUUUUCAUAGUACGUCUCUGGUGUUCUUCUUCUUGGGUGCCAAUGCCAACCUGAUGCGGAUGGAUGGACGCGCAGCUGGACCGGAUGUCGAGCUACACCUCCAAGUACCUCGGCCGGCCGUUCACGCAGAUGCCCCCGGUGCCGCCCAUGUCCGUGUCGUCGCUGGACCUGUCCGUGGGCGGGAUGCCCGGGCAUGGGCUCGGCGGCGGCGGGCCGUCGCUGGACCUCGACCUCCUCGGCGGGUGCCCGCCGGGGAUGCCGUUCCAGAUGCCGGCGCCCGUGACGGAGAUGGAGAGGCCCAUGAUGGUCGACAUGGCGGCGCGCGCCAUGGACGAGCUCAUCCGCCUCGCGCAGGCCGGCGAGCAGCUCUGGGCCAAGGGCGUCGCCGGGGACGCGAGGGAGACGCUCAACGUCGCCACCUACGACAGCCUCUUCGCCAAGCCCGGCGGCGAGUUCCGCCCGCCGGACAUCAAUGUCGAGGGGUCCAGGGACUCGGCGCUCGUCUUCAUGAGCGCCGUCGCGCUCGUCGACGUCUUCAUGGACACGGUACGCACUCCUUCCCCUUCCUCUUCUACCGGCAUGCUUCGGUUUGUUUGCUCAGGCGUCCCGACGAUUGAUUGCUGCUGCUAUUCUGGUAUUGUUGCAGAACAAGUGGAUGGAGUUCUUCCCCGGCAUCGUGUCCAGGGCGCACACCGUCGAUGUCCUCGUGAACGGCUUGGGCGGCAGGAGCGAUUCAUUGAUCAUGGUAAUGCCGCCAUAGAAUCGAAUCCUUGGAAUGAUUCUCGUGAUCCUUGGAAGAAACUAACCAAUGCCGUCACGUCGUCGUUGCAGAUGUACGAGGAGCUGCACAUCAUGACGCCCGCCGUCCCGACCCGCGAGUUCAGCUUCCUCCGCUACUGCAAGCAGAUCGAGCAGGGCCUCUGGGCCGUCGCCGACGUCUCCCUGGACGGGCAGCGCGACGCGCACUACGGCGGCAUCCCGUCGCGCACGCGCCGCCUUCCGUCGGGGUGCCUCAUCGCCGACAUGUCCAAUGGCUACUCCAAGGUCACGCGGGCCGCUCGUGCUUUUGCUCCACGCGUGUACGCACGUGCAUUGCCCUGUGUGCUACAAUGGCGGGGGUGUCCCUGACACGUUCGUGUGUCUUUGCAGGUGACCUGGGUCGAGCACAUGGAGAUCGAGCAGAUGCUCCCCGUCAACGUGCUCUACCGCAACCUGGUGCUGAGCGGCGCCGCGUUCGGGGCGCACCGGUGGCUCGCCGCGCUGCAGCGCGCGUGCGAGCGCUUCGCGUCGCUCGCCGUGCUCGGCGCGUCGCACCACGACCUCGCCGGAGGUACGCACAGAUACAUAUGAAGCCAUUUUGUUGACAGAAUCAAACAUCGUGCAAUGCUUGAACCUGAUGAGUGUUCCGCUGAUGGGCAGUGACGCCGGAGGGGAAGCGGAGCAUGAUGAAGCUGUCGCAGAGGAUGGUGAGCAGCUUCUGCGCGAGCCUGAGCUCGUCAGCGCUGCAGCGGUGGACGCCGCUGUCGGGCACCACGGACGUGAGCGUCCGCGUGUCCUCGCACCGCAGCGCCGACCCCGGCCAGCCCAACGGCGUCGUCCUCAGCGCCGCCACCUCCAUCUGGCUGCCCGUCCCCGGCGACCACGUCUUCGCCUUCGUCCGCGACGAGACCGUGCGAUCCCAGGUACGCCCACGCCUCGGCUCGCCGUCCGGACUCCGGGAUACAUCACAUCACCAUCAGCCGCAGCGCGCUCGCCAUUUAAGAUUUAACGCCAUCACGCCUUGAUUGUUGUUUGCCUUUGCCAUUGCUGCGCCGCAGUGGGACGUCCUGUCGCACGGCAAUCAGGUUCAGGAGGUGUCGCGCAUCCCCAACGGCUCCAACCCCGGCAACUGCAUCUCCCUGCUGAGAGUGAGCAAUCGACCGACCAGUCAUCUCCGUCUCGUGUUCAUUAACGCGAAAUUGUGCUGUUGAAUUGAUUCUGUUUUCCUGGCGACAACGUAUUGAUGGCGCUUUUUUUGGUGUUUCAGGGGCUGAACGCGAACCAGAACAGCAUGCUGAUCCUGCAGGAGAGCUGCACGGACGCGUCGGGGUCGCUGGUGGUGUACUCGCCGAUCGACCUCCCGGCGGCGAACGUGGUGAUGAGCGGCGAGGACCCGUCGGGGAUCCCGCUGCUGCCGUCGGGCUUCGCCAUCCUCCCCGACGGCCGGCCGGGGUCCGGCGCGGCGGGCGCGUCCAGCAGCGCCGCCCCGCUGGCGUCCCCGCCGGGCUGCGUCGUCACCGUCGCGUUCCAGAUCCUCGUCAGCAACCUGCCGUCGUCCAGGCUCAACGCCGAGUCCGUCGCCACCGUCAACGGCCUCAUCGGCACCACCGUGCAGCAGAUCAAGGCGGCGCUCAACUGCGCCGGCCCCUGAUCGAUCGAUCGUCUUCCGAUCCACCAUCGCCGCCGCCUCCCCCCCGCCCCGCCUCGCCAGCCGCCUCCGCCACAGUGAGUGACUGACGAGAGAGUUGGUUGGCCCGUUGAAUGCUCGCAUUCAUGGACGCCACCUGCCGCUGCUCCCGGAGCUGACGCAGCUCUCUCCUCAUCAACCCAUCCAUGAUCCAUCACCACCAUAACAGCUCUCCUCCUCCUUUAGAUUCGGUGUCGUUUUCCUUUUGCUUAAAUCUGCAGGAUUCGUCGAGUUUUCUUCUUUUUCCUUUUUUCUUCCUUAGAAACAUUCGUUCGUGAGCCAAACAGAUCGAAGGCUUUCAGGCUGAGGGAGUCAAGAACGCACCAUGCUACCGUGUCCCAUUCCUCUCGCUGCAGCCAUUUUUCUCCCACACCACCACCACAGCUCUUCCGGCCUCUUCCAUGCAGGAUCCAUCCAUCCAUCCUUGUCAUCUCGCCAUUGUCGUUGUUGGUGCCGCAGCAGGGGAUGAAUGGUGCGGGUAUUGACUUCUGUCCAUUAAUGUAAAGCCUUCAAUGAACAUUCAUUUCGGUUAUAAAUGGAAAGGAGAAAAAACAAGUUCUGGUAAAAAGCUGUGAGAUGCGUUCAUGGCCCCCUGCUUCCUUUUUUCCGUGUGGUGCUAUGCUAUUGCCGGGAGUGCUUGUAGACUGGUAGUUCGCGGCUUGCACCCUGGCCCUGUCGUAUCGCUGUCAAUCAUCGACUGCGACGGCACGCCCCAUGCCGGCGCUUCGAUUCGAUCUCCCAAGAAACCGACCUGUGACGACGAGCAGCUAGCUGCGGGUGGCACGUCCGCUGCUGCUGCGGCGGCGGCGGCCGGCGGUCAUCUUCGCCGGCGGCGGAGAGGGCCGAUUUGGACGCGCGAUUCAAGUGCGUGCAGGCGGAAGUGGGUGGCGCCGGCACGCACCACCGUGCUAGCUCAGUAGCUCAGGGCUCAGGCUCCUGCGAUGGUCUCUUUAAUAUGGUGGUUGGCUGGGCCGCGCAGCCCCCGGGAGGAAGGCAGGCUACUGCCUGCUACGAUGGGAUCGGCAUCUCACGCACGCACGCACACGCACGCAGCCCUAGUCCAUCCAUGGUGUCGCGCACGGUGUGACGUUUGCACUGGGUCCAUGGGGAUCAGGCGAUGGACGGCCGAGAUCGAUCUUCGACGGAAAAAAAAA
rnacentral:lncRNA from 1 species